rnacentral:lncRNA from 1 species
GUAAACCCUAAACCCUAAAAACCUAAACCUUCAAAUCUAAACCCUAAAACAUCAACUCUAGGGUUUUAGGGUUUAGGGUUUAGGGUUUAGAGUUUAGAGUUUAGAGUUUAGAGUUUAGGGUUUAGGGUUUAGGGUUUAGGUUUUAGGGUUUAGGGUUUAGAGUUGAUGUUUUAGAGUUGAUGUUUUAGGGUUUAGAGUUAAUUUUUUAGGGUUUAGGGUUUAGAGUUUCCUUUUUAGGGUUUCGGGUUUAGUGUUGAUAGUUUAGGGUUUAGUGUUGAUGGUUUAGGGUUUAGAGUUGAAGUUUAGGGUUUAGGGUUUAGAGUUGAUGUUUUAGGGUUUAGAGUUGAAGGUUUAGGAUUUAUGGUUUAGAGUUGAUGUUUCGGGGUAUAGGGUUUAGAGUUGAUGUUUCGGGGUUUAGAGCGUAUUUCAAAACGAAAUAGGGUUUAGGAUUGAUGGUUUAGGGUUUAGAGUUGAGUUUUAGGGUUUAGGGUUUGAAUUUUGAAAUAGUAUAAUUCGAAAAAAAAUAUAUAUAUAUUUUUUAUUUUUUUAGAUUUUUAUUUAUUUAAAUAUUUAUUUAUUAUAUAUAUAAAGAACAAGGACAUAAGAGUCUUUUGCCGUUUAAUGAAUAAAGUAUUUUUGAAAAUGUCUCUUAAGUGGUGGUAUGAAAAGUGGUAGCAUGAAAGUGGUAAGCAUGUAAUUUUUCCGAGUAAAAUGAAUAAAAGAAAUCUUUAUAUAUUGGUAAUGCCAAAUAAAAAAAAAAUUAUAAAAUUACAUUAUAUAUAAUAUUAAAAUGUAAAUCAUAUAUUUAAAAUUUUUACGAUUAUAUUUAAGCUAUUCAUUUAUAAAUGUAAUUUUACAUGCACGGACGUGCCGGUCAGCCUCUAGUUUUUUUUGUUAAAACUAAAAAUAGGAUCAUGGGACAGAUUGAUUAGUAAAUGGUUAAACGCUAUGGACCAAUUGAAUACAACAUAUUUUGAUAGUCAAGAAAAAAAAAAAGAGAGAGACUGGAUUAUGAAUCAUUACAGUAAAAAAAGAUUUACAUUUGUAUAGGUGUCAAUAAUCUAGGUGUCAAUAAAGAUUUACAUUUGUAUCUAGUAAAUUUAGUCUUUUCUUUUUAUUCACACGCCAUAUGAAAAGCCACUAACAAAAGCAUUCAUAUACCGCUUUCAUAAUUGUGACCGUAAAAACUUCUGUAAAUUUUACCAAAAAUUAAGUAAUUAACUUAGCUUGACCAAAAAAAUUAUGAAUGGCUAGUUGCAUAUUCUACUUCGUGUUGUUCUGGUUGGAUCUUUGGACUAAAUGUUUAUUUUCUAGAAUGUGAAAAUAGGAGACUUAAACCGAAUUAAUGUGAAAAAAAAAACGAAUUAAAGUUUGAAUAUGUUUCUACCGAGUGGAAACAACAGCACUGGAUAUAUUUACAAAAUUUAAAUAACACACCCCUUAGAUCGGUGCUAAACAAAGUACAUUAUUGGUGAAGUGAUUUUUUGAAUUUUGCUUAUGUAUCAUCACCAAGUUCAUUUUUGUUAGAAAAAUGAUAUGGCUUAGUGAAAAUGAUGACAUGGCUAGAAGCUAAUAAUGACACGGACAUUCACAUUUAAUAUUAAUUUUUAUUUUUGGUAAGUUUUUGAAAAUAAAGUAAUAACUCAUUUAUCAUCAUUAAUAAAAUAUUAAAUAAUAUAAUAAUAGAGUCAACGGUUGGAUUUUUAAGUUUUCACAAAAGGAGGAAAGUUAAUGAUCAUUAAAUCAGUGGUUACGGCAUUACGAAAUCAUGUGAUGUCUUGCUAUCGUUCACCUAAGGCAACCGCAAAAAAAAACUGACGAGUGCGGUAGCACAAUUCUCGUGGAAUCCAGAGGCAUGCACUGGAAAUCAUGGGACAAAGUAUUUAUGGCAUCUGAUAGAGAAGCCAAACACUUUAUUUUCUCGAGUUUUCAAAGGUCGGUAUUACAGGAACGCCUCACCCCUGGAGCCGAUUCGUUCAUAUUAAUCAAAAGGAUGGGAUCGGGAUCAUCUAUAUCUGUAUGGAACGAUCUAUGGCUCCCAACCACUCGCCCGAGAAAAACCAACACAAUUUCUACCCAGACCUCACAGUGGAUUCUCUCGUUGAUUCCACUUCGCGAACUUUGAACUCGCAGGCAAUUCGGGAUUUGGUGGACCCACCGGAUGUGAAAAUUAUAGAAAGCAUACAACUAAGUUGGACUCAGAUGAUAGAUAUAGAUAGAUGACAUUUUACAAAAAAAUGGGAAAUAUACGAUUAAAUCAGGAUAUCAAGCGUAACGGGUUUACCCAAACAAGGAAAUACCACCACUAAUGUUUGGACCCACAGUUGAUGUAUUGAAGGAAUUCUGUUGGAAAAUACGAUGUCCACUAAAGAUAAAACAUUUCCUAUGACAAUUGGUGACUGGAUGUAUAGCAGUGAAGAAGAAUCUGCAAACGCGAGGGAUACAAGGGGACAUAUGUUGUACAAGAUGCGUAGCCUAUGAGGAAACGAUAAACCAUGUAUUUUUUGAAUGAGCUUCAGCACUUCAGGUUUGGGAUCUCUCUCGGAUACCAUCAAAUCCAGCUAUUUUCCCAAAAAGUUGUCUCUUCACAAACAUGGAUCAUCUCUUCUAGAGAGGUUUCCCGCAGAUGGAUGAUCAUCAGUUUGCAUGGAUAAUAUAGUACAUUUGAAAGGAAGGAAUAAUAAAGUCUUCAGUAAUAUGGACACUGAUCCUAGGGAAAUGCUCAAAUUGGCAUAAACAAAAUCAACACUCUGGGCUGAGGCACAAAUAUUGAACGAAUAGAGGACAACACCACAGAUAAAUCCUGAAAGAAAGUUUUCUCCGAUAAGAGAUCAUCAAUGAACCAAGGACGCAAAAUUCAAAGGCGAAUAGCCUAGCACGAAGUGUAAGGAAGCAACCAUCUUUUGUCGUUCACAUGGAUGCAGAUCUCUCGGUUUGGUUCACAGAGUCAGUAUGAGUAAGUAUAAGUUAAUGACAAAAAAUAUAAUAAUAGAAAUAUAAAUAUAAAAGUAUUUUAAAAAUUCAAAAUAAUAUUUUAUUUUUUAUAAUUAUAUUUUAUUACAAAAAAAAUCUUCAACAUUUCUACAUUUAAAAAAAAAUUAUUGGAUUGUUAUACCAUUAGUUUCUUUUCAUAUCUGCCAAUUUAAAAAUAAUAUUUGUUUUACGUUUUGAUAAUUAUAUACCUAACAAAUUUUCUCUUAAUUUUAUACAAUUCUAUUUAAUAUUUUGACCAAAACAAAUAUAUAAAAAAAUUAUCCAAAAUUAUAAUUUUAAAUAUACACACAUAUAUUCUUAAAUAUAAAUUUAAAAUAAAUAAUUAUUUUAACUUAAUUUUAAUGUUUGGUUAAAUAAAAUUUAAACUAUAUAUUGGGAAAAUCUAAAAAAAAUAACAAAAACAUUAUUUUAAAUAUAAUUUAAUUUUGAAAACUUUUAUUUCUGCAUAUUGUGUAGGAAAACACCUAGUAGACAAGUAAAACAUUGAUCUAUGGUUCCCAAAUUUUUAAAAGUAGUUUACAUAAACAUAAAUGCUGUCAAAUUCAUAAGAAAUUUUUGAAUCUUGCCCAUAUGCUCUUCUCCCCAUAUUUUAUUCCCAUAUAUACUCUCUUUCAAAAUUUAUUUUAUUUCUAUUAUUUUUAAUUCAAUAUUAAUGUGAAAACCCAACUAAACCUAAAUAAAUCUAUCUAUUUAUAGGUUAUGCUAUUACUGCUUUAAACCUAAAUUUGUACGCCUUCUUUCAUUUUCAUCUCUAUUAUUCUUCUGCUUUCUUCAUUUUCUUCAAUUUUUUAACAUUCUCCUUAUUUUCGGUCGUCUCUUCACUCUUUUGAUCUCUUCCUCAUUUUUCUUCAAUCCACUCCUCCUUAUUUGGUUUUUUUCUUUUGUUCUUCGCUUUUCUCUACUUUGUUCUUCGAUUUUCUCUUCUUCUUUUUCUUCUUUGGUUUUCUCUUCUUCAUCUUAUCAUUCUCUUGUUCUUUUUCAAUCCAUUUUUUCUCUUUGAUUUCACCCAAAGCUUUAUAUUUUAUCUUGUUCUUCGAUUUUUUUUGUUUUCUUAUUCAGAUUUAUCUUUUCUUUUUUCUUUUUCUAUUUCAGACCAAAUUAUACCAUCUCUUGAGUAACCCUUUGUAUAAUUGUACAAUUUGACAAAAUUAAACUCAGUUAUACCAAGUUGUACCAUUGUCUAAGUAUAACUUGGUAAAACUGAAUCCUAGUUAUACCAAGUUGUACUCGGAUAAAUGGUACAGCUUGGUAUAACUUGAACUCAGUUUUACCAAGUUUUACUCGAACAAAGGUAUAACUUGGUAUAAUUAAGUGUUAGUUUCAGGAAGUUGUACUAAGAAAUAAAAAUUAUAAUCAGAAUUAGAAAAAUUGAAAUUUUAGUUUUGAAUUUUGAAAUCGGAGGGAAAGACGUAAGCGUAAAUAUGGAAUUAUCUUAAUUUAUUAAAACUUUAGUAUGUAGAAUAAGUAAGAGUAUCCCAAAUUAUUUUUUCCUCAUUAAAGAAUAUUGAGCAUUUGGUCUGAAAUUUUUUUUUAUUAAAAAUCUUAUUAAAUCGGUUAUAACUUUCAAAAUUUCUAGACUGACUAUAUUCAGCAAAGUACUCAAAAUCAACGGAAAUACCCGAUUAUGUUAAGUUAAUUUUCACUGAUGAUAUGUGUACAUAAGUGCACUGAUUUUAAAAAAUAUGACUUCAUUCUGUAAAGUCUAGAUGUUAUGUUUUACCAAAUUAGAUGCAUAAAAGGCCGUAUAAGUUCGAGUUCACUGAUUUCAAAAAAUAUGACUUCCCUAACGUUCUUCCUAGGUUUUCUAGUGAUGUAGAUAACGUCUUAUACUCAGAUAGUCUCUUUUAUUGUUAACAAAAAUUGCAUUGUGUAUUUGAUCCAUAUGCACGUAGUUGUAAUGUUCUUCCUGUUCAACGUAUCCCAAGUCCUAUCUACGUGAGACACACGGUUAGGUGGAUUACUAAAUAUAAAGGUCACAUAUAUUUUAUAAAUGAUUCGAUCGUGGAGCCAAUGGUAUUUAGGCUUAACCGGUUGCAGUUGGUUUAAAAAAAAAGCAUUUGAUGGUUCAAAAAUAUCUGUAAGCAGUGGGUCAUAGUUUGUUCCAGUCCCAAGACUUGUCUCCCAAACUGUUGAAAACAAGUAUCAACAUCAAUUCAUAUGCAUAAAUACUACAUAAGUAAGAUGGAAAAUACCAUUGACCAUGUUUGGUUAUAAGAUGCAACUUAUUUUUGAACGGGGUAAUGAACGGGAUGAUUGGUAAGUGUUUUGGCUUUUAUUUUUUGGCUUUAAAAUAAUAGCCGUAGAUUUUAUUCAUGUAGCUGUGGGUUAAUUAUUUCAAGAGCAAUAAAUAUAAAGCUCUAGAAAAUUUGAUUUCCAAAGCUAUUUUGUUUCUUAUUUUAGUUUUUAUGGCUGGUUCCUUAGCUCCUUGUGGAUUCGAUCACUAAGUACUAUAAUUAAACCUCUUAUUUGAGAGCGUAAAAUCACUCCUUAGGGUAAUUUGAGUGAUAUCAAAUUUGGCGCCGUUGCCGGAGAGCUUUGAUCGCCUAUUAGAUUUGACCUUGUUAAGUUUAAAAUCAAUUUCUGACACAAAUUUUUUUUUUUGCCUUUUCAGGUACAUGCCCAGCAGUACCAGAAGCAACAAGGAAACUCAACUGCUAUACUCAGCAGAUCUUGCAAGCUUGGAGCGUUCAAUCCGCAAGGAAGUAUGUUCCUCAUCGAUCGACAACAACACUUGUUCGUCGCUCGAUUUUCGUAAGCCACCGUCGACCCAGACACUAGUCUCGACGACCGACACUCGCUCACUACCAUCGACCGAAGACACUCAUCUUCCGUCGACCGACAUCUUCCAUCCGACAUCGAUCGAUACUUCAGUCCUGACAUCGAUCGAUACUGAGCCGCGAGACAUGGUUGCGACUUUGAUUCUUGUACGUGAUGAGAGAGGAGACCUGCAUGACCAGGAAGGUCAUCUGCGUAAUGCAGUUGGUCAGAGGAUAGAUGCUCAGGGGGCUGCAAUCCCUGAGUCUGAUACUGAUUCUACAGGAACUACUCUACCUGAAGAUGAGGCUGCUCGACCCAGAAAAUUGGCUGACUACAACCGUCCAGAUCAGAUCUACACCAACAGAUUCGUCCUCCAACUAUUCAGAGGGGGAAUUUCGAGUUGAAGCCGCAGUACUACACACUCGUGGGACAGACACCCUAUUAUGGGUUAUCUCACGAGCAUCCUAUGGAUCAUCUGGAGAGGUUCGAGGAUCUUAUAUCUGCUAAUAAAGUCGAGGGAGUCUCUGAAGACUACCUCCUAUGCAAGCUCUUCAAGUACUCACUUGUUGGAGAUGCUUCGCAUUGGCUUAAGCAGUUACCACCAGGAUCUCUUACAUCCUAGAGCGACAUCAAGAAUGCAUUCUUAUGCAACUUCUUUGAUGAAGCGCGUGCUGAAGAAUUGAGGAGCAAGAUUGCUACUUUCACUCAAGAUCCUGCAGAGUCAUUCAGAAGCUCCUGGAUCAGAUUCAAGUAUUAUCAGAGAGAUUGUCCACACCAUGGAUUCAAUGAAGUACAACUGCUCAGUACUUUCUACAGAGGCAUCGCGGUGCAGUACCAGAUGGCUCUUGAUGCUUCCAGCAAUGAGAACUUCAACACAAGGAAUCCAGAGGAGGCUGUGAAAGUCAGUGAGAACUUAGUAUCCAGCAGCAGCACCAAGAACACUGACUUUGAGAGGAAGAGAUCUGCCACCAUCCUUGGUUAUGAUCAGAUGGAUGAAGUGAAGGCAAAGCUGGACAGUGUUCACAAGCUUCUCAGGAAGCAGGUCUGCUUGGUUGAAGAUGCAGAGGCUGUAGACAUAGAGGGUAGAGCAGAGGAAGAAGAAGAGGUGAACUUCAUUGGUGGAACUGGAUUCCAAGGAUCUGGAAACCAGGGUGGAAACAAAAACUCUUAUGGAAAUAGGGGUAAUUUAAACCAGAGUUCGCAGCACCAGAAACCCUACAGCAACAAUAGAGGUUAUGAAAAUUCCUACUACCAGAAUCCACCACCACCUACUCAAGAGAGCAAGAUUGAAGAGAUGUUUGACAGAGUUCUUGAGGGACAGCAGCGCAUGACGGUGGACUUCAAUGGGAAGAUUGAUUAUGUCUACACCAACCUGAACACAAAGUUUGAAACUUUAAGUACUCAUGUGAAGAAGCUGGAGAUGCAAGUUGUUCAGACAGGAGAAGUUGUUAAGAGGCAGGAAGCCUUAACAAGAGGGGUAGGAGAUGAUGUGAUGAAACACCACAUGAAUGCCAUCAUAGGAGAUGAUUUCUUGCAAGUAGUAAAGCAAAAGAAGCUGUAAGAAGGAGAUUUCAAAGUAGAAAGUUCGAUGACCUUCGACGGAUCGCACUGGUGUCGAUCGACGCCGGACUUCAAACAUCGAUCGACGGAUUUCAAUCCAAAUCGAUCGACAAGCUCUCCAGAGCAUCGAUCGAUGACACCUACGGAGUCAACCGCAUCUUGCAAUGCCGUGAGGAUUCUGACUCACUUGGAGUUCGCAACACGACACCCACAUCCGCCCAGCCCUGUUUACGUCAAAAUUGAUCGACAUUCAGAUACUCCCGUCAAUCGACAACAAGAGACCACCAUCGAUCGACAACCUCCAGCGCCCAUCGAUCGACGAGCACUUCUUACGUACCGAGUGCAGAUACCAAAGAUAGAUGUUGCUUGUCUAAAUGCACUCAGGCCCAAACCCAAACCUUCAGAUAACCCACCAGAAACCAUCAGGAUACCUUCAAAUGAUGCAGCAGAUCCUGUGGAAGUUGAUAGGGUUCCUAUGGGAAGAACCCUGAGGAAAAGAAAGGAAAAAGUGGCGAAACAUCUGAAGAGGGGAGCUAAUGAAAAGGAAAUGGAAAGUUUCCAAAACAGAGUUUUCAGGAUUCCUUUAGAAAAGCCAUUCGAGAAGACCUAUUUUACCCACAGAUUGUGGAUGUUCUUCAGAGAAACAAGGGAGAUUGAAGAAGACAUUAGGAGAAUGUUUUGUGAAGCUAGAGAAAAGAUGAGGAAGAGGAUUACACUGAAGAAGAAGAGUGAUCCUGGGCAAUUUGCAAUACCAUGUACGGUGAAGGGUAUUGAGUUCCCACAUGCUUUGUGCGACACAGGAGCAUCAGACAGCAUCCUACUUAGGGUUAUGGCAGACCAUCUGGGUCUGCAGGUGGAGCUUUCCAAGGAAUUAUUCAAUUUCGUGGAUUGUUCUCAGAGAAGCUCAAGAGGGAUUGUGAGAGACCUAGAGGUGCAGAUUGGUAAUGCUCUAGUUCCAGUUGAUUUACAUGUCUUGGAUAUCAAGCUAAACUGGAACUCUUCUCUAUUACUUGGGAGAGCUUUCUUGUCAACAGUAGGAGCAGUGUGCAACCUACAAACCAACCAGUUGUGCCUGACACUCAUUGACCCUCAUACCCACUACAACCCUAUUCCAGUCAAGAAGCCACAGACGUCCUCCAGAAAAAUUAAUGAUCCAGUAAUCAUUGCAGCAUGCCACUGUGGAGCUGAGUACGAGACAGAAUACUCAGCGUCGAUCGAAACUCACACAGCAACAUCGAUCGACAGUGCCCACCAGAAAUCGAUCGACAGUGCCCACCAGAAAUCGACCGACACACCAAGAGAAGAAUCGGUCGACAGUAGUCCAGAAGAUUGGGAGAACGACUACUACAACCCUACUAUGGCAGCAUACACCAGACACAACAUGCAUACGAAGGAGUAUGAUGAAGAUUAUGAGGAGGAACGAGCUACAGAGUACAGAGCCAUUCUUGAUGAGGAAGACAAACUUCUACAUCAUUCCUCUUGGAAGAGGAAUGCACCAUCGAUCGACAGAACAAUCUCGACAUCGAUCGAUACUCAACCUCAUUAGAGAAACCAAAAAUGAGAAUCGACCUACAUCGCCUACUACCCAUCGAUCGACACUGGAGUCGACCGUGUACGAGAAGGAGACUACUCGAUUGGCAAUUUGGAAGAUGAUCACCAUCAUGAAAGUUAUGCAGUAGAAACGGCAAUUCACGAGCCAGGAGUAGAUGAACUUCAUGAAGGUUUCACAUAUGAGAAACUUCUCAACAUGCAAAGACGUGAUGAAGCAGAUCAACAUCAAGCAGAAGCUACUGGGGAAAGAACACGUUUCAGCCAUUCUAUCGACAGAGCUAUCCGCCCAUCGAUUGACUAAAGGCAUCCAUCAUCGAUCGACAUCCGUCCAAAACCAAAAUCCACCGUAAGCGAAAAUCCUAAUUUUGAUAACCAGUAUCUAACACCAGACGAAUUUGGUAUUUUCAGGGACCCAGAUGGUUGCGCAAGACCAAUUGGUGUAUAUGCACUGAAAGUAUCCAGAGAGGACAUUGCAGACAUUCUUCAGAUGGCUAAUGGAGCAGAUAAUCUCUUCAUGCAACAACGCACCAUCCCAACACAUCAACAGAGGUUUACAAAAAGAGUUCUAUGACACAGCUGGUGGCAUAGACAAUCACUUCAAGAAGAAGUAUAGACCCCCUACUCAACCGUCGAUCGACGUUAACGUCCCACCAUUGAUUGACAGACGUCUAGAAUUCGGCAGAAGAGCCUUUGACCCUUUUGGAAUCAGAAAAUACUACUGGGAAGAGAAGGAUGAGUAUGGAGUCUACAGAGAUGAUCAAGGAUGUGCAAGAGAUGUGGAUGGACACAUCAUCAAUGUGUCCAAGGAGGAUAUCAGAAAGCUAAUGGAAAGAGCUUCGAGAGAUGAGCACAGCUACAUAUGUCUUCCAGAACAUGCUAGCUCAUUCACACAAACCAAGCUGGUACCAGAGAUCUACACCAAGGAUGAGAUCAAUGAGAUGUUCUAUGGAGUCUGUGGAGCCCAAGAAAAGAAUGAAGGUGAUUUCCAGAUGAAGCUUGAUGGUGUCUACUAUCAACUGAAUGAUAGCAUCAGUUGGUUGACUACAUGCAUGGAGGAGAUGAGGCAAGACAUAGCCAAAAUUCAGCAUUCGGCCGACAAACAUCGACCAGCAUCGAUCGACAGACACCACUCAACAUCGAUCGAUAACGACCCAAAGAACUCACAUCCGAUGAAGUCUCAACCAGAUUUUCACACCAGAGCAGAGAUUGAUCAGUUGGUAGAAAAGAUCUACAGAACUCUGGAAACUACAUAAGAGAGGCUUGACAGGAGAUGUGAUGACAUCUAUUUUCCAAUGGACCUUAGCGUGAAUGCUUUGACUUCUCAUAUAGAAGCAAUACAAAGGGAAUUAGUGGAGAUUCAGAGUUACAUUUCCCGUCGACAAGAAGCAUUCGCAUCGAUCAACAGACGCAACAACAAAUCGACCGACAUUCUUAGACAGACAUCGGUCGACGACGCUACAAACCGAGGCCGGCUAGUACCAAAGGUGACAUCAGAUAUGUCUGAUACACAUAACCAAGGAGAGGAGAUCUCAGCUGACACUAACGCCAGACUCAGAAGACAUCAGUUCAACCUUGAGAGUCUUAGAGAUAGAUUGCAGAAGAUGGAAAACACAACUGCAACAAUAAAGGAAAGAUGUUGCAGAGGAGUUGAAGCUAUGUGAGACUUCACUGGUACAUGGUUCAACAAGCGCAGAGAAGAGAUGGACACUUGUUUUCCAACAAGUUACAGCUUUCAACACUACUAACCAAAUCACCUCCAAAGUCAAGCUAAAUGACUAUAACAAAGCGUUGAGUGGGAUGCAACUCACUAUUAGGUAAUACUUAAUUGGUUUUAUUAAUCUAGUAUUUAUGUUGGUUUUUAUUUAAUAAAAAAAAGAAUGAUCCGAGUAGACGAUUGUCGUGAGUAUCGACCGACGAAACACUGCCGACAUCGAUCGACAGAGAAUCACCUGCCACGACCGAUAUCAACAUCUUUACAUCGGUCGACAUCCAUUCCGGUCUGGUAUAUCGUUCUAACUUGUUACAUUUAGUCCUUAUGAUUUAGUUAUCACCGUAACUCCGACUGAAUAUACACUUGGGACAGUGUCGUUUAAGUCUGGGGGGAGGUUACUGAUAGUAGUUUAUUUAUGAGUCUUGUUAAAAUGUUUUCAAAAAGUUUUUAUUGAGUCAAGAAGGGGAUAAUGAACUCAUUAGAUUUUUGCUUGUUAUCUAACCACUCUUUAGCACCCUUCUAAACUUAUUACUGAUUGCAGAUAGUACUAAAGAUACUAAAGUGGAUCAACCUGUCAACUAUUCACACUUGCUGAGAUUGUAUGAAGGAACCAAAGCUGACCUCCAACACUAAACUUGACACAACUGCUUGUCUUGGGGCUUGGUAUACAUGAGAUCAGAUUCUUCAAACAAGCCUAGAAGGUAAAGCCUUGUGUAGAUAGAUUUAUCACCCUCUUUCUCUCUAUUUUCGAAAUGUAGAUUUAAAAUAUAUAUAUAUCUAUUAGAGAAUUAUUAGAAAAGGAUUCGAACAAGAUUUGGUGGCUACAACCAUUAAGGCUUGCUUCACAAAUAAUCCUAAGAUAUAGGUCAAAAAGAAGUGAACAUGAUUUGGUGGCAACCACCAUUAAGUCUUGAUUCAUGGAAGCCUAGCACUACAGGAAAUGUGGGUAUUAAUAGCGUUGUAGCAUAGCGUUUUUUGCUUCUCUGCUAUUGUAUAUAAACACGGGCCUUUAUAAUAGCGUUUUUGAAAUGUAUAAGCUAUCUUUGUAGUCGCGGGAAAAUAAAAUAAUUCAGACGCGUUAAUUUGGUAAGUGGAGGCGCCUUACCAUUGCAAAUCAAAAACUAAAUGCUAUCGUAUAUGAAAAAAUAUAUUAAAAAUAACUUAAGUAUUAAUCGAAACCGAGACUUCAUUCUCUUCACUUCACUCUCUUCACAUUCCUCAAAAUCAAAACCGACUCAUCGAAGUUCUUCAGAGUUCUCUCGAGUCGAAGCUUCAAUUGGUAUGAGUUUCGAUUUGAUUCUGAGUUUAGAAUAGAGACUGGUUCUCUCGAGUCGAAUCUCUUUGAUUUUGGGUUUCUCUUUGAUUCAAAUCUCUUUUCACAUGCAUGUCCGCGUUAACACAUGAUUCGAUUUUGAUUGUGGGUUUCGAUUAGGUUUUGAAUAUGAUUGUGGGUUUCGAUAAGGUUUUGAAUAUGAUUGUGGGUUUCAGUUUGAUUUUGAAUAUGAUUGAAGGUUUCGAUUUGAUUUUGGGUUUAGAUUUUUUGAUCGAAUGGCUUGAUUUGAUUUUGGAUUUGUUUAUCAGUUUCAGAAAUGGCAAAGACAAUAGGACAAGUUGGUUCUCGUCGGAGUAAACGUAAUCAAGGCUUGGAGGUAGUAGAUCAAGAGGACAAGGCACCGCAACUAAAAGUGAAGAAAAGAACAGCAAAGAAAACGGCUUCCCCUAAAAAGAAUUUAGUUUUAACGCCAACGAGAAGAAGUAGUAGAAUCAAGAAAGUGGCUGCUGAAGAUGAUUACAUAGAAGAUGUAACACCAUCUGACGAUGAUGAGGUAGAAGAUGUUACACCUCCUAAGGAUAAUGAAGUACAAGAUGUAACACCUGCUCAGGAUGAUGAAGUAGAAGAUGUAACACCCGAAGAUAAGGAUGAUCAGGCUGAGAAGUCAAUGUCUGAAGAAGAUAAAGACGAUGAAGAGGAUGUCAAUGGGAAAGACGAUGAAGAAGAUGGCGAUGUCAAUGGGAAAGAGAAUGAAGAAGAUGGAGAUCUCAAUGGGAAAGAAAAUGAAGAAGAACCGGCCAAUAUGGAAGAUGAUGGAGUUCUUAAUGAGAAAGGGAACGAAGAGGAAGCUUGCGAAGAAUAAGCUCGCGAUAUGGAAGAAGAUGGCACUGCGCAAGAUGAUGAGAUUCCUAGUACUGAAGGAGUUAAGCUAGCAGGGGAGGAAGUUUCAAAAAAAAAAAAAAGAGGACCUACAAAGUUGCGUAGAGUGGCUGAAAAUCCCAAUGAUAAGAUUAUGGUCACAUUCAAUGACAUUGGUGAGCAUGUUGGACCUGGUUCAGUAACCCUAUCGUCGUUUCUUGGUCCUCUUGUGAGGGAACAUGUUCCGGUUACACUUGCCGAUUGGAGAAAACUUGAUGCAGCGACUAAAGCAACAAUGUGGGAAGAAAUUCAGGUUUGUAUAUAUAUUAGUAUGUUUUGUUUAACCGCAAGAUGAAAUUAUAAACAUGUUUAACUUGAUUAUUGUGAUGCAGGGGAGGUUUAACUUGCAAGAAGAGUGGCAGAAAGCUGUUAUUUUCAAGCAGCUGGGAAAUGUGUGGAAGGCUGGGAAGUCAAGGCUGGUGUCACAAGUACGUGUGGCGAAGACUGCAGCUGAGAGAAUAGCUUUAAAACCGAGCAACAUCCCAUCCCUUCAACUGUGGAACACUUGGGUUAAGAGUAAGACUACCAAAUCUUUCACAGUGAGUUAUCUACAACUAAGUAAGUUUCAUCCUUAAAGGUCAUGUCUGAUGGAUAUAAUCAAUGUCAUAUUUAUAUUGUAGGAAACGAGUAACAAGUACAGAGCGAUGAGAAGAAAUCAGAUUCCUCACACCACCAGCCGCAAAGGAAUGCUUCGUUUAGCUGAUGAUAUGGUAAAAGAGUAGUCAAACAUCUACAUAUUGUAGAUCAGCUUGUUAGAUUAAAAUGGUAGUGAGAUAUGUUUGUUUUCAUAUAGAAAAAAAAGAGUAAAGACCCAAGUAAGGUGAGUAGAUCCAAGGUUUGGAUUGCGGGACACACUCAUGCUGAUGGCAGACCUGUGAAGCCCCAGUUUGCUGAGACUAUUGUAAGCAUUAUGGAAGUUGUAUAUUGUGUAUAGUUAAUAGACUAUGGCAAUGAAUGAUUUUGUGUUUAAAUGAUUGUAUCAGGAACAAAUACAGUCACUUGACAGUUGGAUGGACUCCACAUCAGCUGCUGAUAACAUAAGGGAAGAUGCUGUGAGCAAGGUUUUGGGAAAAGACAAACCUGGACGAGUAAGGGGCUUUGGUAGAGGGAUUACAGCUAAUAAGCUAGCAUAUCUGCAAUUUAGAGACGCUAAGAUUGCAGAAAUGAAAAGUGAGAUUGAAGAGUUAAAGGGGAUGGUGCGAGAAUUAGCUGAGAAGAAGGUAAUCCUUUUCAUUACCUUUGGUCAAUUAGUUUUAAGACAUUUACGAUUUCCGUUGCCUUUUCUUAGAAAAGUAAUGUUGAUGCUGAAACAUCUGAGAGUAGUGGUGGAUUCAAAGAAGGAGUCAGAGUACAAAUACUGGAUUGGAUUGAAUCAGAGGAUGUUGUUGUUGGUGAAGGAGAAUUCUGCUCUGCUGAACCGAAGUACAAAAUUGGUCGUAUACCAAUUGGUCCUAAUGCAGUGGCUAUCGUAGUUAAGUAUGCACUAAGCGCAUCAGCUUCACUCUGGAGGCCUACUACGGAUGUGUUAACUCUUGAUGAAGCUGUGGGAUACAAGAUAUCUUGGCCAAUGGAUAAAGUGAUUUUGGAUAAGGAUCCAAACUGUUCUGAAGAUUUAUCUAUGGUAAAUUUUCAAAUCUUGUUUUCUUCUUACAACAAUUGAGUCAUCUCUAAUCAUUACUAAAAUUUCUAAUUUCAAAUCUUGUUUUAGCAAAGCAAGGAAGGUGAAUAUCGAAGAUGCAAGAUAUAUGAUUGGACCAAUGAUGAGGACGAGGUCAUUGCUGAAGGUCUCGUGUGCUCUUCAAAAUCCAAAGACAUGGUUAACAACAUACCUCUGGGUCCCAAUGCUGUUAGUGUCGAAGUAGUGAAGGUGUUCAAUGAUCAAGCAUAUUUGUGGAGGCCAACCGCUGAUAUGUUCUUGAUUGGUGAUGCACUUAGCGAGAAAAUAGCAUGGCCAGUCCUAAAGGUUGAAGUCAUGCCUACACCUGCUACAGAAGUAACACCAACUAAAUGUGAAGGGAAGAAAAUAGCAUCACCUUCAAAGCCAGCCAAGAAAAAAGCAGUGGUAUGUAAUUGACAUGAAGUUAAAUUUUUUUAUUUGCCUGAUGAUUGAUGUUGCGUCCUUGAUUGAUGUUGGAACUUGCUUAUGUCAUCUUGUUUGAGUUGUAGAGUCCAGGCAGCACUAGUUCGACCAGAAGUCCGAAGCAGAAGUGCACUCUCUUGGAUUGCAACAACUCUGGACGUAAGGUAGCUGAAGGAAGGGUAGCUUCAACGGAUCCGAAUGAGUUGUGCCACUUUGUACCCCUAGGUCCAAAUGCAAGCAAGGUGUGGAUUGAUGUGGCUAAGAUCGGUGAUGCAAAAGUCUGGAGGCCAAAUUCAGAGAUUGAAUACAUAUCUGAUGCAAUGGGUUCGGUUGUGGCAUGGCCAAAUGACAAAAUCAAGUUUGUCUAAAAUUGUCGUCUGAAACAUUUUUCAAGUUGGUUCUCAUCGGCUAUGUAUUUCUAGUGUGUGAUCGAAUGUUUAGGUACUUUUUUACUCGGUUGAAAUCAUGUAUGCUAUUAUGUAACAGUUAGCAGACAAAAAAACAAAAAUUAUGUGUUAUAUUAUGAUAUAAGGUUAUGUGUGAAAAUGUUUAGCUUGUACAAACCUAUACCCUAUACCCUAAUUGUACUUGAUUUCACAAUUAAAAUCCUAUACCCUAAAGUGAAAUCCCUAAACCCUAAAGUACAAACCUAUACCCUAUACCCUAAUUGUACUUGAUUUCACAAUUAAAAUCCUAUACCCUAAAGUGAAAUCCCUAAACCCUAAAGUACAAACCUAUACCCUAUACCCUAAUUGUACUUGAUUUCACAAUUAAAAUCCUAUACCCUAAAGUGAAAUCCCUAAACCCUAAAGUACAAACCUAUACCCUAUACCCUAAUUGUACUUGAUUUCACAAUUUUGUUCAUUCUUAAAAGGAUAUUGUAAUCUUAAUUUCACAAAACUGAUUAGUUAUAAAUUUUAUAAACACUCAUUUGUUCAAACCCUAUACCCUAAAGCCUUUGUACAUACAAAUAAGUAGUAGUGUUUAUGAACAUAUGAGCUAGAUUGAUCAAUCUUAUAAAAGCUCACAUAAAAAAUUUAUAUUCAUACAAUUUUUUUUUUUGUAAAAUUGGAAAACUGAAUAUUUGAUUUUUAAGAUUUAAUUUAAUUUUUUUUUGCUUCAAAAUCAUAUUUAUAUAUUAAUUUCCAGAUUUCAAACAAAAUUAAUACCUUGAGCCAAUAAGGAGUAACCUCCAAGAUUGCAGACGUGGCAAACCAUAUGCCGAUGGAUGUGUCUUCCCAACUUCAAUCUUAGCCAUUCUUUUUAUUUUUUGAGCCAAUGAGGAGCAACUACUAAGAUUGCACUCGGAUUAAUCAUAGACCGUCCGAUUUCUCUCCAAAUCUUUGAUCACAACCGUUCAUUUUUUUCUGUCUCUGUUUGCACUCGGAAAAUUUCAGAACACAACAUCUCUCUUUCUGUCGAAACUCCUUUCUGUCUCGCGAUCUAAAAUCAAAAAAAACCCUAAAGAAAGCACAUGUAUCUCUCGAGCUAAAAUCUAACCAGCUGUUCCUGUAUUCUCCGAUUGAAAGUAAGCAAAUGGAUAAGUCGUGGAUUUGGCUUCCAAGGUAUAACCUAAAAUCUCUCGAUCUCAUUUCUACUCGCCGAUUGAAAUAAAGCUAACUUCUUUUGUCUGAUUCUUGUAGGAAUAGCCACGAGUAUUCAGAAGGAGCAACUAAUUUUGUGAAUUCGUCCGCAAAAAGAUUGGGAAGUCUGUCUGAAAUGCUAUGCCCUUGUAGAGACUGCCGCAAUCUGAGCCAUCAGUCACUGGAUAAAAUUGUGGAGCAUUUGGUGAUUAGGGGUAUGGAUAAGAAGUAUAAGAGUUCUCGUUGGAGUAUUCAUGGAGAAAAAAGAGAUUCUGCAGAAGACAGUGUUCUUCAAUAUGAAACAGAGGCGUUUGAUUUGUUUAAGACAAUAUUCUCCAUGGACGAAGGUGGUCCAAACCCGACAACUGACAACGAAGACGAUGAAGCACCAGAGGAAAUUGAGUUUAAGAAAAAGCUCAGAGACGCUCAAACGCCAUUAUACUCGGAUUGUCUCAAGCACACAAAGGUUUCAGCUAUCAUGGGACUUUACAGAUUCAAGGUUAAAAGUGGUGUGUCGGAGAACUACUUUGAUCAGCUGUUGGUUUUACUUGAGGAUUUGCUACCUGAAGACAAUGUUCUUCCCAAGAGUUUAGCUGCAAUCAAAAAAAUUCUGAAGAUCUUUGGGUUCGGCUACGACAGUAUUCAUGCUUGCAAGAAUGAUUGCAUAUUGUAUAGGAAGGAGUAUGAGAACCUAGAAAGCUGUCCAAGAUGCAAAGUUUCAAGAUGGGAAAUGGAUAAGCACAGUAAUGACUUAAAGGUGGGGAUUCCGGCAAAGGUCCUUAGAUAUUUUCCAAUCAAGGACAGGUUUAGGAGGAUGUUUAGAUCACAAAGGAUGGCUGAAGAUCUGCGUUGGCACUAUACCAAUGCCACUGAAGAUUGUACAAUGCGGCACCCUGUUGAUUCUAUCUCUUGGGCACAAGUGAAUACUAAAUGGCCAGACUUUGCUGCUGAUCCACGGAAUCUUCGACUUGGGAUUUCUACAGAUGGGAUGAACCCUUUCUCCAUGCAAAGCACCAAUCACAGCACAUGGCCAGUGUUGUUAGUGAACUAUAACACGCCUCCAACCAUGUGUAUGAAGGCUGAGAAUAUAAUGCUGACUUUGUUGAUCCCUGGUCCUACUGCUCCUGGUAACAACAUUGAUGUUUACCUAGCACCACUGAUAGACGAUCUAAAGGAUUUGUGGGCUGAGGGUAUUGAAGUGUAUGACUCAUUUGCGAAGGAGAACUUUAAUCUCAGAGCCUUGCUGCUUUGGAGUCUCAGUGACUAUCCAGCCUUAGGAACACUGUCUGGAUGUAAAGUAAAGGGGAAACAAGCCUCCAAUGUAUGUGGAAAGGAUACACCUGCAAGGUGGCUUAAGUUUAGCCGCAAGUUUGUCUACAUGAGUAACAGAAGGAGACUACCGCUUGGCCAUCGUUACAGAUAUAAAAAAGCUUGGUUUGACAACACUGUGGAGGAAGGGAAUGCUAAUAGGAUACAAACAGGCGCUGAGAUAUAUGAGACACUGCAAGCUUUUACGAAUGAUUUUGGUAGACCUCUAGAGAAGGAAAAAAAAGGAAAAGACUAGAGUUGGAAGAUGAUGAGAAGUUACAAGAAGAAGAGUGUGAAGAAUCAAAUGAACUAUGGCGGUGGAAGAAGAGAUCAAUAUUCUUUGAUCUACCUUACCGGAAGGUAAACUAUAGUAACUGACCUAUAUUAUCUGAUUACUGGAAGAAGAGAUCAAUAUGUCUAACAGUUUCUUGUUUAAUGUGUUAGGAGUUGCCUGUUCGUCACAAUAUUGAUGUUAUGCACGUAGAAAAGAAUGUGUCUGAUGCUAUAUUGUCUCUGUUGAUGCAAAGUGUGAAGUCAAAAGAUGGGUUGAAAGCAAGAAAAGACUUAGAAGAUAUUGGAAUCAGAAAGCACUUGCACACAGAGGUGAGGGGAAAGAAAACAUACUUACCUCCUGCUGCCUACUGGUUAUCGAAGAGAGAGAAGACCAUUUUCUGCCAAAGGUUAGCUAAGUUUAGAGGCCCUGAUGGUUAUUGUGGUAAUAUUGCGAAUAGUGUUUCAGUUAACCCUCCAAAUAUUGGUAGUUUAAAGUCGCAUGAUCAUCAUGUCUUAGUACAGAACUUGUUACCAGCUGCAUUAAGAGGGUUGUUACAUAGGGGUCCCAGGAUAGCCAUAAAUAGAUUAUGCAGUUACUUCAACAGGUUGUGUCAGCGCAUCAUUGACCCAGAGAAACUUAUAUCCAUGGAGACAGAGUUUGUGGAGACAAUGUGUCAGCUGGAGCGCUUCUUCCCUCCAGCCCUUUUUGAUAUCAUGUUUCACCUUCCACUACAUUUAUCAAGAGAGGCACGGUUGGGAGGACCAGUUCACUUCCGAUGGAUGUAUCCCUUCGAAAGGUUUGAUCAACAUCUCUCUUCAAUAUAUCCACUUCCCACAAUGAUGUUUGACUAAUAUUCAUAUAUCCUGAGUUAUAGGUACAUGAAAACACUAAAGGCUUUUGUUAAGAAUUAUGCAAGGCCAGAAGCAUGUAUGGCUGAGGCGUAUUUAGCUGGAGAAUGUGUUGCAUUUUGUUUAGAGUUCCUUAAAGAAUCAGUACCAGUUCAAGAAGCAGUUAAUCGUAAUGAAGAUGUUGAGGCUGAUAGAAUGGUGGUUGAAGGCCGACCUCUGCAGAAGGGUAUAGAGGUUACCCUGUCAGAUAAAGAUAGAGACAUUGCACAUCGAUAUGUGCUAAUGAACAUGGCAUCUUUGGAUCCCUUUCUUGAGUAAGUAAUUCUCUAUGUUUCUUCUACUUGUUUUACUCAUAAUUUCAUUUUCAUAUACUGUUGUUUAAUUUAAAAUCAGGAUGCAUUUGGAAGAGUUGCAAGCUAAGGAUGCUCGAUUGGCUAAAAAUGAAACUUUUUUAUGGAAAAACCAUACUGAACACUUUACAGAAUGGCUUAAAAAUAAGGUUACAAACUCCAAAUUCUUUUCUUGAUUAUUAUUGUAAAUACUGGUUAGCUUGUUUGGUGAUGACUAGUUAGCUUGUAUCAUGAUGCCUGGUUUGUAUCUUGAAGAACAUGUCCAUAUUUUAGCGAAUUGAUGUCUGAGUAGCCUAUAGCUUGAUGAAACUGUCUGGAUUUUUAGUAUUUUUAUGACUGGUUAGCUUGUAGAUUGAUGAUUGGUUUCGUGGUACAUAUUAUCAUGUUUUGAUUAUAAUUUAAGUACCUCGGCUUGAUGAUAAUCCUCUGAUUUCCUGCGGCAGAUUCAUUUAGACUCAAAAGAUAUCAUUCUAAGGAGAUAAGGUGGUUGGCAUUUGGACCAAGAAAUGUUGCUUUAGCACAUAAAGGAUUCAUCAUCAAUGGCCAACGGUUUCAUACUGAUGCGGUCAAGCUGAAGACACAAAACAGUGGAGUAACUUAUGAAGCCUUUAGCAUGUGUAGAUCAAGUGCAAGAGAUAUGAGACAGGUCGCGGAUAUGAUUACAUACUAUGGAGUGAUAAAGGAGAUUUUGGUCAUCGACUAUCACAUGUUCAAAGUGCCACUCUUUAGAUGCAACUGGGCAAACACAGCGAAUGGUGUGAAGGAAGAAGAUGGCUUCACUCUUGUUAACCUUCAUAUGAACCAAGCAGCCUAUUUGAAAGAUCCAUUCAUUCUACCUUCUCAAGCGAAACAGGUUUUCUACUCUAGGGAGGAUGAUGCUUCAAAUUGGUAUGUUGUUAUGAGAGCACCACCUAGAGGUUAUCAUGAGUUGGAAACAGAAGAGGAUUUAGGUGGUGCUCCUAUACCUGUCCAAGAAGUUGAUGAUAUGGGUGAUGAUAUGGAUGAUGAUAGUGUAUAUGUUAGGGAUGAUUGUGAAGGUUUAUUAGUGGUAGAUUGAUGAUAUGUUGUAUGCUUGUGUGAUGGUUUGUAUGAAUGUGAUAAUGUUGUGUUAUGGGAUUUGAAUAAUUAUAUUGAUUUUUGGAAUUUUAAUAAUUUAUAUUGUUUUUAUUUCAUAUUUUCGAAUUAAUUAUUUAAAAAUCAAUUCAAUAAUUAUUAUUAAUUAAUUUUGGCAUAAUUAUAAAACUAAUUAAUAACACGAAACAUUUGCUAUCUUUGCUACUAGGAAAAAUCAAAUUAUUUGGUUCUAAUAACAUUUAUUAAACGUUAUUAUAAAUACUAACAAUUACGAACACAAAAGCGCUAUUGUUAUACACUUAGUAAUAGCACAGAGGAAAAUCGCUAUUAAAAGGGUUGGACUUUUUAUAACGGGUGAUGUCAGAGCGUCCAAGGAAACGCUAUUAAACCAAAAUGAUAGCGCUUUUUGUCCGCUAUUACUAACCACAUUUCCUGUAGUGGCCUGUCCAAUUUUGGUCAAUGAUCUUGCAAAUAUAAGCAGACUUUGACUAAGAGGGAAAAUUAGUAGAGAGAGAGGAUAUGAACUAAUGUUUACAUGCAGGUCCGGAUACUUGUUUGAAAAUCCUUGCAUCCUGUGAUCGAUACUCCCAAAGUAAAGCAUGCACUUUUAUUUAUGCUAAGAAAUGAGGUUGGUAGAGGGGAAUGUCAGACAAGAUUUGCUAAGUUGUUGGCUAGGUGAGUUUGAUUGCUAAGCUAAGAUAUGGUAUAAUGUGCUUUUGUGAUUAGGACUUCUUAGAUAUGGAUUGCAAUAUUGUAGAUGUGAUGAUUCUAAGUUUUAAAUCAUGUGAGUCCCUGCUGUUUUCAAACCUCUUUCAGAGAGACUACCUGUUUGUUUUGCUUGAGGACAAGCAAAAGGGUAAGUCUGGGGGAGUUGAUAGACCAUGGAUUUGACCUACUUUUACUCAUGGUUUAUAAGUGUUUUAAUUACUAAUUAUUAUAUUAUAGAGUCUAUUUAGAGUAUUUAUAGGAUCAGGAGUGAUUUGGAGGAAAUUGAUGAUUUUGGAGCAUUUUGGAUAUAUUUGGAGUAAGCACCCGAGAUGACCAUCGAGCUCGACCAUCGGUCGAUAUUGAAGAGGAAUAAUCGAUCGAUGUUCACAUCUUGACAUCGAUCAACAGCGAAGCGCGCAGAAAGCUCGUUUGGUCAUAGCCGACUUAGAGCCCAAGUCUUCAUCGAUUUACGAGAUUACCCCUGACGAGUUUUAACCUAAUUAUAUAAGUUUUGCCAACAUGUUAGAGGCAAAGUGUGCUUUCUUAUUUUACUAUUUUCACAGCAAAGAUUUUCUAGGAUUUUUAGUAGAUUGGAGAGAAAGUCCAAAGUUAUUUGUGAUUGGAACUCCAUUGAUAUCUAUUUAUUAUUCUAAUGCAGUUUUCAUACUUUAUUGCUGUUAUGAAUUGCUUGGCCAUGUCUGAGUAGUUCUCUUGUUAGAUUUUAGGGUUUAAAUGGGUUAUGAGGGAUUAGCCCCAACUAUAGAUUGCUAAGUUAUGAUAUUAACAAUUAGGAUUGUCAUUAAUGUCUGAUUCUAGAUUAGCUACCUAGAACUUGCCCUAGGAUUGUUAGAUAUAAGCGAUAGCUUUCAUCUCAUCCUGAAACCAUUCUAAUUGAGCUAAGAUUAUUGCUAAGAGUAAGGCGAGAGCUGAUCUAGUAAGCUUAGUGAGCACAUUCAACCCGCGCAUUAAUGUUUGACCAACAGCGUCGAUCGAUAUUCAAAUAGAUUAAUCGGUCGACGUUUCUAAUAGUGCAUCGAUCGAUAUUCAUAUAUAAUCAUCGAUCGACACUGGCCAAUAGACAAACCUAGAAAGCGAGAGCCUAGUGGUUCGUUUAUAAGUGUUGAGCUCUACAAUAUCAUGCAUGCAACUUGUUAGGCAUCUAUAGGAUUAUAAUUCUGAACUUCCUGAAUAAAAACCCUAAGUCUAGCUAUUUCCUUUUAAGCACCAAAACCUCAACCAAUCAAUCAAGUAAUUACUUGCUCAACAACUGCAACAUUACAUUUAAACAAUUAAACCAUUUAGCUUAACAAUUAUGAUUAGAUUUAUUAGGUUCCUAGCUCCUUGUGGAUUCGAUCCCUAAGUACUACAAUUGAACAUCUUAUUUGAGAGAGUAAAAUCACUCCUUAGGGUAAUUUGAGUGAUAUCAAAAUUCACAGGGAGCUAAGACACACAAUAGAUCUAUCUAGUUAUGUAGUUCAGCUAGGUUGAAUGAUUUAAAUGUAAAUUAGCAAGGGGUGAACAAGUAAUUGUUCGAUUGAUUGAUUGGGUUUUAAGACAGAUAUGAGAAACGUUAGACUUAGGGUUUCUAUUCAGACAAUCAGGAUUAUAGAGAUAUAAACUACUAAGCAAAUAUGGAUAUUCUAGAUCUCAAACAAAUAAGAAUAGUCGAUCAACUUCCGUAUAUUUAGACUAUCUAUCGCCGGAUCUAGGACCUCAGAUGUUUCUUGUUGGUCCUGAGAAAAUGUCGAUCGAUUCCAACAACGGGGUGUCGAUCGAUACACCUUUCAGCUCAUCGAUCGAUGCAACUAAUGAGUUAUCGAUCGACGUUCCUUCCAGGGAGCGUUACGCACGGGUUUGACGUGUUCACUAGGUUAAACUAAAUCAGCUUCCGCUUGUUUCUAGCAAUCCUACCAAAACCUAAACGAUUUCAGACAAAGAACCAGACUUCCGAAUGCGCCCUAAUGUCUAUAGGGAAGGUCCUACUUAGCUACUCUAGAACACAUGCAUUAAGAACAGUUUAGUUGAUUAAUAUCCUGACACUUAGCAAUUCUAUACUUUAGGCUAAUCCCUCAUGAAUAUCUGAACCCUAAAUCUAACAAGAUGAACUAGUCAGACAUGGCUAAACAAUUCAUAACAACAAGAUAAGAAAACUGCAUAAAAUAGAAUAGAGUAUAGAAAAUGGAGUUCCAAUCACAAAUCUCUGAAGGAGUUCUUGGAUCUUCUCUCCAAACCUAGGACUCUAAGUAUUUUGCCGUAUGAAAAGUAGAAAGUAUGAAAGCGUGUGUUGCCUAGAACAAUAGCAGAGCACAUAAAUAUUAGGUUAAAACUCGUCAGGGGUAAUCUGGUAAUUCUUGUGGGACUUGGGCUUUAAGUCGCUUGGAACCCAAUCUGGCUUCCGCGCGCUUCGCCGUCGAUCGACACCACAGGGUGUGUGUCGAUCGAUUGUUUCCUUCGCCCAACGAUCGAUAGUCGUGGUCGAUGGUCAACUUCGGGCCUUUGUCGUUUGCUCUCCAAAAUACCCAAAAUCACCACUUUCUUCCAAAUCACUUCAAAACCUGAAAACAUACUAAAAACUACAAAACAAAUGUAUUUAAAAACACCUAUAUACCAUGGAUAAAAAUGGGUAAAAUCCAUAGUAUAUCAAUUAUUCUAUAUGGACCUAUGAUCUGCAAUAAUACUUUUAUACCCUUAAUGAAAUUAAUAAAAGUAAAACAAAGUUAAAAAAAAAAUGUCCACUUCCCCUGCAACCUCGACGUCGUCUUCUUCUUUUCGUUUUCUUCUUCACGUGUUCAACCUCGACACACGCAGAGCCUCCGGUCACAAUGCUUUGUACUUGGCAUGAACUCGACUCCACAACGUCUGCGUCGUCGAUGAAUAUCUUUAUCCACCGUGGGCAUCUCUCUUCUAUGAUCGGAGCUCCAAUUUUUAAUUGAACCACUGCGCCUCUACCGAACACCUAUUCACCACCGCGACAUGUCCUCUCCAAUUUCUCCUUCUGUCGAUGUGCCUUCAUCUCUCCUUCGCGACCUCCGGUGAGGUGCAUUUUUCCGAUCAUUUUCAAAAUCCUCCUCCCAGUUUUUGUUGACAUUCUUGGCUUCAGCUAGCUCCAUCUCUUGUUCUGUUUUGUUUCCCCUCUGUUUUGUUCUCCUUACUCUCUGUUUUUCUCUUUACUUGUGGUGUUUGUCUUAACACAAGCUUUAGUUUGUUUUAGAAAAAGAAAACACGAGCUUUGGUUUAUUCUCUUGCCUUUGUUGUAAUUUAAAGACAUAAACGCUUUUGAAGAGAAAAGAGAGAACUUGUUAGUGUUAGAUGGGGAAAAGGGCUUAUUCAUGCCCGCACUAUGAAACCAGGGAAAAUACAUACCCAAACAAUAUUAACGUGCCAAAAUAUUUUUAAACUAAAUAGAAAUUUGAAAUGCAUACCUAAACUCAUAAUAAAUAGCUAAAACAUGUCUCGUAACUGACACGUGUCAGUCAAUUUUAAAAUAUAUUGAUUUAUUUUUUUAAAUUAUUAUCUUUUAGUUUUUAGCAUUUUAUUUAUUUGUAAAGUGCCACAAAUAAUUAAAAUCAUCAAAUUGGCCUUAUUUAUAAUUUCAAAAUUGGAAAUAAAUUUUAAUAUAUGGUGAUAUAUAAAAUAGAAAUAUUUUUUAUCAAAUAAAAUAGAUUUAAUAUUAUAAAUAUAUUAUUUUAUUAUUAUUUCAUAUUGUAAUAUUUGAUACAAAAAAUUUAAAUAAAUAGAAAACAACAUAAAAACAGUAUCAUAAUUUAAAGCCUGAUUUAAUCUCACUAGUUCUUAAAGUUUAUAAAAUAUUUUUUAUAUUUUCUUAGGUUAUUUUAGUUGCAAAUCUUAUUAUGUGCUUGUGUGAUAUAUAUAAUAUAAAUAAAAUUAAAAAUUUGUAAUUUUUGUUUGUAGUUAUUAAAACCAAUGUUAAUUACACUAGGCAUAAUGUGUGCGCUUGACCCUAACCUAGCGCCGAAUCAAUUAUUUGGUAAUUAUACGAGAAUUAAUCGGAAAAUGGUUUUGUAAACUUUUUGUGUAUUAUUAAUAUUACAUACUAGUUUUGUAGCAAAAUAAAAAUAAUGUAAUAUGGCCUAGUGGUUUUGUGCGAUAUUUAUUUUCUUGAGAUGCUGCGUUCGAAUCUAUUUUUGGUUAACUAGCCAUUCUUUUCUUUUUAUUAAAUAAGGGUAAUAUUAUUAAAGAUCUCUACUGUAAAAUAAAAUUUCUAAAGAGUAUUUUUAGUUAUGUUGAUUAAAAUUUGAAUGACUAUAUUUGCAAAGAAAAUUUUAUAUAAAUAUAAAUCGAGUGGUAUUUCUUGUAAAUAUUACAUAUGAGUAAGAUUAUUUAUAAUUAAUUCUCAUGUUUUAAUAAGGUAGAUAACAUACUUUGAUAACUAAAUUAAUUAAUAUAUUGUAUAUGAUAACUAUCUAAAUUUCUGAUAAAUAAUUAAAUUUAUUAUUUAAAUUUAAUUAAAAUCUGGUAAAAAAAAUAAAAUUGUACUUUUCAAAUUAAAAUUAUAAAUACAAUAAAUUUGAUUAUUUAAGUUAUUUAAGGCAUAUUAACAAAAAAUAGAAUUAUAGAGACUAAACUACAAAAAAAAAUUAAAAAAUAGUCCAAAUCAUCAUAUAACCGGCUAUAGGCAUGUUUUAGCUAUUUAUUAUGAGUUUAGGUAUGCAAUUCAAAUUCUUAUUUAGUUUAUGAAUGUUUUGGCACGUUAAUAUUGUUUGGGUAUGUAUUUACCCUGGCUUCAUAGUGCGGGCAUGAAUAAGCCGUUUUCCCGUGUUAGAUGUCUACAUUGUUACUUUCUUACAUGAAAAAUAAAGUGAUCUCUUUUAUCUCUACCAGAAAAAAAACGUGCGAGAGUAAACAGAGAGAGUAAGUUUUUGUAAGUUGAAAUAUAAAUACAAAAUCAGAGAGAGUGCGGAAAAAGAAUGUUAGACCAUCUGCAACAAUGAUCCUUAGCACAAAUCCUUAAGAAACAAAUUAUUAUAAAAUUAUGUGGACCCCAUUUCAUCUAUGUUUUUGUGCCAACAAAAGCUCUUAAACUCCCUAGCUAAGGAUUCGAUUUGCUGAGCCUCUUAACUAUUUACGGACCCCACUGACACGUGGCGGCCCGCGAUUGGUUAGUUUUUUUUUUUUAAAUCCACAAAAAAAAAAAAAAUAUUCAUAACUACUAUUUCUAAGAAUUUGUGCCUUGAGUAUCACCAUUGCUAAUGCCCUUAAAUGAACAAGAGAACACAACAAAAAAAAAACAGAAGUUGGCCGUGUAACCUAAUACAAUGGAUAUUAUUAUAGGAUAUAAUGUAACAUGUACAAUUAAUAUAGUUAAUAUCAAUGAUGGCUUCUGAUGGCAAGACUCCUCCUAUGGUGAUGUAUUACGACUCCAGUCCGGUUUGAUGGUCUGGCUCUCCGGUAGUGAAGAACGGUGACCGUGGUGAUAAGAUGCAGCAUCUCCGAGUCGUCUCUUCCUCCAUGCACUAACGUAUUAAAAUUAUGUAAAAAGAAAGGAGGAACGAAAGAAAAGAAGAAUGAGAUCAAGCGGAAAGAAAGGAAGGAGGAGAAGUACAACACCAAAACCAUCUAAUCACCCUUGACAAAAGUGAUGCGGCUAGGUUAGCGUAGUGAGGGAGAUGUUUAUAUGUAUAAAUGUUGCACAGUUUGACCAAAAGAAAAGACGAGGUUUUUAAUUUAUUGUAAAUAAAUAAAACCAAACUAGUUUGGCUCAACAAAAUUGAAUAAACUCAACCAUGAAUUAGAAAAGAAAAAAUCGGUCACUGUUAUAAAAGAGAUGCUAUGUAAGCUUAUUAUUACUCAUGACCAGGGGUCUAUAUAUAUACAAGUAUUAGACCGUCUUAUUUAGACCGUCUUAUUUAGACCGUCAUAAGAGAAAAUGAAAUUCUAUUCCUAAUAAGAAUAGGAAAUAGUACUUAUCCUAAAUACAUAUGGAAAAGGAUAAACAUCAAGUAUAGAUAAAUGUAAACUCUCAUUCGCCUAAGUCAUUAGCGAAUGGGCCGGAUGGAUAGCUGAUGGGCCGGAGUUUGGGCCUGAUAUGGGUCGAUCACCACUUGGUUUAUAACACUCCCCCUUGAUCGACACAUCCGGUUCAGGGCUUGUAACAUGCAUAAUGUUGCCUCAUUAAAACUUUUCCAGGAAAACCCAGUGGGACAAAACCAUGGAUAAGGAAAAAGAGUACAACACAUGAACUCCCCCUGACUUGUACCCCCGUGUAUGUUCUUCAAGUUGGCGCAUGGACAAUUUGAUAGUUUAGCUUCAUGGGCGCCAAGUCUUGAACUGGUCCUUUAAUUGGCACGUCCCAAAUUGAUAGAUAAAUUUCAUGGACGUGUGGUUGGUGUAGACAUGGUGAAGAAGUCGGCUGACAUAUCAUAUGACUGAACUUGUAGUCCUUUGAGCUUCUUGAACGUUGAUGUAGGGAUAGCUCUUGCCGAAUUGUAACUUGAGUUAUCUUGUAACUCUCAUAUCUUCUGGAACUUCAUUAAGACAUGGUCAAGAUGUGCAACUUGGCAGCUGACCACUCUAUGUCCUGGUCGGACGGAUGGCACUCGACCAGUACUCGGAUGGACCUCUAAUCUGCGAUCAAACUUUACUCGCAAGUCCUCUCAUGUCCCACGGAUCCUCUAGUCACAUGGCUUUGCCAUACCGUGGACACUUUAAUAUAUAUUGAGUCAUCGACCCAAACACAUACGAAUCACUUGGCUUCUCACGGACAUGCCUUCGUCCAUUCGGACAUACAUCACCUGUAUGUGCUAAUGGCUUAUCCAUUAUAGCCGAUCUUUCUUCAUUGGUCGAUCCAUGUUGAGUUAUAGACCUUGUCUAUACUCGUCCAUACCCCAUGAGUGUCUAAGGUCAUAUCAUUAAUAAUCAUUGCUGCAAUGAGUUUUAUAAUCUCAUCAAACUAUGGAUCUGCAGUCAAAUACACUCAAGGACCUUUAUACAUGGUUAUCGAUCUUUCUUGCCUUCAGCAAUGCAAUAUCCAUUUGACAUCGACCAGACAUACUUCUGGUCACUCUCUUGGACCAUUAUGGUUUCCUUUUAUCCACUGAUAUAAACAUAAUGGCUUGUGCUUACAUUGCAGUCCCAUACUAUAAUCUUAUUACUUGAAAAACAUCGCAGUCCACACUUUCUUUGAUGGCAUCUCAUGACCUACUUGCAGUGCUGAUUUAUUAUAAACACAAGGGAUUUCUUUUAUAAGAAUAUAUGGACUGAUUUGGAUUGUUCUUUAUCGAACUCAUUCACUAAGUUUUACUUAGUCUUAUCAUAUUCAAUGCAGCUGCUUUUGCUUCAGUCCAUGAACAGCUUAGGAACAAUGCUGUUCUUUGAGAACUUCUUUUCUCAUCUUUCUGGUACAUUUAUUUUCUUUAUCCAGUGAUCAAUAUACUGCUUACUACAUCAUUAUUUCUUUUGUUUCCAGACUUCAUCAAUUUCGAGUUUGUGUAGUAGCAUCCACCACAUAGGAGCAUAUUUCCUUAUAAUAUUUUCCUUUGGUCUCUAUGAGUAUCCUUGUGUAACAAGCCAUUCUUUGAAUGCUGUAAGUAGUAAUGUGAACGACCUCUUGACUACUUGGUCACGUUCCACAUCUCACGAUUUUCUUUCCCUCACAAGACCCAUUUAUCCACUGGUCUAUAUCAUCAUAUGGUGUUUCUAUAUAUUUGGCCAAUACGUCCAUCUCUUCUUUAAACUCUUUAAACCUCACGUUUUCUUUUAAUCUGAUCUUUAUUCUUUAUGAGUACUUUUACGUGGGUUCAUGAUCCUCGCUUUAUAUCUUUAAACUCAAGUGCUACUUUCUUUUAUGAGCUCUCUUAUAUGUAAAUAUAUCAUUGGUGUUAACACUGUUAUGUAGUUCCAUAGUGUUCCAGACAUGAUCUAAUAGAUUUGAGAUCUUAUUAUCCAGGACCUUUACUGCCUUGCAGUUUGGCGUCCCAAACUACAUGGUUUGGUACCUUAGAUGUUUAGCUGGCCAGUCUUAUCUCUCUAUCUGGACUGGUUUCCUUUGAAUUCGGAUUUGUAUCAUUCUAUGCACCUUUCAUUUCUUUCCGAGGUUUCUUAUCUUUUGGAACUUAUUGGUCUAUCUUGUAUAGACACUGUAGCAACUUGAUUGUGUCUCUUAGGACAUCAAAUUCGUGGUGCUAAGCUGGUAUGACUUAGUCAUUCUUUUCUUUUCGGGUCAAUGUGUCUGACAUCUAGUUCUGCUAGCUUUUGUAUCAUUUGAUCACAUUCCUUGGACGUCUUAAAUCAUAUUUUCUAGUUCGAGGAUCUUUCCAAGACAAUGAUGGUAAAUACCAUUCUAUUUCUCUUAUUCUCUUUUACCAGCUUAUUUCUUUCUCCCCCUGAUGUUGGAUAGUCGGAUUCAUCAGUCAUGCGAUCCGUGUACCUGGCCAUAAUUAGAUCACCCAUAUUUGGCACAAGGUCUCUUAAAAAACGUGGGAGAAAGAUAUGUUCCUAUCCAACAUAUAUUCCCAAUCUUUUUCUCAUCCUCUUCUGAGGUUCCAUCCUAGACGGCACAUAUGUAUGUGGUGGUUUAUUCAAAAUCUCUUAUGAUGGUAUAUGUCUGGUUUAUGACCCGUAUUCAUUCUGAGAUGGGAUUAUCUAUGCUCACUUAUAUGGUCUGAUGCAUAUUAACCUUACACAUGUAAAUCCUUGUGUCCCCAAGCAUUAGGUAGUGGCCUUUGUAGUAUAAAGAAUUCGGCCAAGUCUUACUAUGGUCAUAGACCAUGUCACACGGAUUUAUAGUAUGUUCAUGGAUCACAGUUUGUCCUCACUCCCCCUCAUGGACAUACUAUAAUGACGUGGUACUUGGGACAAUAGAGCCUUGUGAGUUUCCCUUGUGUACAUGUUACACAACGUGAGAUUUUAUGGGAUAACUCUUUGUGCCUUUUGCAAUAUGUGCAUCAAUUUUUAAAGACCUGGAUGGCUAAUCCAGUCAUGCCAUAAAGUGUAUAAAAUUUCGUGGGUAUACAGGUUACCAUGGCUUUUGCCUUUAUCAUACUGAUCCUUCGCAUAGUCUAGAUCAGUAGAGUAUGUAGGUAUAGUCUUGACCACUUUCUUAUAAGGCCUUAGGCGAUUUUCUUAUAAUCUGAAAGGAACUUUUGUUUCCUUUGCCCAUUGGUUCAAUGUGGAAACCAUUCAUGCUCAAGUCUUUAUAACUCAAUGGGUCUUUUAUUGGGUGAAUAAAUUUGUGCCCCUAUAGGCAAUGCCGUGGUCUAUAAUAGACUGACUAUCCUUUUAUUAAGUUUUCACUGUCAUUUAUCAAUCAAGAAAUCAUCAAGCAAAUCAAACAUGAUAACUAAAAACAACUCUUAUUAUUGCUAUAAAAUUGUAAAUGAUAAGCAAAUCAAAGCAAAACAUAAAACAUAAAAUCAGAAUGUCGAAAUCUCGUUUCUUUAGUCAAUGUAUAAGCCGGCCUCACAAUCCAUAUAUUUUCACACGGCUUCCUUCGAUUCCUCCUUAUCAUUUUUAGCCUCAUUGGCUUCAGGAGGUCUCAUCUCACUGUUUCGUUGCUCAAUGUAUCUUUUCUGAAGUUUUUCAAAUCUGCUAAUGGUAUCUAUAACUUUCUGCUCUCUCUGCUCAGUUGCCAAUAGGCAUGACAAUAGGUCAUUAUAGGUGGUGAAACCCUUAGCCUUAUGUGAUAACAACAGAUCCUUUGGAUGGAAUGUGGAAUAGGUUUUAUAUAGUAAAUCCUCAUUUGUUACCACUUAACCACAUAGUUCAAGACUAUAGGCGAUUUUCAUCAGAGCAGAAUUAUAUUCGUCCACGGAUUCAAAAUUCUGGAACCUGAGAAUCUUCCAUACAUUCAUGGCUUUUCGUCAUAAUGCCAUUGAGUAUCUGGAAUUUAUUUUUGUCCAAAGGUCACAAGGAUCCUCAAUAUUUAAGUACUGAUCUCUCGGAUCCUCAGUGAGAUGAUAGCGCAUAAUUGUUAUGGCUCUAUGCUUUUCACUUUCAAUUGCAUUAUUGCCAUCAAUGAUACAUUUCCCGAGUCCUUUAGACUUCAGGAAAACUGAAGUGACCAUUACCCAUUCUAGAUAAUUAUCUCCAGAGAGAUUUAGGGCAGCAUAAUCCGAAGGCUCAAAUUUCGACAUCUGAAACAUAUUAUUAAUCAGUUCAAGAUGCAACCGAGUCAAUAAAAUCAAUGCAUACAGUUUCACAAGUCUCUCGACCAAACAAUUAACUACUCGACCAUGAUGCGAGAAAAACAAGUAUGCAAGGUCUAUAUGAUGCUUUAGGCCACACGGCCUUACAAAACUGUGAUGCAACAACCCUAGAGGUCGGAUUUUAUAUCUGAAUGCAAUCAAAGCAUCAAUCAUAACAACAAUCAUAUUCAGGCUGAUUUUUAAUCAAUGUUAGACCAGGUCAAUAAUUCUUAUGUUUUACUUUUCUUAAAACAUUUAGUAUGAUCAAGCAAUUAGAAUAAUAAUGCAAGUAUCAUCAGAUCAUAUUAGGGUUUCAAGGCCCAUUUUUCGGUUUGAUUUUAUCAAUAUCAAGCUUUACAAAAGAAUUAAAUCAGAUCAAUCAGUCAAUUUUAGCAAUUCUCUAGCAAUCCUAACAGUAAAAAGAAAAUUUCCAGCAAGUAGAAAAUGAAAUUUCAGGAAAAGGGAAAUUUUCUACUUUUAGCUAAAAGGAAAUUCACAAUUCUGGACAGAUUAUGGUUUUAAUCAAAACUAGCAAUUUUCCUAAUCAGUUCAUUCGAUAUUCAAACAAUUAAUCACAAUAUGAAAACUUGUUUAUCAAUCGAUUUAUGCAAAAAGGAAAAUUAGGGUUUUCAGCAAUUUAACAAUUUUAAGAUCAAAUUCGAUUCUAAACAGUUCUAUUUACUCAAACAAUCAUCAAAGAUAAUUCAAGGUUUUAAUCUAGCAACCUAAACCUCAGAUACAUCAAAAUCAAUCAAUCAAAACAGUCUGAUCAAUUUAGGUUUUUGAUAUUUCAGAUUUUCAAAACAUCAUAAAGGAAACGGAUCAUAUAAUUUAGAUUUAGGGUUUCAAUGCCCUUACUGAUCAAUCAAUGUUCUAGCAACCCUAACAGCCAUUGAUCUAUCAACUUAACAGGAAAACAAUCUAACCAAAACUUAGUUCUAUAUGUUAGGGUUUCUAUUAUCCUAGAUUAGGGUUCUUCAAAUUUUAAUGGUUCAGAUCUUUAUCAAUCAACCAAAUUCAGUGUAGGUUCUUUUAAGUUUCGAGUUUUACCUUUAGAAACUUAUGGAGUGUAGAUUUGGACCACCAAAGAGAGAAGGAGGCCGCGAGCUGAUCGUUCUUCGAGUCGGGUCACAGACGGGCUGCUUGCUUGGUCGGAUCACGAACAGGGAAGAAGGAGAACGUCUGGUUUACUUGAUCACGUCUAGAAAGAGCUAACUUCAAGAGAGAGAGUGCUCGGAUUUGGGUUAGGAAAACGAUUAGGGUUCCAAAGCAAAUCGGCGACGCGUACUGUAGCAGAGCAUGACGGCGCGUCAGUGAUCGGAUCGACAAGCGGUUUGCAGCAUCUGAUUCGUCUCGGCGAGAGCUUCAAUUUGAUAUAUUGCUUGUCGUCUGGGUCCUCGCGGUUUGGGAGAACGAUCUCUUUGAAGUUCCGCCGGAAUUAGGGUUUUGUGAUAUUCGGCUGAGUUUAAGGAAUUUCGUGGGGGCUUAGGGUUAGAGGUUAUCGUGCUGAUAACGUGUUAUAAAAGAGAUGCUAUGUAAGCUUAUUAUUACUCAUGACCAGAGGUCUAUAUUUAUACAAGUAUUAGACCGUCUUAUUUAGACUGUCAUAAGAGAAAAGGAAAUCCUAUUCCUAAUAGGAAUAGGAAAUAGUACUUAUCCUAAAUACAUAUGGAAAAGGAUAAACAUCAAGUAUAGAUAAAUGUAAACUCUCAUUCGCCUAAGUCAUUAGCGAAUGGGCCGGAUGGAUAGCUGAUGGGCCGGACGGUUUGGGUCUGAUAUGGGUCGAUCACCACUUGGUUUAUAACAGUCACUACAGUUUUCCAUUAAUUUGGUUAAAGUUCUAUAAGUCCUAAUUUUAUUAAGGUUUCAUAAUUUUUUUUUGCAAUUAUUACACUACCUUAUAAGUUUACAUAAUAUAUCUUAUAAUUUUAAGGUUUCUCUUAUUUUGCUAGCCACAUUAUUUUGGAAAACAUACAUCGUAUUUUUUACAAAUUUGAUGAUUCUAAAGUAUGUUAGACAUAGAUUGAUACAACUCGUUAAGCUAAACAUAUAAACAACGGGUCGAACUAUAUAUCAAACCAUACAUGUUAUACUUGUAUAACUGGUACAACUAUGUUUUAUGUACCAGAAAAGUGAUACUUGUAUUACUGGUAUAAUUAUUCAGUUUCUGAAACUUAUAUAUAUUCCAUUAGGUAUUCCAUAUGAAAAAAUAAUCAAAUGCCCAAAUUGGUAAGUGCUAAGAUAUGUUUCUUAUUAUUUUUCAUGAUUUUUUGUUUUGUUUGUUUUUACAUUAUUACACCAUCACAUAAGUUUCCAUCAUUUAUCUUAAUACUCUUAAGGUUUGUUAACUUGUUUGUCCACAUAAUUUUUGGAAAACAUACAUAAAAUAUGUAUUUUUACGAAAUUGAUGAUUUCAUUGUAAUCGGGCACAUGCAUAUAAACAUAAAUAAGUGGUAAUAGUGAGGUAACUAUAUUUAUUAUGUGGUACAAUCAAUAUUUUACGAUUUGAUUGCCAACGUACAGCUAUGCACAAACUGGUACAACUCAAAAACUAGUAUAACUAUGUUGUUAUUUAAUCAUUAUUGUUUUAAAUGUGCAUCACGUUUUAAAUUAAUGUUAGUGUAAUGAAAGUUUUUAAGAGUUUAAUAUGAUGCUAAUAUAAGUUAAAUCAUGAAAUUGCUAAAGUAGUGGGUUAUAGAAGAUGGUACAACUAGUACAACUCAUAUAAUUAAACAUAUAACUCAUAUACUAGACAUGUAAUAUUGGUUUAACUAGUACAACUUCAUAUUAUAUACCAUACAUGUAAUACUAGUACUACUGGUUCGAUUUCUUCUUUAUAGAAAUUUUAAAUUUCCAUUUGAUUUUCCAUACAAAGAAAACAAUCAAUUGACCAAAUUGGUGUGUGUUUAUAACUAUUUUAAUUUUUGUUUUGUUUUUUUUUUUUGGCAAUUAAUGUUUACUUUAUACUUUAAAGGUUUGUUUACUUGUUUGUCCACUAUAUUUUUUAAAAACAUACACCGAAUGAAUUUUAACCAAAUUAAUGAUUCGGUGGCCAAAUUGGUAGGUGUUUAAAAUGGUCUCUUCUAACUAUUUUAUAUUUUAAAAAAUAUUUUUUUGACAAUUAUUACACUAUCACAUAAGUCUUCAUGUUAUCCCUUAUAAUUUAAAGGUUUGUUACUUGUCCAAUAUGUUUUAGAAAAACAUACAUUGAAUGCAUUUUAACAAAAUCAAUGAUUCCAUAAUAUGUAAUAUCAGAUAGGUACAACUCAUACAUAUUAUUUCUAGUGGGGUACAACUAUAUUCGACAGUUUCACUGCCUAAAUACAACUACGUGCAAAAUUGUACAACCCAAACAUGGUAUAAAUUUAUACACAAUUGUACAAUUUAAUUUAAAAAUUGAUACAACUAUGUGUUAUUACGUUUGAAUUGUUUAUCACGUUUUAGUUGUGUAUUAUGUUUUAAACAUGAUAACUGUAUCAUUCAUUUAUUAUUCUCGACCUCCUUCUCGGCAUGGUACAAGAAACAAAAAUUAUUCUCGUGCUAUGGAAGCGAGAAGUCUACCGUCUAAUAUUAAAACAACUCAAGUAUUGUCGUACUUAGACUGUUAUACUACUAUAUAUUAUCAUAGUUAAACCAGUUGUACCAGUGAAACUAAUAUUAAUAUAAUUAAACUAGUAAUACUACUUAUACCACUCAUUUGCAGAGAAAAUACAACAUUGUCAUGGCUUUUAUAUCAUCAUUUACAAUAUGCUCUUUUGAAUCCUCCUUUACUGGAACAUUUUCCGGCUCCGUAGCUGUUCUUAAAGUUUCGAGAGAACAUAAGUUAAUGCAUUUUUUUGAAAAUAGUAUAACUAAUGUAACUAGUACAACUACUAAAACAAAUAAUUCCAUACUAAAUUUUACAACUAGUACAAUGAAUAAUAGUUGUGGUAGAUAAGUUUCACAUACUACACAACGAAUAAUAAUUGUGGUGGCUGAGGUUUCAGAGCCGAACCUUCUUUUCAAAGCUUGCAUUUUGUGACUCUGGGAUACCUCCAUUGGUGGUCUCGAAGGCGGCAGCUCUACAGUCUAGUCUUAGACACGCCAACUUUGGUGAAGUCUCGUUCAGAUUUUUUCUGCCACUUUUGUCCACCGGACUGUGAAGUUCUACUUCACAUGUCAACUGUACAACUAGUAUUACUUGUAUAAGUAAUAAAGUUGCAUAACUAGUACAACGGUACAACUAGUACAACGGUACAAGUAGUACAACUGUACAACUAGUAUAAUUACUAAAAAAGUUUAAAUAUUUAAAAGAUUAAAUGGAUUUGGGCCGGAUUUUGGGUAUAUGGCUUUGGAUCCGAAUUUAGGUGGUUGGGUUGAUAAAUAAGUUAAAAAUGUUAAGUAUAAAAAACAUUUUACCAAUUUUUGUAUUAGAUUUAAUUAAAAAAAAAUAUCAUAAAACAAUGAAUUCAUAUUAGAUUUUUUGGAGUCCAUGUGGUCCCAUGCUAGCAUUUGAUCCGCUUUUAUCUAUCGUUAUUUCGAGAAAUGAGUCGAGUCAUGCUUUGUUUCCUAGAAAGGACAUAGUAACUCAUGUUCUUUCAUGUCCUUACUAUUAAGGGAUCCAUCAUCUCAAAUUAGUUCUUGCAAGUUUUCCUAUAAUUAAAAAAAAAUAUCAUAAAACAAUGAAUUCAUAUUAGAUUUUUUGGAGUCCAUGUGGUCCCAUGCUAGCAUUUGAUCCGCUUUUAUCUAUCGUUAUUUCGAGAAAUGAGUCGAGUCAUGCUUUGUUUCCUAGAAAGGACAUAGUAACUCAUGUUCUUUCAGGGCAUCUGUAUUGGCAGUCCCUUAAGGCAUCCUUUAGGAGAAAGGGUGGGAACCGAGGAAGAAAGAGAAGGGAAAAGCCCUUAAUUAAAGGCUGUCCCUUACUCUUCAAUGACCAAAAAAAAAAAAAAAAGCAAGACAAGGGACUCUUUCUCCCUCUCUCUUCAUCCCACCAAUAAAGAUGUUCUUUCAUGUCCUUACUAUUAAGGGAUCCAUCAUCUCAAAUUAGUUCUUGCAAGUUUUCCUAUUUAAAGUACUGAAAACAAGAAGAAGAGGUAGACAUAACCACUCAAAGAAAAUCUCGUGUCAUUGUUAUGUUCUAAUAGCUUUCGACAGGGAUCACAUCAUACUUUCAAAUCAAGAGAAAUCCAUAAGAUCUUUUCUUGCCAAAGUAGAAGAAUGCUCGUGUCCCUAAUAAUAAAAAUUAGGUAGUGACCCGAGACAUGCUCGGGAUGAAAUAUAUAUACAAAAUGUUUUUUACAGGAAAACAGUGAAUAAAAUGCAAAAAAUGAAACUUAUAUAAUUUGUGUAAUUUUAUACUUACAAAAUUAUUGCAUUUUGCAAACGAAACUUACACACAUGUUAUUUAAAAAAUGAGAAAUUUCAUACACGAUUUAUUAGUUGGUUUCUAUAUGUAUUACCAGUUAGGAAUCUAAUAUGGGAAUACAUUUAAACUAAUAUAUUUUGAUAAAUGAUAUAUUGAAUAGAUGGAUGAUGGCAUAUGUUGUAAUUUUUCUAAUAAAUAAAAGGCUGUUUAAAAUGUAGUGUGAAAUGUCUUGGUGUUGACACAUAAACAUAACUACAAACUUGUUAAUGAUACAUAAAAUCAAGGCUUUUUUUAAAAUGCUUCUCUUUUAAUAAUAAGGUGAUCAUGUAUAGCAUAUACAUGGCUUUGAAAUAUUCCGUAAACAAAAUGGAAAUUGUCCCCCUCCUCUCUCUCUCUCUCGUAUUUUUGAGAUGGAGUCGAUCAAAAUAACAAGGAUAUGGAUGAGCCUUGUCAUCUUCAAUCAUCCUCGUCGUCCAGAUCAAGUACCAUCUUCAAUUUCCUUCUGCUAAGCGGACUUUGAGUCAGUGAAGCACCACCAGCUUCAGAGUCAUCACCGGAAUCUGCUAACUCAUCAUCCUCCAGCUCAUGAUCUGAAAAAAGAUUUUGAUCUUCUGGAGAUGAAGCAGAUGGACCAUUCUCGCUGAUGUGAACAUAUGUAUCUGAUUCUCUACUUUUCCCGGUGAUAUAGUCGUGACCACUGUCCUCUUCUUUGCUAGUGGCAAUCACAUCUGGACUUGUUUCAUUCCUAUUCACAAAAAGACUCGAGUUUAAUUAUGAGACAUCUCUCGAGAUCAAUCAAUCUCAGACGUUAAUUUUGUCAAUAAACCAGAUAACAGACAAAACAAGUGGGUACUGUUACCUCUCUGUUUUGUCUUCAGAACCUUCUGGAGAAAUCUCAUUGCUUGGUCUUGUGUGCUUCUCAAGUUUUCGUCUUGUCAUGCUCUUCCUACAAAAGACAACUCACAAGUGUUAAUUUGCAUCGUUCAAAAGACCCAAGUUCAAUCUUCAUGAGAGUCAUCUUGUUAUAACAUAUAGUUACCUUUUCUUGAAUGCUAGUAAGGUUUCGUUAUCGGAUUCAUCAGCUGAAGAGUCAUCAUGGUCAUCUUGCAGCUUCAUGCCAGCUUCUGACUUCUUACCACGAGGGAGACGCAGCCCAAGUUGCUUUAAUUUACGUGAAACUUGGCCAGUGGUAUAUGUGUUCUCAGACCCCAAUUCAUUGGCAAUUAAAUAACAGCAGCGCCUUUCGUUCUUAAAUCUGCACAUAGACAAAUAUUUGGGAAAAAAAAGGAGUCAAUAAACCUGUUGCACAUAGAGAGUUUAUGCAGAGGAGGCGAAGUUUGACCACUCACUUCUCGUAUAAUUCCUUAAUAAGUGUUUCUUGUUCUUUGCUAAAGGAACUCACUCUUUUUCUGCUGUCUCUGUUUCAAAAACAGAAGAUAAAAGUCAUUAAAGAGAAAAAUAAUGUAUUAGGGUUUGGAAAUUCUGUUAACUUUUAGGAGAUACUCACGAAGGUUUCUGAUCUGAUGCUGCCUCUACGUGAUCUGGAUCAUCAUUUCCAUUACUGCCUUUACUUGCUUCCAUAGAGUUCGUACCACGCCGAAGUCUUUUCCUUGUUUCUAGACCUAGCUGUUUAAGCUUGUUGGUUACUUGCGCAGCAGAUAUUCCACCAUCAGGAUCCAAAGUUUCGGCAAUAAGCCUGCUGCAAUCUUUAUCAUCUUUGAACCUGCAAAGACUUUUAUUUUAAUCAACCAAUUGAAUAAACUCUGAACUACCAUGGCUCACAUGUAAAAUUUUGAGUUUUACUACUUCCAGUCCCCUUAUGAAAUCCCAUGGAUCAAUACUUAUAUUUCAAAGCGCGAAAUAGCAGAAACUCCACACAGUGAUUUGUGUUAUUUGCUUCAGUAACUAACUCUACACAUCGAACAAAACAUACCUUUCGUAUAGAUCUCUAAUUUUUGUCUCCAUGUCAGCAUCAAGAACAAGUCUUCUCUUUCUUUUAGAUGGUCCUGCAGAUUCAUUUUCGACAAUGUGAUCGUCCUCACUGCAGCAAGCAAAAAUCGCAAACUUUGACAAAUAGAAAUGAACAGUUUCUUCAGCUAACAAGAGGUAUAUAAAGUAGUAUCCCAAGGGGAAGUUUUCUUACUUUUGAAACCCUUGAUCAUAAGAUAUCACAACGUCAGCUUCAUCAUCCCCAAGAGCAUCUGCUAUGUUUCUGCGGGCCCACCCUUUGUCCGAUGACGAAACAUUUUCUUGAGUUCCUGAGGCCUUUUCUUGAUUUCCCAUUUGUUUUCUUAGAUGGCCAAGUUCAUGCAACAUAUAUUCGGCAUUUAUGUAAUGGCAUUCUUUGCGACUCUUUGGGAAGAGAAUUUCCACAAAAAGAAGAGGCUGUGACUUCAUUUUCUUCAACAUAUUUCUAACCAGAUCUGUCAGGAAGGUAACUAUGUUUUCAUAGUCUUUACUAGGACAAGCUUUCUGCUCAUCAAGGAUCUUAUGGAACGUUAUAAGCAGUGACAGCUGAAAAAAAUAACACAAUAAAACAGUGAGGAAGCUGCAAAGUAAUAAAAAGAAACUUACAAUUUGGGGUGUGAUUUAAUACACUAACCUGAUACAACAUGGGAGACAGUUCCAGGUCUUCUGUAAUCCUCCGCAAAAUGCUUAUUACGUGGUGAUUCGUCUGUUUUGUGUUGCUUCUGUAAAACUUAAGCAACCAGCAUAUGUUUUGAAUGAUGCUGUUGUUUGCAAAAGCAGAAAUAAAUGUGGAAACCUUAAAAUCGACUUCAUCUGUUGCAGUUUGGUCUUCUCCAUCAGAAGAAUCGUCAGUACCGCAAGACAUAUCAUCGACCACAUGAUUUGAUUUAGGGCCGUGCGUUUGUGGAGUUUCAUCAGCUUCAGUCCCUAGGUUUGAAUCCCCUGGAUUGUUGGGAGGUCCAUCCUCAAUAGGAACUGUAGAAUCAACUACCGGUAUGGUUUUGGCGGUGCUAUCUUGGUUUGAUGUACUUGGAUGAUUUUCAGACGGUUCAUGCAAUGUGGCCUCCUUAUUUCCCAUGGGUUUCUUCUUUCUUGCCUUUCUUGAUUUUUUAGAAACCUGGGGCAUUAAAAACAGACAUUUGGUUGAAACUUUGCAUAAAUACACCUUGUAAUUAAGCUUUGUAUAUCAUCUAAUCAGAGUUCUAUAUCCAAUCAGUAACAUACCCUCAAAGUUCCACGCCCUUGAAGGUUUUCCAUAAGGCCUACUAUUAUAUGGAUGCUUUCCACCAGAUCUCCAAGUUCACUGGCAAAAAAACAACGGUGAUGUCAAGCAAGUUAAUUUUACAAGUUAGGUAAUCGUCAGGGACCAUCACACAAGGCAAAAUAUAAAAAUGAACUUUUCUAUCAAAACAUUUAACAAGUCAAACAAGAAAGCAUGCAUGCUGUCACGAAGAUGUAUAUGUUCCCAGAUUCACCGAUUGUAUAAAUCACACUACAAGAAUUGACAAAUCACUGAUGGUGCAAGAUAAAGCAUGCCCUCAAGAUUCUGGAAUAAGAAGAAACAGAAGCUGAGGCCAAACCUUUUAGGUUGCUUGUGCGUGUCAAAACUUCUCACCAGAUUCAGGAUGAACUGACACAUCCCUUGAUCAGUUUGGUCGUAAAACAACUUAUAAAGCAAGAUGCGAACAGUAAAAGCUUCUCUAGAGUCUUCAGGUCGCAAUUUAAUAACCAGAUCUAACAAGCAAAGCUGCAAAAAAGACAAGUAAACAAUGAAGAACAUGAGUCUCUGCUGCUAAUUGCUGAAUAAAAUGCAGAAAAAGUCAACAAUAACUUUUAACGUCUCCUAUUGGUAAACCGCUCAUACAUAUGCAUAUAUCUACAAAAACAUUGAGCUACAGAAACCGUUUAGGAAAAUAAAUAGACAUCCAGAAGCAACAUUAUGGUUUUAACCAGAAAGAGAUCAUGCAUAUUUUCAUACCAUAAUUUUUACUAGAGAGCCUGCUGCAGAUAGAAACUUAAAAUCUUUAGUUUCCUUCAGACCAUCAAAUGCAGUGCGCCAUUUUGAAAUGACAAGCGAAAACAUUCUGUCAUUGAUUGUUGCUGCAAUCGGCGCGCAAAUGUCACUCUUAGAAAAGUUUCCUCCGGUAUUCUGAUUGGUAAAAAGUUCAGGAGUUUCUUCGGUAUCCCUUGCUGGCUGAAAAAGAUAAUAAGCAUUUUAUAAACAACUAUCAGGGAAAAUUAAAUGCGGAAAACUUAGACAAAUCAAAGUGAGACAAAACCAACGUAGUUCAAUUACUCACAGUGGAAGCCAGAGACUUGUGAAACUGAAAAGAAGUGACUGCCUGAGCAACCUGGAAGAAUGUAACGAUGUCGCUAUUCUGAACGGAAGGAUGCUCCUUUUCUAUAUCUUCACAUACCGACUGCAUCAAAACUAAGAGAUGGUACACUGGCAUCAGUAUGAAGGUACUUAAAACCAAGUAUAAACACAAAGGUUGUUUCUCUAUUGUGUCACAUACCAUUAUAUCCUCCUGACAUAAACUGGUUGAUGAAAUCAUGCAGCAACUUCAAAACAUUGUCAUUUGUCACGGGAAUUGAUCCAUGUUCCCAGACAAUCUUCUCUCUGGCUCCACCACUUAUGUGAGGCUUUAGUAAUGUGCUUUCCUCAUUAGAAGGUAUUCCCGUCAGUACAGCUUUAGUACCACCCUACCAAAAAAAAAAUAUUAUUCAGAUAACACACAACUUACAGCAAACUUUUAAGAACCAUCGCGAGGAACAAUACCAUGGUAACUCGGGUGAAUGUCCCACCAAAUUGUGAAUGACGCUGAUUUGCAUUGUUGAGUCUUGCAAGCUUUCUUUUGGCUUCCUCCGCCUCCAUUAACUUCUUCAAACUUUCCACAGCAGCCUUUUUCCCUUGAUCCAACUGUCAAAACAAAAUGAUCGACGACAGCAUCAAUACCAAAAGAAACUCGUUUCAAUCCUGGGAACCAUAUAGAUCCAGUUGAAAGACCGACCUUCUCAGGAGCCAGUGCAAUGAGCUCCAUAUCUUGACCCAAGAGAAUAUAGUGAUAGAUCUCCAACAGAAGCAGGUUGUCAUGUCUCAACAAGUUGUUGCACUCGAUAGUCUGAGUGAGUACAAUAAAUAUAUCCAUGACGUUCUCACGGGACAGGAGCUCAAGAAACUGAUCCCUUAGCGACAAAAAGUAACAAGUGGAUUCUCCAGCCUUCUGAAGCGGCGAAAUAUCAUGGAUAGCCAGUAGAUUCCUGAACAGAGUGAGCACAAGCUGAACCAAUUUCCAAUCUUCCUCGUUGAAAUCGUCUCUGGAAGAGCAUAAAGAUGAGCACCACACAGCAAGUAGUCAACGCAAUAAGUUGGAUUAGUAACAAGAACACUUACAAUUCUAAGUUCUCUAAAGGAGUUUCUAACAAAGACACAACCACUGCAACGAUGUUGUUGCUUACAGUAAAGGCAGACUUCAAACCCCAUAGAUACUCAAUUUGCUGAGGAACAUCAUCUGAAUCAGACUCUACCGGCAUUGUGAGAAACACCAACACCUUAACUGAACAAUCAAAUUACAAUAACCAUUUAAGAAAAUUAAAUCAAAACGAAGCAGAAGAAGAACAGUACCUGCGUUUAGAACUAAGCUAUGUUCGUCUUGGUAAUGCUCUAUGAUCGGAAUCAAAUCUUUGGAGACUAUAUUCCACGCACAGACCUGCUUGAAAACGUCCCUGCUCUGAGGAUCGUCCCGUCGCAGAAACCUCAGCAAGUCUUUCAGAUUAUCUAGCGCCAGUAGAACAUUAUUCAAAAUUAAAACUCAUAGAGCUCAAAUCAGAUUCAUUGGCGAGGAAAGAAAAGUAAGAGUGGGUUACCGAGACAGUAGUCGCUUUUGGAGUACCCGAUUCUUCUUCCCUCUCCGUCUUCCUCGGGUUCGCCGAGAUCGCUGCAGAUGACUGAUAAACCCUCCAGAUCCAUCUUCUUCUUCGUUUUGGUAGAGGUUCUCUCCUCCGUAUCCAUUUUCUCCCGACAGAAAUCAAAUCGCUCUAUGGAAUCAACCAGAGACUAUAGCGAACACACAAACACCGAGCAGCUUCUGACUAGUCUCAGUGAUUUAGGGCUCUUGUGGUGGCGCGUAUUGUUUCACACAUUUUCCCGCCAUUUUCCUAUCAUCAACACACCGAAGCCCACAUGUUUGAACGGGCUGUAUGAAAGUUAAUGGGCUACAAAUAUAAGCCCAUGGACUUAAACGGCCGAAAUGUAAUCGAACCAGUACGUCGUCGUUUUAAAUCCGUUCGUGUCGUUUCCUUGUUUGAUUUUUCAAACCUACUUUAUAUGAUUUGUCACUCUUCCGACACUCUCUAAGCUUUUCCACUUUGUAAGUUCCGCCGAUAAAUCUAAGCUUUUCGACCUCUCUCCCUCCUUCCUUCUCCUGCAACGUCUUAGAGUUCCUUGAUCCUUCGGUAAUGGCUCAGGUGGUUGCUACUAGGUCGAUUCAAGGCUCAAUGUUGGCCCCCAACGGUGGAUCUCUGUCUACGAGAUCCGACAAGUUCUUGAAGCCGGCAAGUUUCGCGGUGAAGGUUCUGGGAAACGAAGCGAAGAGGAGCGGAAGAGUCUCUCUGAAAAGCAGAAGAGUGGUUGAUACUAGUGUGAGAUCCUCCGCUCGUGUGGAGACUGAAGUGGUUCCAGUGUCUCCCGAAGACGUGCCUAACGUAUGUAACCUUAUAUAAUCUAUGUUUUAGGGUUUAAUGAGAAGUUUCAAUCUAUAAAGUUGAUCUCUUUUUCUUGUAUUUUUGUGGAUUUUUAGAGGGAGGAGCAAUUUGAGCGGUUGAUGGAAAUGCAGAAGUUCAGUGACACAUCUGUAGGGAUCUGGUCCAAGCCGACAGCGAGGAGGAAGACAAAGAUUGUCUGCACAGUUGGUCCUUCAACAAACACAAGAGAAAUGAUAUGGAAACUGGCGGAAGCAGGGAUGAAUGUUGCACGGAUGAACAUGUCUCAUGGGGAUCAUGCUUCUCAUAAGAAGGUUAUUGAUUUGGUGAAAGAGUACAACGCACAGUCUAAGGACAACACUAUUGCUAUCAUGCUUGAUACCAAGGUUCGUUUUUUUUUCUUUUGUUUCAAGAGUUUUGUCUUUGCAGUCAUUUCUCUGUUUACUUUGACAGGUUCUUUUUAUGUGUUAUUAGGGUCCAGAAGUUAGGAGUGGAGAUUUACCACAACCGAUUAUGUUAGACCCCGGUCAAGAGUUUACUUUUACAAUUGAGAGAGGAGUCAGCACACCAACUUGUGUGAGUGUUAACUAUGAUGAUUUUGUCAACGAUGUUGAAGCGGGAGACAUGCUCCUUGUUGAUGGUAUGUUCAUCUCAUUACUUGGUUGGUGAAAAUGAAUAUUGCUUUGUUUCAGUUAUUUUUAAUGAUGGGUUUUGUUCCGCUGUUUUAUAGGUGGUAUGAUGUCGUUUACGGUGAAGUCUAAGACUAAAGACUCUGUCAAAUGUGAAGUUGUUGAUGGUGGAGAACUUAAGUCAAGGAGACACUUGAAUGUCCGAGGGAAGAGUGCAACCUUACCUUCAAUCACUGGUUCGACCUUCUGUCACACCCUCUUAUUUAAGUAUGAAUGAUGUUACUCUGAUGCUUCCUUUGUUGUAAUUAUUUUCAACUUCAGAGAAGGAUUGGGAGGAUAUUAAGUUCGGAGUGGAGAACAAAGUUGACUUUUAUGCAGUUUCUUUUGUCAAAGAUGCACAAGUGGUACAUGAACUCAAGAAUUACCUUAAAGGUACUGAUCAUGUCUUAACUGAAUACUUUGCCUAUGAUACUUCUCUUUUUUUUUUUUUUUGAUCUUUUUGGUUACAAAUAUUUGGCAGGUUGUGGUGCUGAUAUUCACGUGAUAGUAAAAAUUGAGAGCGCAGACUCCAUCCCUAACUUGAAUUCCAUUAUCACCGCAUCAGAUGGGGUAAUCUUUCGCAUCAACCUUGUUUGUUCUUCCUCUUUUAACAACAACAGAUUAGAGAUUGUAAUAUGAAACUGAAUAUAUAGAAUGUGCUGCUUAAUGGGAUUUGUGUUCUUCUUCUUCCACAGGCAAUGGUUGCAAGAGGUGAUCUUGGUGCAGAGCUUCCUAUUGAAGAAGUACCCAUUCUUCAGGUUAGCUCUUGCUUCUCAUUUCAGAUAAACCAGAAAACGGACAAACUUUUUCUUGCGUUUAAAAAUUAUGGUGUUGGUAUUACAGGGAAAGAUCAUUAACCUAUGCCGUAGCAUGGGAAAAGCUGUUAUCGUUGCGACUAACAUGCUUGAGAGUAUGAUAGUUCAUCCAACUCCAACCCGGGCGGAGGUUUCUGACAUUGCUAUUGCUGUUAGAGAAGGUGCUGAUGCAGUCAUGCUUUCAGGAGAAACUGCCCACGGAAAGUAAGCUGCUGAUUCUUUUUGGUAAGUAUUGAAGGUUUAUUAUAUACACGAAACUGAACUUUGCUUGGUACUAGAUUCCCGUUGAAAGCUGCUGGAGUGAUGCACACUGUUGCACUGCGAACAGAAGCCACCAUUACUACUAGUAGUGAAAUGCCAGCUAAUCUUGGCCAAGCCUUUAAGGUAAGCCGCACCAUUUGAGUAUUUAUAUCUAGGGGUGAGUCUUGCUUUACUCACAAGAAAAAUGUUAACAGAACCAUAUGAGUGAGAUGUUUGCAUACCAUGCAACCAUGAUGUCAAACACACUUGGAACUUCAACUGUUGUCUUCACAAGAAGUGGUUUCAUGGCCAUACUACUAAGUCACUAUCGCCCUUCCGGCACUAUCUAUGCUUUCACGAACGAGUGAGUAUUCCAUGUUUAUUCUUCCAGAUCAAAUGACUGUGGCAUCUGGUAAAUUUAAGAACUCAUGGUUAGAGAGGUUUUUGCUUCCGCAGGAAAAAAAUACAGCAAAGAUUAGCGUUGUAUCAAGGUGUAUGUCCCAUAUAUAUGGAGUUCUCAGAUGAUGCAGAAGAGACUUUCGCUAAUGCUUUGGCUACACUACUGGUAAAUUCAAAAGAGUCCCUUAGAAAGAAACUCAGUGUUAAAUAACUAGAUUAAACUCGGUAGACGUUGUGUGGUUGUGGGUAUAAAAGUUUGGUAACCUGUGGAUAAACAGAAACAAGGAAUGGUGAAGAAGGGAGAGGAAAUAGCGAUUGUGCAGAGCGGGUCACAACCAAUCUGGAGAUCUCAAUCGACUCAUAACAUUCAAGUCCGCAAGGUGUAAAAGCCUCUUAAGGCGUCUCAAUGUUUCACCUGGUCAGAGUGUUCUUUUAAUUUUUCUGUGAAACUGGUUUGCGGUUAAUUUUCUUUGCACGUCCUUGUAUUGUGUACUCUAAAACUUUCUGUUUACUGUUUCUUAUUCAGUUUGCUUUACCAUGAUUGUGUUUCUGGCAGACAUUUAUGGGAAGAUUUUAAUUUAGAUGAGUAAUAAAUGUUUUAGAAACGUCUAAAUACAAACCUAUAUUGUUUUAUUGUAAAUUUGAAGAUGCAACCAAGUGUGUAAGGACUAUUAAAGAUCAGAAAAUUAGGGGAAAAUUGACUUUUUAAUCCUAAACUUUAAAAAAUAAGCCAAAAAAAACCAUGAACUCCAAAAUACGUCAUUUAAAUCAUGAACUCUUAGUCAAACACGAAAAAAACAUGAACUAUCGUUGACCAAGCCCAUUUAACUCCAUAAUUAAUCAGCCGUUAAUUAAUAGCUAACAGACGUUAAAUGUCUAACCGUUGUCAUUUUGACAAAACGAAAUAACCCUACUCUAGACCCAAAAAUCCCUAAUUCAUCUCCCUCAAAUCUCUAAUUUUUCAUCUAUUUCUCUCUUCACAAAACACAGAGCUCAAUCUCAAACAUCUCUCUAACUCAUCUACUUCUUCAUAUCUUUCUCUAGCAUCAUGAACCGUGGAACAUAUCCAUGGAACACACACAUACACACUAUCAUACAGACAAUGAAAAUCAAUUGAAUAUUGUUGAGCGCAGUGGAAGAAGAACAAAAUAACAUACACCCGAAUCGGAAAUAGACCACCUGAUAAACACCAAACAAAUUAUGAGGGGGAAAUGCUGAGGAAGAAGCCCAAGUUCAUAUAGAAAUAAACUCAUAAACACUCAAAAGGGCUUUGUCAAAACGACGAAAUUUAAACACUUAACGUCUGGUAGCUAUUAAUUAACGGAUGGUUAAUUAUGGAGUUAAAAGGCUUGGUCAACGAUAGUUUAUGGUUUUUUUGCGUUUGACUAAGAGUUCAUAAUUUAAAUGGCCUAUUUCAGAGUUCAAGAUUUUUUGGCUUAUUUUUGAAAGUUCAGGGUUAAAAAGUCAAUUUUCCCGAAAAUGAAGACAAAAUAAGUAUAAGGAUGAAAUUAAAAAUAGGCAAACGGUUUUUGGGAUGGAAAUUUGCCAUGUAAAAUUCUUGAUAUGCAAACUUCUGGUCUUGGCAAUUUAAAUCAAUUAAUACGAUUAACUGGAGAUUUAAUAUAAAAAAAAAUCAAAGUAUUCUAGCUCCAUCUUCUAUGACUGAAAAUCAAGGUCUAUCAGAAGCUUUUUAAUCUCAAAAUUAUUUUGUUAAGAAAAAAUAUAGAAACACAAAUUAUGCAAACUUCUGCUAACAACAGUCUACUACAUUGACAAGAUUUCUUUAAUUCAAUUACAAUGAUUCUAUCUAUAUUACAGAUUUGGAUUAUUUGGUCCUGUUUACUACACAAAUUUCUAACAUAUACAACAACUCUGCUCAAUCCCAUUUCUUAAUGAUCAUCAUUCCAUAUUCCCAUUUCCCCUUUUAAUUCAAGCUUCCAUUUCAUUAUCAGUGGAACUUCAAUGUAGUCCUUACUUCCAGUUUAAAGUCUUUAAGAUUACAAAGGGGAAAGAGUUUACCUAAGAAUCAUCUUGAAACAAAGCCUUUGGUACUGAACUACGAGGCAAAGACCCACCCUCGUGUUCAUCUUUCUCAUCAGUUCGUGUUCGUUUGUUAUCUGUUGUCGUCACUGGUGUCUCACAGACUCUGUCAUAUUCCACUGACCUUUCUUCUUUCUUCCUUUUGGCCAUUCUCUUUUGCUGAUCCGCUUUGUCUCUAGAGUUCUUCGCUUGUUUCGGUGCCCAAACUCUACAAAGAUCAGGCAUCCAACUUGUGAAACUCGAGAAUCUUCUUGCCCUCUCCCUCCUUUCUUGUGCUUCAACCACUUUCUUAGCUUCUCUGCACUCCCUGGUCUCUUUCUUCAAAUAGUUCUUCUUACUCGAACCGGGAACAUCUUUACGUCUCUGGCCACGAUGAUGACUCUUGAUAUUGCUAUGAAUGUUAUCUCUCCCUGAUUGACUACUGUCUUCAUUGUUCAUGAAACUAUCUUCAAGAUCCUCGUCACUGAACAUAAGCAGAUCCAUCUCUGUAUAAAUUAUGCUGACAGCUUCUCCAAGAAUAUGUUGAUACCUGAGAAGGGCAAGUCAAUGGCAUUAGCAUAAAUAAACAUUCAAAAACUUCUAUACUUUCUGAGAAUGGGAUUGUACAUACCUAUCUUUAAUAAUUUUGUCCACAUACUUAUCAAGGCUCCAAUCACUAAAGAAUCCACCGUCUAACUUGCACUGGAUGGCCUCAAGAAGCAUGCAAAUCUGUUUUGCAAACUUCUGAGUCACAGACUCCUCACUUCCCAAACCUAUCUCUGAUUUUAAAAUCUCCAUUCGGAAUAGAAUCUGCAGCUCGUAUCUUAUAGCAAAUCAAAGAAAACAAAACAAUAGUGCCAACAGAAUAGAUAACAUAAAGAAAGCAUCAGUAAAUGGCACAAGAUUAAAGCAUAAGAAUUAGUGCGUAGUAUAACCAAACAAAGCAAAAAGGAUACUCUCUAAUGAUGCUACUGGGUGAAGCUUCAUCAGACUUUUGCUCGCUUGCCGUGGAUGAUAAAUGUUUCUUCUUAAACUUGGCAACUAAAUCUUUCGGUUCUUUCAGUAACAUCUUGGUUAGCUCCUCAGUCACCAACAAGAGGCUUCCACUCUCACAGCUAAAAUCCUUCUCAAGUCUUUGGGAAGAAUGGAGGAGACAGGACUUGACCAGGCGCUCGGCCAGAGCUGCCAAGUCUAUUUCCUCAGACUCGAUCCCUUGCUUAAUUUUACUAGGAAGACUAGCAAAGAAAAUAUCCGAUGACUCUGAUGCUAUAACAGAUAUAUCAUUCUCCUGCCUUACGGAUAUACGAUUUCCACUUAAAGCAAUGUCCUCCUCAGAUACAGGUAAGGAGGUAGUCUUUUCUAUCCCUUCGGAUGAGUUAUGAUUUUUGUCAUCUGGAUCUGCUUGCACAUCCUCCUGUGCAUCGCAAUUACUACCCAUCGACAAACUGCAACCUCUGGGUUUCCUAGUCUGUUUCAUCCAACAUUUCAGAAACUUAAAUUUCUUCGAGUUGCUUAACUUGGAAAAAUAUGCAUCCUCUAUAUCUAUUUGACCAUAACCUUUCACUGAUCUGCAGAACUCCUCCCAGCAAAUGUCAUGAAAUGAAUUCAGAAUCUUUUUGCUUGGUUUUCUUUUAUUUUCGCUACAACUAACUUUCUUACUGCUAUCUUCAUGAUCCACAGUUUGAGGAGAGACUUCACUGUCAAAAACACAGAUUAAAGCCGAGGAGAAAGUGAAGGGCUUGAGGAUUCCUGUCCGAGAACCACCUUUUCUAUUCGUAAGAGAUACCAAAGCUGAGUAACCUUCCCUGUAGAGAUAACUUAAUAAGAUCUGCCAAAUGGGCGAUGACUUCUUCGCUACUUUCUCACCCGUCUCCUUCUCUAGUAUCUGAAGAACCCGAUCAGCCCAGAAUCCACUCUCCUGCUCCUGCUUUUUGUCUGAUUCCUGGGAGACUUGAUGAACAACAAAAGAAUCACAAGUAUAGCCCUCAAGUUCGACAAAAUCAUCACACAUCCUCAAGGCUUUAAUACUGACUUUGGUGACUCCAUUGCAGAACUCUCCAAUUAGAGAUUCUGAACAAGGUUCCUCAGAUGCACUACCCAAGUUGAUGAACUCAUCACACCUCUUCCCACUAGAUAUUUCAGAAGAAGAAAACUCUAGCUCGCCGCACUUGCAUUCCAUUGGCUUACCAUCAAUAUCAGCAAUCUCGAGACUGGCCUGAACAGUAAACUUGUGGCUAGUAGAUAGCAUUGGCGAAACACCGAGUGUUGGGUAUAUCAGUCCAAAGGGAACGAUUAAAGAACCAUAAACCAACGAAUCCGUAGAGCAAUGUCCCCAACCAAAUCCUCUAACUCCACUAUCGAAAAACUCAGACUUCAAUCCUAGUUCGCGUCUUUCACCAAAGCUAACAUCAAUCCAGCUCAAGUGAAUAUCUCUAUCGUCAAACAAGUCGUUCACACAAUCAAAAACCUCCCCAAACUUUGACUUGAACAAACUCAACUCGUGCAAACACUCAUCGUUACUCUUAACAUCAAGAAACUCAGAAACCCAUUUCAAAUCCCUAGAAAUUGGGGAAAACAUCACGACUAGAUUCGACCUAACGACAUCGACUCCUCCACCAUCCGUAAAUCCAGGAAUCAAACCUCGAACCACAGGCUCCCAAGCGUAAUCGUAAACGAUCUGUCGCAAAGACGCCGCGACAUUGACCCCACGAGGCGAUGUUGACGUGGAAGGCGAUCGGAGUUCGCAUCGCUUAACGGCGUCGAUGGCGCGUCUGAGAGAGACGAGUGUAGGGGUAGGGAGGUCAAACGAGAGUUUGGAAGAUGGAAUUGAGAGUGCAGAGAGCUUCGAGGAGGAUAAGAGAGAAGAUAAAGAAGAGAUGAAGAACUUGAAAGAGAAGAGAGAAGCGGAGAGAGGAGGAAACGAGAGGAGCUUCUCGGCAGCGGAGAUUACGACGGCUAGGUAUUGAUUCGAAUCGGGUGAGAGUAGAAGCGGAUUGAGAUCUAUGAGGAGGAUGAUACGCUGCGUUUUGGCGUAUAACAGAUCUCCAGCCAUUGAAAUUGAAACAGAGAGAUCGGAUUUUAGAUUUGGGGUUGAAGAAGAGAGGAGAGAGGUUUAUCGUUUUGGCGGGAAAAUCAUGUUGCCAAAAUUGACAGAAUUGUUGGGCCUUAAUUUUAUUAAGCCCACCAGUAAAGGGAAAAUUCAAUCUGCUGACGUGGCAAGUUCUAUACAACACUAUCGUCCGUCCCCAAAGAUAGAACGAGAACAAGUUCAUCGACUUGCUUCAAAUUUUCAGAUUCUUCUCGAUUGAUUGUCCGGGAAAAUAGCAGUUUUCUCGGUGAAUUUUCUUAUCAUGAACUGCGUCUCUGCGUUCAAGUUCGUACCAUCCGGUGUUCUAUUACCAUGUGCACAAGCAAACCUUCACAUUUCGAGCUCGAAUGCCUCGUUUACGCACAGAUGGCGUAGUUUCGCUUCUUCUUCCCCAAUUCGAAGGAAGACCCUAACCCUAGUUUCUGCGAAAUCUUCGGAAGCGGAGGAGAUAUCCGAUACGGAGGACGAGUGGCUGAAGAAGCUACCGGAGAAGAACAAGCCACUGUAUUCGCAUAGCUUGCCGUGCAUCGAGGCGUGGCUGAGGAAGUUAGGGUUUUACCAGAGCAAAGACGAUAGAGCUGUUUGGUUGAUUCAGAAACCUGAUUGGCACGCUCAGUUAUCUCUUGACGUCACUGAUCUCUGCAUAAGGUACAGAGUCUUAUUGAGUUCGUAAAAAUUUCUAUUUUUUUUUAAUAGUCUGUGAAUGUGAAUGUGAAUGUGAAUGUGAAUGUGAAUGUGAAUGUGAAUGUGAAUGUGUUGUUUUGACAUUAAAGUAGUGUCUUUAAAAGACGAGGAGGAUACUGACUCUGGAUAAUGUUGUCAAGUUUAGUACUUCGCAAGUGCAUGUAUUGAAUCCUUGUUCGGUGCUAGUACUGUGGAAGCCAUGGUUCUUGCUUGUGAGUAUCAGUAAUAUGCUGUUGGUUCGAUCUAGGCUAUAUCUUAGCACGAGCUUUGAAUGUUUUCGUUUACUGGAAUUGAGAUUUGGAAAGCUAAAUAUGAACGUGUGCAACUCAAUUGAUCAAACCAAAUAAGUCUAGACAUUGACAUUCCCUUUGAGAGUGUGUGUUUAAUCCACCAAGUUGGGAGUUACGCAGAUUGAUUUGUAACACAGGUACUUGAAAAGCGGGCCGGGAAAUCUAGAGAGAGACAUGGAAAGAAGGUUUAGCUAUGCAUUGAGCAGAGAAGAUACUGAGAACGCCAUACUCGGAGGACCUUGACGAAUAAAGAGUUCGUUGAACAUCUUUCUUCUUAAACCUAUACUUAUGUUACUCCAUUAGUUUUUAUGCUGAUGAAUUUGCUUCUUUGAUAAAUAAAAGAAAUAAAAUUAAAACUUUUUUUUAUUCACGAUUCAUAACUUGACAUGUGAAUGUAAAAGUUCGUAUGCAUUUGCAUUUGGAGAACCAAUGUGCACACCUUAAAAGAAUAUCUGUUGAUCCGUAUUAUCAUUUCUGAGCGAGGAGCUCCUCUACAAUGUGUAUAUAUAAUCAUUUUUGAGCAAAGAGUCUCCUCCAGAAUGUGUAUGUACAUAUGUCCAUACAGACCGCUUCUAAGCAAUUAUCAGAGACCGUAGAGAACCAUUUUGACUUGUAAAGAUACCCUUUGUGAAGCUGAGAAAGUACAACUAAAUUUCACAAAAGCUUUGCUUCAAUUGUUUAAACAUAUAAAAGAUAUAAAAUUUCAUAAGAUAAAAAAAAAACUUCAUAUGUAUUUUGACAACUUUAAAAUCGUGUGUUUUGGACUAAAAUUUCCCAAAAUUGGGUUACUAUGUGGAUUCGAAGCUUAAACCUCUACAAAUAUCUUUCUCAGUAGAACUGAAACGAGAAGGCAAAAAUCAAAAAGUUCUAUUGAUUCUUCUUAAUAGUGGGAGUGAAUGACGAAUUUGAGGAUGAGGAUGAUGAUGAUGAUGAGUUAGAGCUCUGAAUCUGAUCAUCUUUAGAUGUUUUGAUUAUAAACAGAAGUGUUUCCACAAGCAUCGCCAAAACUAACCCAAGUAUCCCACCAGCAGCACUCUGAAACCCGAAACACGCAAUGAUUCAAAAAUCACACUUUAACCAUAUGAUAGGUUUCAAGAAAGAAAAAGAGAGCACAAAGAAAACAAUUACGAGAGCGGGGUUGCGGUUGAAUAAAGCUCUGAAGGAAGCGUAUCCAACCAAAUACCCAGUGAACAUUGUAAGACCAACGUGUAAACCUAUCAAAAACGAAAUUCAUCAGUGACGUAAUGUGUAAAUACUAUUCCAAAGAAAAGUUAUCAAGGAGAAGGGAGUGAAAUGGGUUUACCAAAACCGAGCUGGUCUUUGUAAGAAGAGAAAGGCUCUUCAACUUGUUUCCUAGGUGUUAUAUCUUUAACAAGCUCAGCGUAUUCCUUCCUCUCUGCUAUUUCCCUCAGCUUAAGCAGUCUCAGUUUCAGUUCUUCACUCUACCAGGAGCAACGAAUCAAAUCAAAUUAAACAUCAAAUUCACAAAGAAAUGGUAAGACGUGCAGAAGAUAUAUAUAUAUAUAUAUAUAUAUAUAUAUAAUGAAUUACUUCCUCGCCUCGAUUAUUCCCAUUAACCAAAACAAAAAUGGAUUCAAGCAAAAACACAAUCGUGCCCAUCUUCACAAAUGAUAACUAGAAAUGUUCCAUGAAUCAUUCGCGUUGUUGGCCCCUAAAAUUUAAUAUGAAUGAGCCUGAUUCUACAAUCGAACACGGAUGGGAAUACGAAAUCCCCAGAAAGAUCAAUCGAAAUCGGAUUCCACGUAACAUUCGAACUUCACAUACCUUUUCCCUGGGUUUGGGACUGGUGAAUACGAAACCGGAGCCGGAGAAAAGUCCCAACAAAUCCGGUCUGGUCGAGGGAUCGGAUCCGGUCCAUAUAGCGCGCAGCAAUUUGUAAGGGACGGUGUUCCUCGACCGCAGAUCCGAAGCGAUAUCUCUGAGUUCGUCGGAGAGACGACGAUCAUCGCAGGCCGACGCGAGAAAAGAUCGCAGCGGUUCGGUGACGGAGAGAAUCAGGCCAGACGCAUUUCCCGGGUCGGGUUGAUCCAUCUUUUUGAUCGAGAUGGUAUUCGUUUCUCACGCGCUCUACAAGAUCUCGGAGUGAAAAUCACGCGCGAACAGUAGUAGCAUGCAAGAAAUGGGCUUCGUUUCGGCCGGCCUUUAAAGAGUCUCUUGGAUCGUCGGAUAUGAGCAGGGUCAAGUAACCCGAUCCAAAAAUAGUAAGUAAUUUUAUCACGUGACAAUCCACGUAGAAACAGAGCCGUGAAAAGUUGAGGGUGUUCUUGUAAAUAUCAAAUGGUGGUUUCACUUUCACGAAGACGAAGUGAGAUGAGUGAGUCACACUGUAUAUUCUAUUCAGAACCUAUCGUUGUCGCUGCUUCGUCUUUCUCCAAAAACAGUUGAUAGAGAGAGAAUCAGCAGAAAACCAAAAUCAUCUAAUCUCUCAUAUUCGAUCGAUAUCUCGCAACAUUAAUUAUCCUUUUGUUGCGAUUCCAUCGAGGAUGAUUUCGAAUCCAAGCCUAUUAUCCUAUACUUGCAUCGCAAAAGGAACCGUCGUCCUCGCCGAGUUCGCGUCAGAGGAAGAGGCAGGAAUCGAAGACGUAGCUUUGCGAUGCAUCGAGAACACGCCUCCGCACCAUUCAAUCUUCUCUCACACCGUUGGCAAGAAGACCUACACAUUCUCAAUCGACGAAGAAUCCUUCGUGUAUUUCGCGAUCCUCGACGAAGCGAUGGAGAAACCGGAAUCCUUCUGGUUAUUGAACCGGUUGAGAUCAGCUGUCGAAGAUCUGGUCAGAGGAGGGGAGACGUUGACCAAUCCUUCUCCUCGUUGUCUCCAAGCUAAGAUGGAUCCAGUUUUCGCGGAGAUCGUUGGUGGUGUUGAUGUGGAUUUGGAGCUGGACAUGGAUUUGGUUGGAUCUCCGAGGAGCGUGGCCAGGGAUAGUCGUAACCCUAGCAUUGAUUCAUCUAAAGGGAGGAGAGCGUCGCUGAUGCCGCUUCUGGGGAAGCAAUUGAAGGCCUUGAAGAAGAAGAAUAAGAGAUUGCAUACGGAAGAUUCCGGUGACGUUGGCAUGAUCAAGGAGACGUCGGAGAGGAAGGUGGAUUUGUGUGGGAACGGGAACGGUGGAGUGUCACGCAAGGAACUGAGAAAUGGUUUGUUAACAGAUCAUCAUCAUCACAGGCAAAAGGCGAAACAGAUGUGGAAGAAACAUGUGUGGUUUGUGUUGAUCUUCGAUUUCUGCAUCUGUGCUCUUCUCUUCGGAAUCUGGCUUUGGGUUUGUGAAGGGUUCCAAUGCGUCAAUGGGUAAAGUAAUCAACCAGUCUCGGUCUGUACUUCUUCAUAUUCAUUUUGUUCUCAAGCUGCUUCAGCAUUUGAUCACUAUCAGUUCAUUCUUCUUCUUUUUUCCUCCUGAGCCUAAGUGCAUAUAGGUAUUCGUUUUUCUGGAUCAAAAAGUCUGAUCUUUUUUUUCCCUCUCCUUUGUCAUUUUUUUGUUUUGUUAUUUUUUAAAAUCACAACAAAGUGUUGUUUCCAGGAUGAAACUUAGGUAAGUUGAGUCCUGGCUUUACAUGUUAGUGAUAUGUUCAUUGUACUUUGAAAGUUAUCAUUCACAAGCAACAUGUGUGUUGUAUUAUUGUAUAUCUCUUUUUUUCUCUUUUGAUGUAUACUCCCAUAACUUGUGUGCUGUGAUUAUUGAACAUGGGUCGCACAAUAAUAGAUGACGAAGAAAGAUGGUUUCAGAUCCAGUCGCACGUUACACUGCUUCUAUGGUCGGCGGAUUUAAAAGAAAACAGAAAUAUUCCAAAAGUAAGGUAACUCCAGUACCUAACUCAGUCUAAGGUUUACAUUACAAGACAUAAUUGAAAGAAGAGGAGGAUUCGGAAAUAAGUAACGAAAGAAGGAGGGAGAAAGUGUUGUAUCUUCUCAAUCUCAUGUUCAGCCACAAGGAGUGAGUUUCUUGUUACCUGCACCACGAGGAUUAUCGUCCUUCCAAUCAUCGAAAGCCCUAGCUUUCAUCACAGCUUCUUCAUCUUCGUCUUCAUCUUCUUCAUCCUCUUCCUUUCUUCUCAGAGGCCUAUCAUUGUGCCAUGAGGUGGUUGCUUCUUCAAUGGCUUUUUUGGUCUGUUCUUGCCAAUCAUUCAUUAUAUUCAUCUCUGUUAACCCAGCAUCCUCUAUGCUCAUCGUCGGCAUCCUACAAAGCCCCCCCAAGUUUAAGCACCUUUUUAAAGGUAUUUGCGAUGAGUUGUGACUCUGUGUUUACCUGUGACUUGGUUGGAAAACUUGGGCUAUCAUCCUCUCUCUCUCCGUAGAAAGAGAUCCAUUCACAAUGCUUGCUGGACCGAAUAUAAGAGGUUGGUGCUUGUGCUCGUGACCCUGUGAUACUGAGGCUCUCCCUUCUAACACAUCUUGUGCAAAUGUAGCACAAGUGAUUGGUUGCGCCGGUCUAGAGUACUGUACCCUCGCAGCAGCAUCUUUGUGCCAAGUUUCAGCCUUCUUUGUGCGAUCAUCAAGUGCAUCCCGAGAAAACACAUCCUCUCCAUCCUGAUCAUCAUAACACCAUUUUCUUAGAUUAUCAAAGAGUCAUAGUACCAUGUAAAGAAAGAAAGCAAACUUACCUUCAACUGUUUUUCCUUGAUUGCAGAGAGCAUUUCCUCUUCUCUCUUUAGCAUUUCCAACAGAUCAAUAGCCUGCAACGAAGCUUAACCAUCAGAUAAAGGCCACAUCUGGUGACAAACCAUAGAGGAUUCCACUAAUGAUGUUUAGACAAACCUUGCAAAUAGCCAAGUUUAUUGUGGCGAGCCACGCCUGCAAAGAAAAGACGUUCAAGAAAAAGGUUAGCAGUAAUCUGAUUUACCAAAAAAAAUAAUAAUAACACAGAGCACAAAAACAAAACUGUGGACGUACAUCUCUUUCUUCUUCGCUGUCAUCAUCUGGAAUGUCUUCUUCUCCAGAUUCAACCGGAGUUGACAAGGCAGCAGCCCUUUUUGAACGCCAGCGUCGCUCCUUCCUCUCUUUAAUCUCAAGGAGCUUCGCCUCUGCAGCCUUCUGACGUUUGAACCGAGCUAUCUAUAAAACAUGGAAGAUUAUGAAAAUCCGAAAAACAUAACAUAUUCUUCUCAUUAGAAUGCAAACACAAAGAACGGCGGUGGAUGAAUAAUCUACCUUGAGAGCUCUCCGAUCAGCAGGUGGAGCAGAACCUCCUCGUGAAGAAGCCUCCAACUCCUCUUCCGGAACAAGUUCCAUUGCCUCACAGAAGGAAAAGAACUCCUACACACAUAAUAAAGACUCAAUGUUCAAGAAUACCCACUAGCACUAACAUCAAAGUGAUGCAACAAGCUGCAGACACUAAGCAUACCUUCAACUUAGCAUACGAAGCCUUGACAAUCGGAAUCCGGUCCUCCUGUUUGAUUUUCUCUGUCAACUCCGCAAGAUAGAAAGGUACCUACAAUCACAGCCUUCGUCACUUCAAGAAAAUGUCGAUACAAACACACACAAAAUCUUAUGAUCUCUACACAAUCGGAGCUUUAGUAGCUAGAGAAAGCAACUAUAGACACGUCCUCUCACAGAAACAUAAAGCCAAACAAGAGAAACAAUAGAAGAUCAUACCAAAAGAUACUUGAGAUUGUUGGUGCUGAUAUCUUCCUUAGUCUCGUUAGAAGAGAAGAGCCCCAGCUUCCCAACCAUGUCUUCGCAUUUCUGUAACAUCUCACAUCCUUUCUUCACAACAUCCUAACACACAAACCUCCUCCGAUUCAGUAAAACUCUUGAUUCCGAAGAAUCCGUUUCACAUAUAAUCAAUAAAUAAAUAAAACCCUAAUCGAAUUCGUAUAAUAGGUAGAAGCUUUCCAACCUGAUCGGCGCGGGAUUCUGAAGCCCCGAGAUGAAUCUUCCUUGCUUCCUCGAACAACGCCGAUAAUGGCAUCUCCUCCAUAGCUAGACCACCCAUCACUGACGAAACUUACAAUACGAGAAAAAAUGAUUCGAGUUUCUUCGAGAAAGUGGAUCGGUGAAAUCUGAGAAAAAAUGUUGUUUAGGGUUCAACUUAAAAUAAUCUGAACUAAUUAUUUUAAAAGGACGGAUGAGAUUUUCCCACGUCAAGUCAAAUGACGAUAGUCAGAGUUAGUUUCAGCCGUUAGAUCUGUGGACAAUUCUUUAACCGACUCAGUUGUAAACAUUCCGGCCCUGUUCGUUUGUACAUCCAGAAGAUGCAUCCACAUGGUCCAUCUAGAUAUUUUAUCCAGAUGCUCUAUCUAGGUGUUGUUCGUUUCUUCAUUUUGUCCAUGCAUCCAGAUGAAUCAUCUGAAUGUAACUACGUUCGUUUGCUUUUCAUUUUUUAACUUUCAUCUGCAUCCAGUGGACUUGUUAAUAAAAUGAUUAAAAUAUAACUUUUUUUACGUUUCGGCGAAAAAAUAGCAUUUUUACGGUUUUGACAGAAAAUAUUUUUGCGGUUUUUGAGGAAAAAUGUGUUUUUGGCGAAAAAGUGCAUUUUUGUUGUUUUGGCGGAAAAAUACGUUUUUUGUGGGUUUGGCGGAAAAAUACGUUUUGCGGUUUGGACGGGAAAAUUGUGCUUUACGGUUUUGGCGGGAAAAAUGUUUUUGACGGGAAAAGUUAUUUCGCGAUUUUGGUGGAAAAAACAUUUUCGCGAUUUUGGCGGGAAAAGCAUUUUUGCGGUUUCGACGAGAAAAUACAUUUUUUCCGGUUUUGGGUGGGAAAAUACAUUUUUCCGAUUUUGGCGAAAAAAUGCGUUUUCCAGUUUUGCCGAGAAAAUGUGUGUUUUCCAGUUUUGGCGGGAAAAUUCUGUUUUCCAGUUUUGGCGGGAAAAUUCCAUUUUCCGGUUUUGGCGGGAAAAUUCUGUUUUCCGGUUUUGGCGGGAAAAUGCGUUUUUCCGGUUUUGGCGGAAAAAUUUUGCUUUCCGGUUUUAGCAGGAAAAUUGUGUUUUCCGUUUUUGACGAGAAAAUGCAUUUUUCCGGUUUUGGCGAGAAAAUGCAUUUUUCCGGUUUUGGCCGGAAAAUGCUUUUUGGAGUUUGGCGGGAAAAUGCGUUUUUUGGGUUUUCGCGGGAAAAUACGUUUUUUUUUUGUUUUGACGGGAAAAUGCGAUUUUUCGGUUUUGGUCGAAAAGUGCGGUUUUACUGGUUUGGCCGAAAAAUGUCUUUUUAUGGAAAUGUGUGUUUUACAUUUUUUUGCGGAAAAACGCAUCUUGCGGUUUUGGCGGGAAAGUGUGUUUUUUCAGUUUUUGCGAGAAAAUGUAUUUUUUGGUUAUAGCAGAAAAAUGUAUAUGCAAAAAAAUAGAAUUUAGGGUUUGAAAAUAAUAUUUGAAUCUUAAAAGGCCAUUUUUGUCAUUUAUCAUUUUGGACUGAACUAGAUGCAUCUGCAUCCGGAUGCACCAUCAAGACUAACCUUCAUUUGGGUGAGAAUUUGAGAUGAGUUUUUAAAAAUUCGGCUGGUUGAUCCAUCUGGAUGUAGCAUUAUAAUGCACAAAACGAACAUCGAUUUGCCUCUUUAUCCAAAUGGAUCAUCUGUGAGCAAACGAACAGGGCCUCUACCUCCAAUAUCUAGUGCGAGUGGGUGUAGCGUAAACCCGUAAGUAAUUGGUUUCUUGCCGCACGAUCUAAAACAUCGACGGCCAAUAAAAUUAAUGUAUAUAUAUAUAUAUAUAUAUAUAUGUUUGGUUUUACUUUUAUUUAUUUUUUGGCUAUAAAAUGGUUUACUUCAAAUUCGAUACCAUCUUUUUUUUUCCAGCAAACAAAGUUCCCAGCUUUACAGAUUUCAUCAAAAGGGGGAAAAAGCUUGAUUGAUUCUCGAAGAAAGAUCCCAAGAGAGAAGCCUAUCUAAACAAUGCCUUUCUUUCUCACGAAACCUUCUUCUCUGAUUCAACACUUUAAUUUACAGGUACUUCAAUCUUAAUCCUUACACUACUUUAAAUCUCUUUCUCUGUCUGAAUAUCAAUCUUAACUAGUUGAUUUGUCUCUGUCACAUCUCUAUUGGAGAUUCUCAAUCUCGAUUUCAUUUUGGAAAAUAAUGCAUUUGGAUUUUGAUGUAUGUCUGUAUCUGGAAAUUCCUUUGUAUUUCACUAUUUCAUUGGGAUGAAAAUAGUAAGUGUUAGGAUACAUUAAAAAAAAAUUGAUGGUUUCUUUUACAUGUGCUGUGUAUGAUAUGAUAUAGUUCUCAAGUGUUUGCAAUAAUGCGUCAACAAAGGCCCAUUAUAAGAAAAAGCUGGAAAAUUAAGGAUUUAUUUCUUAUGUAAAUUACAAAAACUCUAAAAAGUGUUAUUAUUGAUAGUGAAAUGGAAUGAUUGCAUUUACUUGGUCCACUUUUAGAUAUCUCUAAAAACAUUUGUGGUGUAAAAGUCUUUUUAGUUCUAAAUCAUCCAUCAAUUCAUACCAGCUUUGUUGAUGAUGGUGAUGAGUAUUUAUGUCUGAGAAACAGUAUUUACAUAAACAAAAUAUACAACAGACUUUUCUAUCUCUGCACCCUUUGUAACUUUUAAGAUUAAAAAGUUUUUCACUGUUAAGACUCCGAUUUUUUAGGUUCAGGGAUUUCUAACUUCACUCUAUUUUUUAUUUUAAAAUAGAAUUUAGAGCACAAAUGUGUAAUGGUACUCUAUUUUUUACUCUAUAAUAUAAUAAAAAAUAGGUUUAUUUUAUAUAUAGAAUAAGUUGUUGUUUUUUGUUCAUCAUUCUCUUUUUCAUUCUAAAAUAAAGUACUUUUGGAAUAUAUCACAACUCUGUUAUAGAGUUAUUCUAUUUUAGAGUAAAAAAUAGGGUGAACCUUUGGAAAUAAUUUCUAAUGAGAUGGAUCUUACUACAAAAACCUAGUUAAGUAAUCUCAGUUAUUAAUGGUGACUAUUGAAGACGAAUGAAUAUGUAGUUUGGUUUUGCUUUCCAUACCAACCAAUCGUUAUUGAAAUGAAAUGUCAAAAACAAAAAUUAUAAAGAGCAGGUGGGGACACAUCUAGGGACCUUGUGUUAACAGAAAACCAGGAGAAGCAUACAUUUUUCUUGCCUUUAUCUAUCUGUAAGGAUGAUCUUACAUUACAUGAUUCUUUUGACAGUGUUUCUUUUACAUGUGUGUCAGAUAUUUUAUUUUAUUUACCUAACUUUAUUCCUCUGCCAUUACUAUCUGAAAAAGAAGAAUAAAAAGCUUAUGUAACUCCCACCCCAACAAUAGAACAUGCCUUACCACAUGUUCUUCCCUGUUUUUCCUUGUGCUAAGACUUUGCAGUUUCACUCAACCUUUGCUUAAGAUCUCGGUCAUCUUCUUCUAUGGUUAUGUUCUUCUUUCUUUUGGUUUCAUUUUGAAUCCUUUUUGGUUCUUGCAUUUGAUGUUCUUCUGAUUCUUUGCUUUUGAAUCUAAUUUUCACAUUCAUUUUUAUCAAAAGUUGCUCUGAUAGGAGUUUUUUUUUUCUGUUUUCUUAUCCUGACAGAUGGAUGAUAAAAAGGAAAAUGCAUCUUGAGAUUCAGAUUUAGUCAUAUCUACAGAGAUUAGAGAGCUUGGUUUUGUGUUGUUGCUCUUUUGUUUUUUUAUUAAAGAGCAACAACCAUGUCCAUGGGAGAUGAGAAACAGUGUUGUGAGAUGAAGAACAAAAUGAUGCUAUUCGCUUUGCUGAUUAGGAGAAUCUUUGAUGAAGAGAAGGGUAAUCUUCUUCAGAGGCUAGAGGAUGCCAACAGUGAGAUUACAGAGCUGAAGAAACUGAGAAACCAAGAUGCAAAAGCUAACGAGAAGGUAGUUAGCAUAAUCGCGUCUCAAAAACAGAACUGGUUAAAGGAGAAAUACAGACUAAGGCUGCAGGUUGAAGCUCUGAUGAGGGAGCUAAGGAACAUGGAGAAGAGGAAGAGAACAAGCUUAUCUGAGUUGCAAGAAAGACUAAAAGAAAAGGAUGGUUUAGUGCAAUCCAAAGAUAAAGAAAUUGAAGAAGAGAAGCUUAAACGCCAAGAGGUAGAGGAGAAGCUGGUCAAGUCAGAGAAAGAAGUUCAAGAUAUGAGGGAAAUGAAAGAGAGAGAUGUGAAAGAACAUUCCUCUGAGCUAUGGAGGCAAAAGAAGACAUUCCUCGAGCUUGCUUCUAGCCAGAGACAACUUGAAGCUGAACUGAGUCGUGCGAAUAAGCAAAUCGAUGCUAAAAGACAUGAAAUUGAAGACUUGUCUUUAGAAAUGGUCAAGAUGAGAAAAGAUUUGGAAGCAAAAGAUCGAAUAUUGGCGGUGUUGUUGAAGAAGUCAAAACUGGAUAUAGCCGAGAUGCAUACAUUGCUUAUGGAGGCAAAAAUAAAGCAAGAUGAAGAUGAAGCAAAGAGUUGGAGAUCAAACUCAAAGUCAAGACGGUCACUAAGAAGCAUGUUUGCUUUCGAAACCACAAGUAAGCCUACUAAAACCAACAGUGUUGGUUCCAUUACUCACAUUGAUGAACAUGUGGAAUGGAAUAAAGAUCCUAAUGUCGUCCCAGAGAUCAUGGGUUCCUACUCUAAUGAUGAUUUCAGUGAACUUGGUAAUGGAGUGGUGCAUUUUGAAGGAGCCAAUGGAGUUGCAAGGAAGCGUGAGAACAUGAGUUUUGGUGAAGAAGAUUUUUGUAUAAGAGUGAUAGGGAAGAAGCAAGAGAUAGAGAUAGGGGUUUUGCCAGAGCAUGAAAAGAUUGAAGCUUUGUGUUUGCAUCUGAUGAACUCUGAGUUAGAAUCAAACCGGUUGAGAUCUUGUAUAGAAGGACAGAGCCAAGAAAUGUCACAGUCGAGACACAACAACACAAAAGUGGAAGAAUCUGUUGCUAUGAGGAAACAACAUUUCAAGACACAGCUAAAAAGCUUCAUGUCCCACAAGAACAACACGAGUUAUAGAAGAAAGAACACAAAAGCAGAAGAACUACAAGUGCAAGAAAGAGUAUUUGGACCAAAGGAAGGUUCUAAGGAACAUGCGACGGAGAAAGGAAGGGAAUCAUAUUCUCCUGAUGAACUGAGACAUUUAACUUUGAAAGCUGCUCAAUCUGAUGCUGAAGAAGAAUCUGAAAAGGACACUCUCUUAACAGAGAAUGGAAAAGCAAAUGGUAAGGAGGAGAGUGAGAGCCAGCCAUCAAGCACAAACAAUCCACCUUGGAGAAUGGAUCUUCAUGCUCUUGGAGUCUCGUUCAAGAUCAAAAGGCUGAGACAACAGCUGAUGAUGCUUGAAAGAUACAUCGGCAAACAAGAGAGCCAAGAGAUUGACAAGAUCAGCAGCAGUGAUACCGGGAAAAGGGCUUUGUUAUUGCUCAUUACACUGCUCAACAAACAAGUCACUAGGUAUCAAUCACUUCAAGAGAAGAUUGAUGGUAUCUGCAAAAAAAUGGUAAGCAAAUCAUUUUUCCUCAUAUCAAUUACAUUAGUGCCUCUGUUAACAUUAACUGAUUCUUUUCAUUAUAUUUAGCAUGUGAACGACACAGGAAAGACAUCACUAGAGCAUUUCUUAGAUGAGACAUUUCAGCUGCAAAGAUACAUAGUGGCAACAGGACAGAAACUAAUGGAGAUCCAGUCCAAGAUCACUUCCGGGUUUGUAGAGGUUCUAGUAAGCUUCAUCGCUACUGAAUCAUCCUCUGCCAGUAGCAGCUUUGAUCCAGAACGUUUUGCAGAAAGCAUUAGAAGUCUGUUUCAGGAAGUGCAGAGAGGGCUUGAGGUUAGGAUAUCUCGAAUCAUAGGUGAUCUUGGAGGGACACUAGCUCGUGAGGGAAUGAUACAUUUGAAGCGACGGGAAGACGGCGUUCAACGACUAUGAGUAGCUACUACACUACAUGUAAAUCUUUUUUACAAUUCCACUUCAGCUCUUCUUACGGUUAGUGAGAAGCCUUUUAGGUUUUGUUUGUAUAUAGAAAUUCACUUAUUUUUAAUCGUUUUUUAGCUUUAGUCUCCGUAAAGAUGUAGGAAGAAACAUUCUCCAUUUCGAUAAACUUGUAUGUUCUUUACAUCAUAUAGUAAAAUCAUUAUUACUGAGUUUUUUUUAAAGAAAAUCUAUGUUAUAUGAAUUAAAAAAAAAAAAUCUUCAAAGAAAUGAAUUAUUUAAUCUCUUGCAAUGGUUUGCUUCAUAUAAUAAAGGUUUCUCUUAGUUCCUUACUUGUCUAAAUCAUGCAUUACUCAAAAUGUAGGUUCUACUACAACAAAAGGAGAGAUGUUCACUCCGGUUCGGCUUGGUAUCGGUUAGCUAAUUGAAAAGCAAACUAUAUAAAAAAAAAAAGUAGCACAAGAUAAAAUUAUAAAGAGAGAAAGAUUAAAAGGAUUAGAGAGUGGGCUAAGGAGAGGAUGGGGCUUAAAUUGGAUGUAUUCACUUUUGGAAGUGAUAAUGAAAAGUAUUUGCAUCUGUUGUUUUUGCUUUGCCCUCUUGUUAUUUUGUAAAAGCUUCAAACAUUCUAUCAACAAUGUUUGGUACUUGAGUCUUGAGAUUAACAAAAAUCAAACCCUUUAACGAAAAAAAAAAGAUUAACAAAAAUCCAAUAAUACUAUAUACUAUAAAAAAUCUAGAUGAUAACCCGUGCGCAUACGUGAAGUGAGUUUUUAAUACUAAUGUAUGUUUAUUAAAUGGUUUUAACACUACAAUAUUUAUCGAUUGUAAAAUGACGUAUACAAAUGUCUUAAAUGGUAUCUUAAAUGUAUCAUCGUUGUUGAAGAGUUAACAUAUUACAACUCAUUUUAAUUAUUUUUAAGACUUCGAAUGCACUAAAGGAAAUUUAAUUUUGAGGCUGAUACAAAUCACCAAAACGCAACAUUGAUUGUAAAAUUACAAAAGGGGAUUAGGUUUUCUAUUCUCGAUUUGUUUACUAUUGACUCUCCAUAAGUGAUUUCAUUUCUACAUCUAUAAAAUUGUGCUUUUGUUCUAGUUUAUAUUUCAAUGAUAUGAGUUUUUUUUAUUUUUUAACUUCUUAUGUGAAUCGGUAAAUUACAUAAGUGUCAAUUUAAAAAAUGAACAUCUGUAAAAAUUAAUUCCACUCCAGAUACAUAUCUAAGAAUCAAAUUUUUGAAGAAAAUCAGCGGCAAACUCUAUUCACAUGUUAGUGUUCAAAUAUUAUAUAUGAAGCUGCUAUAUAAUAUAAGUACAGACUCGAAAUAUAAAUGUCUAUCUAGUAUAUAUUCACAUGUUUGGUCUAAAAAUCAUUUAAUUCUAGAACAACAAAACAAAUUAUUUAUUUUAUUAACCUACGCAUUUGAGGUUUAGUUACUUAAGAGUAUAUCGAUAAAAAAAAUAUAAUACUUUAUCAUUCUAUUAUAUGUAAACUAUGUAUAAAAUAAGAACUGUUUGAUUUAUUAAAUGAUAAACCAGAAAAAAACAUAUAAUAAAUAGUUCAAAUCUCUCAUUAUAAUAGCUAGAUCGGGUAUUAGGGAGAAACAAAUAUUAGACGAAUGACCAAAUCUCGCAUUCUUCAAACAAACUCAAAAGGAGGUGAUUGGAAUAUUUCAUUAAAAUAUUGUAAGGAAUAAAAAAACUAAAUUAUUUAUUCUAAAUGAAAUAAUAUAUAUAUAUAUAUACACAGUAGAAACUCUAUAAAUUAAUACUCGAUAAAUUAAUAAACACUAUAAAUUAAUAAAUUUCUUCAGUCCCAAAUUGGGCCGGUUCAAAAUAUGACACAAAUCGAUAAAAUAAUAAGAUAAUAAUUUUUUAGAAAAUCCUAUGCAAAGAUUUGGUCCCAUUAAAAGUAUAAAUUAAUAAUUUAUAUCUAUACACAUUUUAUAUAAGUAUGAAUCAACUAUUAUAAUGUUUGUUUUAUAUUCACAACGGAAUUAUUUAUAUAUUUUCUUAACACAAAAUAUAUUUUAAUGAUAUCUAGUAAAAUUAUAUCUAAAACCGUAUUUAAAUUCUAUGAAACAUAUUUUACAUACACCAAAUAGUAUAAUAAAACCAAUUAAAAUGUCGAAAUUCAAAAAAAAAUUAAUGUAUAUAUAAUAAUAUCAAAUAUUUCUCUAAUUUUAGAUAAAUAUAUAUCUUAAAAUAAAAAAAAAUGUAAAAAUAAAUUUUUUUAAAUUAAUAACUCCAUAAAUUAAUAAAAUACUACAGUCCCAACAUUAUUAAUUUAUAGAGAUUUUACUGUAUAUAGUGCUUCCAAAAUUAAAAAUCACUUCGAUUUGAAGAAGUGUAUUUAUGGGAUUGUCAGGCUCAAAUAGCAUAUUAGAAAACACCUAUUAAAAAAUAAUUUGUAUACAUAAAAGUAUAUACAUUAGAGUAAACACAUAAAUCAAAACCAAUAUCUUUUGUUUGUUUACAAUCAUGUUUUUGGUAAAUAUAUAAAAAUAAUAAUUUUAUUUACUUUAUAUGGUAUAUAAUUAAAUUUUAGUGACAUUGACAUAGAUAUAUAUAGUAUAUUUCAAUAUAAAUAUUUACUAUUGAUACUUCAUACUCAUAUGAUUUUAUUAAUAUAUGUAUAUUUGCUAUAACAAAAUUUUAACUGAUAAUCACAAAAACUUUAAUGUGAGAUUUUCAAUAGAAAUUUCAAAAUUAAAAUACUAAGAUCUCAAUAAUUUUUCAUUGAAAAUUUUGAAAUUAAAAUAUUUUUAUAUAAUAUAUAGUUUAAUAUAAAUGAUAUUAAUAUAUAUAAUAUGAAUAUUUAUUAAUGAGACUUCAUGUUCAUACGAUUUAUGAUAAUUUGUAUCUUGAUUGCACAAAAAAAAUUAAACCAUUGAUCACAAAAUUUUCAAUGUGAGACUUUUACUAUUUUAGUAAUUUAUAGUCGUUUUAAAAAAUUCAAAAUAUAACAUGUAAGAAAAAAUCAAAAUUAUUUUAUUAUAUGCUUAAUGUGAUUGUUUAAUUUCUUUUAAUAAUAUAAAAUUGAACAAAAAGAUAGAGGAUACAAAAAAUGCUAUCAAAUAUGUAUUAUUCAUAAUUAUUAACUGUCAUAUAUAUGUUAAUCAUGUUAGGUAAUUCCGUAGUUUUUAUUUAAGGAAAGAAUUGAGAAUAUUUUUUUGUACACUACUAAUCAAUUUGAUAGUUAAUUUAAUAAAAAUAUAAUAUAUUUAUAUGGACCGAUUUAUUUUGAUGAAGAUUCUAAGAAUCAUUCUAAUGAUGACACAUUGCUACAAAAACAGUUGUAAUGCUUCAUGAUUAAUAUAUAGGAGAUAUAUAGAACUCCAAAUCGUUCAUUUAAAAGGAAAUUAAACCUCUUUGAUCAGAUCGACACAAUACAUUUCAAAAAUCCAAAUCCUUGAUCAACGGAAGAACAAUAGCAUCAUUUGUAUCCAAUAAGGUGCCAUAGUGGAACUCUUAUUCUAGCAAUAUUGAGAUAACAGUCAAUCAUUUUGUUUUGUUUUCAAUUAAAUUUAUUAAGAACUCAUAAACGUUGAGGUAACAUAUAACAAAGGAGAACUAUAUAUAUAAAUAUUUGUGUCCAAAUUUACAAUUAAAAAAAAAAUUGUUUGCUUUAGGUUCAGGUAUCCUAGUUUAUCAAAAGAAAAAUCAAAAUGACUUUUAAAAGUUGUACUUUUGGUUCGGAUAGCAAUACAUAUUUUCUCCAGACUUUAUUUAUUUGAACACUGCACGUUUCGUAAACGCAACCAAAUUGCUUUAUGAUAAAAAUGAAAUAGGCCCCAAGUGACAAAAGAUAAAAAGGUCUUCCUUAUGGUUAUCUCUAUAAUUCCAUGUUCUGUUUCGUAUUACCUUGUAUAAAAGUUUGAGAGAAGAAAGUAACAUUUGACUAACGUGAGUGGACUCUCAAUUCUCAUAACCUAAACAUGUUUAAUACAGAGCAGUUAUCCUCAACUUAUACCAUUUAUCAACAUGACUUGCUUCUGAUUAUUUUUCUGUUUACAACGGAAAAUCCGAAGCAGAACUACUAAUUUCGGUCAUGCACAACGUUGGAUAGAACUUGCCACUUAUACUACAAUAAUCAACUCUCUGGGCUGAGUCUAUUCUCUGGUCAUCGUGAUCUAAUUCUCUUUAUAUGUCACUAAAUACUUUCUGAUACUAACUAAUUAAAAAAACUAAUUAAAAUGUUUUAGCUAUAUUAUACGCAACCCACUUUGUUUUAUUGUUUUCACUAAAAGUUUUGACAUACACCCGAUCUAAAAAUAUAAUCCCGUGUCCAAAUAAAACUUGAAAUGCAAAAAAAAAGAUAUUCCACUAAUUAACACAUGAGACUCCUGUCAUUUUUACUUCCAGAAUAUUCAUAUACAUAUAUAAUGAUUAUACCUAUUAAUUAUAUAGUUGUAGUAUAUAUUUGACUUGUAAUCUUGAUAAUAAUGUGUAAGCAUCGCAAAUUCCGUGAAAACUAUAAGAUUUGACCUUAAAUUUAAUUCACACAAAUGAGUUUUGACCUUCAUUGAGUCAUCUUUGUUAAGAAGCAAACCAGUUAGCUAUUGAAAAGAAACCAACCAAUUUUUAUUUGGUUUAAAGAAGAAAAAUAAACAUAUCCGUCUUUUAAUUUAGAUAUUGAAAAGCAAAACUCAUAGCACAUAGUACAUGAGAUUAUUUUAUACAAAAUAAUGUAUACAAUUUAUGGUAAAACACACAAUGUAAAUUCAUUUGUAAAAAUAAAUAAAAAAAUCAUUUGUAAAGUCUAAAUUAUUGUAUUGUCUCUACUUUUUUUUCUUGUGAAAAUGCAAGUGUGAUAUAUAAUUUUUUUUUGAACUAAAAUGCAAGUGUGAUAUUGAUCAUUAAUCAUUUAAGUUGUGGUAUUGGUUCAACCUCUAGUUUAUAAGGUAUUUUGUUCUUGCUUGUGCUUAUUGAGACUAAUAAUGCAAGUGUGAUAAAAAAAAUAUACAAGAUCGUAUGUUUUGUAAACAAAAAAAUAUAUUUCAAAACUUAAAUGUCGUUUACGGUAGCUUAAAAGUUACUGCCGUUUAAUUUCUUGAAAUAGUGCCUGUUUUUUUGUUCACCGAAAUAGUGCCUACUAUUUGAAUUUGACCUAAAUUCCUAAUGAAAUACUUGAAGAAGUGAGAUAUCAUUUGAUAGAUUCCAACAGACAUAUAACUUGCGGUUUAUAAAUAUAAUAUAUAAAGUAAAUGUACAUCAAUAUAUAUGUAUGUGCAUGGAAGAUGAAAGCAAGAGAAGGCGAAGGAGCAGGAGAUUCGCAUGAUUCUCCUAAUCUUAGAGCAGCAUUAACGCGAGUUGUUAGGGAGAUGCUUAGGUAAUUUUUGGUUUUAAAAAAAAAGAAAAUGUUGUUAUUAACCAAACGUCGACGCUUAAUUAAGGUCACAAAACAGCGGUGCUUGCCAACACGUGUCACUCUCUUAGAACUCCGCAUUUCUUUCUCUCUCUCUCACGAAACACGAAACACAGGUCGUUUGUGUUUCUCUCUCGACGACUCCGCCAUCUUCUCUCUAGACGAAACCAAUCUCUCCGUCGACUCCACCAUGAUGGCGGAGUGAUCAAUCGCGGCUGAUGUCGCCUCGUGUCUCUCGAUCUCCCCGACGGCUCCUUGAUCAAUCGGCGCUGAUGUCUCCUCGUGUCUCUCGGUCUCCUCGACGACUCCGCGACGAUGAUCUCUCCUGGUCUAUGUCGAUCUCCUCGACGCCUCCUGGACGAAAUCUACGAUGAUAUCUCCUCGUCUCUCUCUCUCUCCUCGACGAAUCCGCGAUGAAUCUCUUCUACGAAAUCAAAAAGAAAGGUAAAGAGACAGACGGAUAUGUCUCUGUUUUUGUUUCUGUCUCUGUCUAAUGAUAUGUCUCUGUGUUUGUUUCUUCAGAUGGACGAACCAAGAGACGGAGGUUGGCCAAACGAGACAACAACAAUGAAGCGUCUGUGAUUCAGGUAAAACUUCAACAUGAUUUGAUUGAACUUUUGAUAAAAAAGACUUGGUUUAUAUUGUAACUGAGUUGAGAUAGUAUGAACUGAAUGGUUUCAUGUCCUAAUUGUUUAAGAGUUCUCAAUUGUUUCAUGAAUGGUUCUUGUCUUUAUUGUUUAAGAGUUAUAUUAUAUUGAAAUAGCUUUUAUCUGAAUUGAAUCGAGUGUCCUAAAUUUGAUUUGUUUCUGUUUGUUUGUCUCUCUACCUCAGUUUCUCAUUGUUGUUUUGUUUUUGCUUGUCUGUCUGUGUCUUGAGCUCCAUCACUGAAGCAAAACAGGAAGGAUCGUCUGCAACCAGAGGAGUGUAUUCCCCUGCGCAAAACAGGUAAAUGUUUAAAACUUUUACUGCCAUUGAAAGCUUUAUGGUUAGGUAGUUAAUGUGUUUGGUGUGUUUGCAUUGAUGUUGUUAGUUAGGUUAUUUAAAACUUGUUGUAGUUAAAUGACUUUCUUUGGUUUGAAUUGCCGAUAAUAAAUUGUUUGCUUUAGUUUGAAUUGUCUAAAUUUGUGGUUGAUUAUGGUUGUGAAACUGUAAUAAAUGGGAGUUAGAUAAAUGUCAACUCGUAGACUCUCCUUAAAACUUCUUCCUUCUCAUCUAUCUAAAACAGAUUCCUAUCUGUUUUUUCUCUAUUCUUUAACCUCGGAAAUGGAAUUUAAUCCGUUUACUGAGCCUUCAAACUUUGUUGACCUGCUUAGCAGUCAACAGAAUGUGGUCUUUGGUAAUGUACCCGAGUCACAGCUUCCCUUCUUUGCUAGUCAAGCCACGCACGAUUCGAACAUUGGUGAAGAGACUCAAGGCAGCCGUAAGGAGAGGAGGACGUGGUCUCCAACUGACGACAUUGUGCUCAUCAGCUCGUGGUUAAACACGAGCAAAGAUGCAGUAGUGGGGAAUGAACAGAGGUCUAUUGCAUUCUGGAAGCGAAUUGAUGUGUACUACAACGCUAGUCCCAAGCUUGUUGGGUGUGAAAAGCGAGAGGCAGCUCACUGUAAGAAUCGUUGGCAGAAGAUAAAUGACCUUGUUUGCAAGUUUUGUGGAGCUUUUGAAGCUGCGACCAGAGAGAGAACCAGUGGGCAAAAUAAAACUGAUGUUCUCAAACUGGCCCACGAAAUCUUCUUCACCAAUUAUAAAAAAAAAUUCACGCUUGAGCAUGCUUGGAAAGAGUUGCGUAAUGACCAAAAGUGGACUGAGUUGUCUACGGCUAAAGCUGAGGGAAGCUCUAAAAAGAGGAAGAGUAUGGACGUUUCUCACUCUGCAAGCUCUAAAGCAAUUGAUGUAGACUCUGGUGAUGAAGCAACAACUCGUCCCCCUGGAGUUAAGGCAUCAAAAGCUCGUUCUAAGAAGCCAAUUGGUGAUGCAAAGGACUACGAAGAGUUUCAGUCAAUGUGGUCUAUGAAGAAGGAGGAUUUGACUAUAAAGAAGGAGCUGUCUAAGAUCAAGCUUCUGGAGACUCUCAUUGGUAAAGAAGGACCACUCGCGGAUUAUGAAGAAACUUUGAAGAAGAAACUCAUUAAUGAGUUAGGGUAUAAUUAAAAUAAGUCACUGUUUGUCUUGCUUGUGUUGCUUUUCUUGCUUGUGUUGCUUAAUUAAAAUAAAUCAUGUAUGCCUCUGUUUCUAUUUAAUGAGUAAAAUGUUCUCUUAGUGAUUUUAAUCAUCUAUGCCUCUGUUUCUAUUUAAUGAGUAAAAUGUUCUAUAGAAUGUUUACUGAUUGCUGUAAUGAACUUGUGUCCUACUGCAGGUGACUUGUCUAGUCUUGUAGUCUUGUGAAGUCACGGACAGUCUUGUGAAGUCACGGAGGAGGCUUCUUGUGUAGUUGUGAAGUCACGGACAAUAACGAGUGGAGGAGGCUUCUUGUGAAGUCACGGACCUGCAAAAGUGAAAUGUCUAGUGUUUAAGGCAUGUGUAGUGUCUUGUUUGUAUGCAUAUGUCACGGACACACUUCUCAUUGUUUAUCUAUUUUGUAACUCACUUGUAUAAAUUAGACACGCUUCUCAUUGUUAUAACAAACACAAGACCAUCUCCUCUCUUCUCAUUGUUAUACAAACACAAGACCAUCUCCUCUCUCAUUCUCACCAAACCAUCUCCUCUCUCAUUCUCACCAAACCAAACGAAGUGUCUCUUUAUCUGGUUCUCACAAACCAAAAUCACUAAUCAUAUGGCUUCAUCUUCUUCUCAAAACCUUUUAGAUGAAGCUUUUGAUGAUAGAUUUGAUGAAAUAUUUGAUCAACGUUUUGAUCAAGCCUUUGAAAAACUUGUCAUUGGUGGUGAUGAAGAUGUACGAGGUAGAAAAAGAAAAAAACGACUUUAUAUCGAAAGAAAAAUGGAAAAAGGCAAUGAACGUUUAUGGAAUAAUUAUUUCAGUGAAACGCCAACGUAUCCUGAAAAUUAUUUUCGACGACGUUUUCGAAUGAACAAGCCAUUGUUCAUACACAUUGUUGAUCGACUUUCGAACGAAGUUGACUUCUUUCGCCAAAAGAGAGAUGGUCUUGGAAGGCUUGGCCUCUCAGCACUCCAAAAGUGUACAGCAGCUAUCCGUGUCUUGGCAUAUGGUACUGCGGCGGAUGCGGUCGACGAAUACCUCCGGCUCGGUGAAACGACAACUCGGUCAUGUGUGGAGAAUUUUGUGGAGGGAAUAAUUUAUUUGUUCGGAUAUGAAUACCUACGAAGACCAACACCGGAUGAUCUUCGACGUCUACUUGAUAUAGGAGAGUAUCGUGGAUUUCCCGGGAUGAUAGGAAGCAUCGAUUGUAUGCAUUGGGAGUGGAAGAAUUGUCCCACCGCUUGGAAAGGACAAUAUUCUCGUGGUUCGGGCAAACCAACAAUCGUAUUAGAGGCAGUUGCUUCAUAUGAUCUCUGGAUAUGGCAUGCGUUUUUCGGACCUCCAAGUACCUUAAAUGAUAUCAAUGUUCUUGAUCGCUCCCCUGUUUUUGAUGACAUAAUAAAGGGUCAAGCUCCGCAAGUUACCUUCUCGGUUAAUGGAAGAGAGUAUCAUAUGGCUUACUAUCUCACCGAUGGUAUUUAUCCGAAAUGGGCAACUUUUAUCCAAUCUAUUCCAAUACCACAAGGACCGAAAGCGGUUUUAUUUGCUCAACAUCAAGAAGCUGUCCGAAAAGAUGUCGAGCGUGCUUUUGGAGUCUUGCAAGCUCGCUUUGCCAUCGUUAAAAAUCCAGCACUUUUUUUGGAUAAAGUCAAAAUUAGUAAGAUUAUGAGGGCAUGUAUCAUACUCCAUAAUAUGAUAGUAGAAGACGAACGAGAUGGAUACACUCAAUUUGAUCUUUCCGAUUUCCAACAAGGAGAAGACAAUGGAAGUUCACAUGUCGAUCUCACGUAUUCUACAGAUAUCCCUACAAAUAUCGCUAAUAUGAUGGGUGUUCAAACUUGAAUUCGUGAUCAACAAAUGCAUGAACAACUGAAAGGUGAUUUGGUUGAACAUGUGUGGCAUAGAUUUGGAGGUGAUGAAGACAACCAAUGAGUUCACAUGUUUUUUUCAAAUUAAUCUCCUUUACUGAUCUAAUCUUUAUUUUAAUGUUUUUUUUUAAAUCUAUGUUUAAAAUAUUAUCUUUUAAUAUGUUUGAUGUAAUAAAUAAAUUUUAUCAAAAAAAAAAAAUUAUUUUUUUAAACAUCUCAUAAUAAACACCUUGCAUUGGAAGAUCAAUAUAUACAACUUUCUUAAUGAAAUGCUUAAAUUCUACUUAAUAAUAAAAAAGUGAUUAAGCACCCCAUUAGGGCUGCUCUGGUUAAUACUGCUCUUAGCACUCAUUUCUUCACAAAAGUCACCACAAACAUAACUGAUGCAACGACAAACAGAGAGAGUGAUUGAACAAACAAAGAGCUCCCUUUGACUUUUUCAAUCCCUAAACCAAAUUGACCGUUUGUCCAUCAACACGUCCUCGUCAACGUCCAUCAAGGAUUACCUUUAUUAAUUCUCACCCAACAAUAUUAUCUUCUAUGUUUUUUCUCUUAUUACAAGUUACAAAAGACUACAUUGCCUAAACACAAAGUAUGUGUAGUGAUUAUGAUGAAAUGCCCAAAAAAUGUGUAACCUAAUCAUCAAUUAUACUCUUAGUUUCAAAAUUAUCAUAUUGGUGAUUGUGAAGGUACUUAAUUAACAAGUCGUUUUCAAUAAUAAACCAAACAAAAAAUAUCAUCCCAUCUCUCGUGAACAAGAAGAAGCACAAGAGAGGAGCGUUUCAUUUAUUUAUUCCUAAAUUCAGUUCAUUUAUAUAUUUUUCUUUUCUUCUCCUUCGUGUCUUCUCUACCACUAUACAUCCUCCUUAACUUUUCCUUUUUCAUGUUCAAAUGAAUCCAAUUCCAAAAAAAGGUUUUCUCUUUCACCUAUAUAAUCCCAACCCAUUUCAUAUAACGUAAAAAAAAACAUUAUUGGGUUUCAUUACAACAACACAAAACAUGGGUUUCACUAAAGAUCAAGAUCGGUUCCGUUCCACGCCUAAGCUUCCUCUGUUUUCAUAUCCAAUGAACAUGCCAUAUGAAACUCCGGGACUAGCUACACCGCCCGUUAACAUCGGCGGAUCUGUUCCUUUUCUUUGGGAAGAAGCUCCGGGAAAGCCAAAGGCUCGUUCUUCCGUUAGAAAACCGCCGAGGUCGAAACAUACCGGAGAAAAAAGAGGAGUCGUGAGAAGCUUGGACCUUCCUCCGAGACUGCUUUUGCCCGGGGAGUCUUGUAAAUCGUUUGCGGCAAACGAGCCUUCUCCGACAACUGUUCUCGACGGUCCGUACGAUUUGCGUCGACGUUCGCUGUCGCUUCCGAGAUCGGCGUAUGUAGUCAGGAAGCUGAGAGGUGUUCCGGCACCGGCGCCGGCGAAGGAGAAGAGAUUGUUUGGGUCGAGUAGAUGGGGAAGUUUCGGGAAAUGUAAAGAUGUCUCUGAGGGUAUAUUUGACUUUCCACGUUUUAGAGACGGCGGCUGUGAUUGCCGGAGGGAUUGGACCGGAGGAGGAAGUGACUUCUCCGGCGACGGCGGCACAAAAGUGAAACUUUUUAGACUAAAAAGGAAAGGAAACCUUUUUAACCUCUCUCAUGCAACAAAGUCAGAGUUCUGGGUAAGUUUUGCUUUUUUCAGCUGAUUAAAUAUUCAAAAGUUACAUACUUUUUCACAAAAUUAAUAACCUUUUUCAGUUUUGAUGUAAGCUCAGCUAUAAAGAUUAGUUUUAAUUAUAAUUUAUAUUCUUGCGACCAAAAAAAUAUCUUUCAUUGUCAAAAUCGUAUAAAUAAUUAUAAAAGAUUUGUUUUUGGUAUGAGGAGGAAGUAAUCGAGUAACCCAAUUAUUCGAUAUUUAAAAAUGCAGGAAAGGGUUUACGAAGGGUUUAAGCAAGCGAUUCCAUGGAGGCGUAAGCAAGAGAAUCUGUAAAGGAUUUAAUUAUUCCACUAUUUAAAUCGAAUUUCUCUUAAAUUUCUUCGAACUUUAUAGUUGAUCUACUAAUUAAUUAGUCGUCUCUUGUUUAUAUAUAUAUACUACUUUAAUAAUAUGUACAAUCUGCUAAUGAAAAAACUUAUAUUAUAAAUCACAAUGAAAAUUAGGGGAAUAUGUAUUUUUUGCAGUAAGGAAAAAAUGUGAAAUGAUCGAAUUAUCAAAAUUUUGAAUUAAAAAAUAAAUAAAUUGUAGGGAUAAUGGCAAAGAAUUCUUGACCAAUAAAAUUAUAAAAGAGCUACAUUCUUGCUUUAAAAUACUACUGUAUAUAUUAUUCAACCAUUUUCUUAUAAAAGAGUAAAAUUUUCACCCAACGGUGAAAGAGCAGCAUAUCACCUCUGAAAAAGGUGUAAUGAAGUUUUAUUUUAUAUAUUGAUAUAUUUAUAAAGAAGUUUAUUUCUAUAUCUUUUUUUGGGUAAAAUGUAUUUCGAUAUCUUUGUUUAUAAUGGACAGUUUGGGUAAAAUGUAUUUCGACAUCUUUGUCAAAGUUGUUUAGAAAUGGCAGUUUAAUUAAGGAGCACAAAUUUCAACACAUUCAUUAUAUUACUUCAUUUUUAAAUUUGAUCGUAAUUUAUUCAACUCACCAAACUUGAUUUCAUUCAACAAAAUAAUUGAUAAACGCGUUUUAGUUCAUCAUGUAAAUGGCUCUAAAUACCAAAAGAAUGAUCCCUAGAUAUUCUUCUGACCCGAAAAAACUCUAGAUUUCCUAGAUUUGACCAAUUGGGUCACUAGAAAAAAAAAACACCAGUCUAAAUAAAAUGAAAACAUGAAUUAGAAUUGUGGAGAAAUUAAACUCGAAAACAGAUUCAAUAGUAACCAUCGUUGGCAAGUGAUUUCUUUCUCUUGUAUUUGGCUUUGAAACAAGCUUGCCUCAACUUCUUUGUCCCAUCAGUCAGCUCGGCAUCAGGUUCUUGCUCUAUAAGAACCCUAUGUUCCUCCAAAUUCUUCACUUCUUGAUCCAUUCCAACACACUAUCACCAAAAACGUAUUAGAUGUUGUUCUUAUUUAAUAUGAAAACUAUUAAAUCUCAAUAUCAAGAAAGCAUUAAACCCUAAAAUGCAAUUGAAAUCAUAUAAGCAAACGUUAUUACCUUGAGAUUACUAAUGAGAGAGUUAAGACUCUUGAGCUUCCGGUGAGGCCACCGGAAGAUUUCAAGUUCUCUGCAACGCUUCUUCAAUACCGUAAGACCAACGUUAAGUUCUUUUGCCGCUUUCAUUAUUGGUCUAUCAAAGUACUUUCUGAUCUCGGACAACUCCAACUUGUCCUGUCUCUUUGCCCUAGUGUUCUUCUUCUUUGAGGCUUUCUUUUCACGUCUCUCGUUGGUACUUGGACAGUGGUUGUUUUGGACAACCAAUGGUGAAGAGGAGUCACUUGAGAAGUAAGGUUCUUGAGUUAACAUGAGAAUAUCAGAUGAUAUUGUGUUGUUAUUCACUUCAAUGUUCUCGAAGAAAUCUUCAAAGCUAUUGUAUUGAUACUCAAAAUGCAACCCUGGAUCUGGUCUUAGAUACUCGGUAUCUAACAGAGACUCUAGCGGAGGCAACCUUCAGAUGGGAAAAAUGAUUUAAAUCCAAUUAAAAAAACUCAGAAACGAGGUUACUUGUAUAGCAAGAAACGAGUCAAGGGUUUCGAACUUACUUUUCUAGCAUGUCGAACAACGAAUCCGUUUCAUACUGGUUUUCGAUUUUCAUAGAAUCGAGUGGUUGAAGAAAUUUAGGAUCCAUUUCAAGAUAAUAACUAGCAGAAACAGAGCAGAUUAGUUUAGAAGAAAGUACACAAAGGAGACUGUGUUGACGAAGGCAUAUAUAGUCUCUGGAAAGAAAAAUUAAUGUCCACAGGGAAUUGUGUGCAAUGUAAUGGGAGUUGCGAGUUCCAAAGGGUACAAUCAUUAAUUGAAAGAGAUUACCGUGUGACUUGAAUUAAUUGUGUGAUCAUGGGGACUGAAUUGUUGGUUAGUCAAUUCUUCAAUGAUGCUAAGGAUGUAACUUAUUUUCUUUUUAUUCCUCCAGUCAAAGUCAAUGCAUGAAGUAGAUAACAUCUAAAUUUCCGAAAAUUCGUGAUCUAUAAUUAAUGAACGAACUUUCUUUUCCGUAUUAGAUUAUGCCUGUGAUUAUAUGUUAUGGUUAUAGUGUGCAUUACCUUUCAACUUUGGGUUAGGUUCCGAUUUAGUUUGGUUAGAUUAACUCAGUUUUGAUAAAACUUUAACUAAAUUUAAACAGAGUUAGUUGGUUUAGUUUGCAUUCAAUAAAAGUUUAUAAACAUUUUCAAAAUAUAAUUGAAAAUACAUUUAAUAUUGUCAUAUAGUAUAAAUUUGAAGAAAAUUGAGAAAUUAAUGAAUAAAUAAAUAAAUAUAUAAACAUUUAAGAAAAUAAUAUAAAUAAUGUCGAGAUGAUCCAGUGGUAAAAAAAGUGCUUGUAGCCUUCCGUUCCUCGGGUUCGAUAUGUUGGGAGGAACUAUUUAACAAAUGCAAAAGUUUUCUGGCAUAAAGGUGAAAACACUUUUUUAUUUUACCAUUCUUUAUCAAAAAAAAUUCUAAGAAAAUAAGUGUUAUAGAUACGGUAGAAAAAUAAAUUAAUACUAAACGAAGUAAAAAAAUUUCAUUUAUUAUACUAUUAUUUUCGAAAUGAUUUUUUGCAUUCAAGCUUUCACGUUAAAAAUUAGAGAGAGUAAUAUUUUUUAUACUCUUAAUGAAAAUUAAAACCUACAAACUAUAAGGUAAAUGAAGAUGACUAUAAGAAAGUUUCUAAACAUUAAAGAAAUGAAAAUACUAACCACCAAGGAUUAAAGUCUGUAAGUUGCGAGUUGAAAAUACUAACCACUAGGAUAAGAGUAUAUUUGUAUAUAUUAUCGAUAGUUUCUUUUAUAUAUUUGAUCAUUUUAUUUAUAUAUAUAAAAUAUUUUUUUGUUGUUAUUAUAUAAUUUCUUUCCGAUGGAUCAGAUCAAUUUUUAUUAAAAAUAAUGGAACAAAACUAUAAUUAAUACAUCAUGGGUUGAUCGGAUUGGACAUUAAACAAAUUAUGACAUAAAAACCUUAUUUUUUCCAUCGAACACAUUCUUGAAAAAAGUGAUCAGUAUUGUUUUCACAGUUGAAUUAUUUUGACUUUUAUCGUCCAUAUGGUUUUGAAAGCUUUCAAAUCAACCAUCGAAUUGAUACAUGUCAUUUUAAUGUUGUUAUUCGUAUACUUAAGGAAAACAUACGUUUUUGUAAUUUAAAGUCAUUUUAAAAAAUCCAAAAUAUAACAUAUUAGAAAAUAUCUAACAUAUAAGAAAAAUAUAACAUAUAAGGUGUCCUCAUUUUUGUAUUUAAAAGCUGUUUUAAAAAAAAUAUAACAUAUAAGGUUUCUUCAUUUUUGUAAUUUAAAGUCAUUUAAAAAAAUUCAAAAUAUAACAUAUAAGAAAAAAUCUAAUUUUUUUAUUAUAUGGUUAAGGUGAUUUUUUAUUUUUUUAAUAAUAUAAAAUUAAACAAAAUGAAGAAGGAUGCAAAAAAUGUUAUCAUAUCUUUAUUAUUCAUAAUCAUUAAUUGUCAUAUAUAUGUAAAUCAAAUUAGGUAAUUUUGUACCUUUUAUUUAGGGAAAUAAUACACAUUUUUUAUAUUUUAGGUUAAUAUAAUGUUCUCUAGUAGACAUUAAACAAAUUAUGACAUAAAAACCUUAUAUUUUCCCUCGAACACAUUAUUGAAAAAAUGAACAGUAUUGUUUUCACAGUUGAAUUAUUUUGACUUUUCUCUUACAUAUGGUUUUGAAAGCUUUCAAAUCAACCAUCGAACUGAUACAUGUCAUUUUAAUGUUUUUAGUCGUAUACUUAAGGAAAACUUACAUAUUUGUAAUUUAAAGUCGUUUUAAAAAAUUCAAAAUAUAACAUAUAAGAAAAAAUCUAACAUAUAAGAAAAAUAUAACAUAUAAGGUGUUCUCAUUUUUGUAUUUUAAAGUCGUUUAAAAAAUAUAUAUAUAACAUAUAAGGUUUCCUCAUUUUUGUACUUUAAAGUCAUUUUAAAAAAUUCAAAAUAUAACAUGUAAGAAAAAUCUAAUUUUUUAUUAUAUGAUUGAUGUGAUUGUUUAUUUUUUUUAAUAAUAUAAAAUUAAACAAAAAUGAAGAAGGAUGCGAAAAUUGUUAUCAAAUCUUUUUUAUUCAUAAUCAUUAAUUGUCAUAUAUAUGUAAAUCAUAUUAGGUAAUUCUGUAGCUUUUAUUUAAGGAAAGAAUACAUACUUCUUAUAUUUUAGGUUAAUAUAAUGUACUAUAGUGGACAUUAAACAAAUAAUGACAUAAAAACCUUAUUUUUUCCAUCGAACACAUUCUUGAAAAAAGUGAACAGAAUUAUUUUCACAGUUAAAUUAUUUUGACUUUUCUCUUCCAUAUGGUUUUGAAAGCUUUCAAAUCAACCAUCGAAUUGAUACAUGUCAUUUUAAUGUUUUUAGUCGUAUACUUAAGAAAAACUUAAAUUUUUGUAGUUUAAAGUCGUUUUAAAAAAAUCAAAAUAUAACAUAUAAGAAAAUUCUAACAUAUAAGAAAAAUAUAACAUAUAAGGUGUCCUCAUUUUUGUAUUUUAAAGUCGUUUUAAGAAAAUUUAUAUAACAUAUAAGGUUUCCUCACUUUUGUAAUUUAAAAUAAUUUUAAAAAAUUCAAAAUAUAACAUAUAAGAAAAAAAUCUAAUUUUUUUAUUAUAUUGUUAAUGUGAUUGUUUAUUUUUUUUAAUAAUAUAAAUUUAAACAAAAAUGAAGAAGGAUGCAACAAUUGUUAUCAAAUCUUUAUUAUUCAUAAUCAUUAAUUGUCGUAUAUAUGUAAAUCAUAUUAGGUAAUUUCGUAGCUUUUAUUUAAGGAAAGAAUACACACUUCCUAUAUUUUAGGUUAAUAUAAUGUUCUCUAGUGUUAUAUAAUUAUGGAAUAAUGUGACACCAUUAGAUUAAACUAUACUUUAUAUUAGAUGCUCUAGAAUUCUUUGAAAUGGAAUUUAGAAGGCAUUUAGAGUGUCACCUAGGAUUUGAGGGUUUUUUUAAUUAAUACAAAAUUAAGGUUCUAAUUUUUCAAAUGCUUCUCAAUUAAUAUAUAGGGGAUUUGAUUUUCUAUGAAUCGUUUUUUUUUUUGGUUUUUGACAUGUUAAUCUUUUAAUUUUAUCGGAGUGACAAGUAUUACAAUCCACAGUUACUAUAAGAGAAAAUGAAUAGGAUAACACUACAAAAGUUUUUGUCAUAAAUAUAGCUUAUAAGAAUAAAAAUGAUCAAAAUAACACUUAAUAUUUUAUCAAAAGAGAUAAAUAUACACUUAUACUCUAAUGAUAAAUUAAUUUAGACUUUAAGGUUUAGAGUUAAGGGGUGGGGUUUAUGAUUUAGGAUUUAGGAUUUAGAGUUUAGGGUUUAGUGUUUAGAGUUUAGGGUUUAGGGCUUAGGGUUUAGAGUUUAGGGGUGGGGUUUAGGGUUUAGGGUUUAGAGUUAAUGGGUGGUGUUUAGGAUUUAGGGUUUAGGGUUUAGGAUUUAGGGUUUAGGGUUUAGAGUUUAGGUUUUAGGGUUUAGAGUCGGGGAGUAGGGUUUUGGGAUAAGAUUUCAAAUUUUGAAUAAUAAAAAAAAUUUAAAUUUUUCAAAAGAUAAAUUGCUAUUUUGGUCAAUUUAGUUUUUGAGGGCUAUUUUUGUUACAUAAACUUAGAAAUGUGCUAUUUUGGAGAUUUACCGUUACUAUAAUGCAAAUAAUUCGUAGAUAAAAACUGAUGACAGUGCCGACCACGGAAGAAAGCGAAGGAAACAUGGGCUUCCGACUGUUGGAAGCUUACAAAUAUUUUCGGCCAAUUUAUAACUCAAUUUUCACUUAGUCUAGCGGCAAAACGCUAAUCUUCUUCACAUAAGAGGUUAUGUGUUUCAAUAUCCAGGUUGUACAUUUUCUAUUUUCAUUUAUACUGGCAAAAAAAAAUUUUGGUUGUGCUUCCAGUCCAACAAAAUUCUGGGCCGGUACCACUGAUGAGAGGUGACAAAAAAAUGUAGUGAACAAUAACGGCGGAACCAUAGAAAGAUUCAGAUCAAGAUUCAAAUAGAAAACCAUAGUGAAAUUGAACAGCCACAUCUUCAUGGGAUCGUAAGAUUCUAAUCUCAACAGCGAUGAAGAAACUCUAUGUUUUGCGGUCAACCCACUAACCCCUGACCGGGUUUGAACCGCCCACCCACAAACCUCAUGGGUCAGACCCGCCAGUUUAUGGAUUUAUAUGUCCAAGCCUACUCCUUUGCGGAUCUUUAUGGGCUCAACCCGCAGACCACGGCCUGUAUUGAUAUCUUUAGGUCCACCGGUGCCAUAUACAAUAAGACUUUGGGAAAAAUAAUCAUUAUCCGCAGACGCCGCCCUGUUUAAUUGUAGGGCGAUUUGAAAAAUUCAAACUGCGGUUGAAUGUAUUUUAUACCAGGUGGAAAAGAAAAUAAUAUCUAUAGCGAAAUGACGACAAUUUGGGCGAUUUUCUGCGACAGUUUCUUUUUUCUCUCUACGAGUGAUUGUCCGGCCGUUUUUCCUGUUUCUAGGGCACGAUGCGUCGGUUUUUCUCCACUAAGCAAGAUCUUUGGUGGUUUCAGUACGUCGGUAUUUAAGGAUCACUCUUAGCAUUGAAGAUGAACCGGUGGCUCUUCAUCCUUAUGUGUGCGUUCAAGCAGCGGCUAUCAAUCGAUUCUCGUUGGUGGUUGUUCCCAUUAACCGAAGAAAACAGAAUCUUCGUGCUAUGAUCAAUCAAUAUCCUUGUGUUUGGGGGCGUGGAUUCAGUCGUCGGUCGUAUCAUCGCAGCAAAUCGUGUCCAAUUUAUAUUCCAAUCUGAGGAGGCGAUGCUUUCUGUCCUUCAUCGUUCCCCUUGGUCGUUUGCGGAAUGGAUGAUCUCUGUUCAUCGUUGGUAUCCAAAUAUUGAUAGUGAAGAACUCAGGAUCAUUCCGUUCUGUGUUCAAAUUUGUGGUAUUCCUCUUCAAUUUCUUACUCGUCCGAUGAUUGAGAUGUAGGAGGAAUUUUGGCUCUGGUAUUUGAUGUGGAUUUUGAUGAAAACUCUACAAGAUAUGAUUUUGUGCGGGUCCAGUUGUUCUGGAAUGUUGAUAAUCCUCAUUGAUUCCAGUGCAAUUUCCAGUUCUCUGCAGAUGUCAAUACCCUACUCUCCUUCAAGCAUGAGAGGCUUCGAAGUUUCUGUCAAAUGUGUGGUCACCUAUCACAUGAGCGACAUGAUUGUCCCUUAGGAUUUGAUGAUGAUCAGCCUCCGGCGGCAUCAGAUGAUGACAAUGAUGAUGACGGUGAUGAUACAGAUUGCGAUGAUGAUGAUGGGUCGGAUCCUCAUGAAAUGCUGGUGCUGCUAACACUGAAGGCUAUUUGGGUGAGGCUCCUGGUGAUGAUAAUUCUCAGGAACAAAUUGAGAAAGGUUUAAAGAGAAAGCGUGUAGGAUCCUCUGAAAUAGAUCAUCAAGAGUCAGUCAUGGGUGAGGCUUCUGAUGCUCCUUUUACUCCUCGGGUGCUUGGUGAUUUCUCCUCGGAAGAACAGUUCUAGCGUCUCGCUCCGAUGGCUGAAAUACAUGUGGAAUUUGAUAGAAGAAUGAGACCAGAGCGAACGCCGCGAAAGUAUAAUUUCAUUGAGAAUCUCCUGGCUGGAUCUUCCUCUCAAGUUGCUCCUUUGGAUAUGGAAGGUCAGGUUGACGAGGAUGAGGAUGAUGAUGAUGAUGACGAUCAUAUUAUCUUGGAAAUAAAGGAACGUUGUGGUGCUGGUUCAAUUUUUGGCCAGUAUGGUUCCUUCAUACGCGUUAAUAAUCCUUUUCUAUCCCUAGCUGAAGAACUUGAUGUGUCUCAGAUUGAGUAUCCUGGUAACUCCUCUGCUCUGAAGCGGUCAAGACCAGAAUAUAUGGUGGUGGAUAAGUAUCAAGUUGGGAAGGAGAUCAUCUCGUUAGAGUUUUACGAUCUUCAUAAGAUCAGUGAGGAUUAUGGUGAGGAAGAGCUUAUUUCGGGAGCUACUAACCCAAUAGACAGAGGAGCGGUGGGCCUGGUUCUACCACCCGUUCAAUGAGAGUCAAGGUUUGGAACUGUCGGGGCUUAGGACAACACCUCACAGUUCGACGUCUUAAAGAAAUGCAAAGGUUGUAUGUCCCUGACUUGUUGUUCCUCAUUGAAACCAAGCUGAAAAAUGAUUAAGUUCGCGAUAUUGGUGUAUAUUUGGAGUUUGAGCAGAUGGUUUUAGUUCCAUCAGAUGGUCUUAGUGGUGGUUUAGCUGUAUUUUGGAAAUCUUAUGUUUUUGUUUCAUGUAUUUCCAGUAAUUCCAGACUUGUUGAUUUGGCUGUUCAAUAUAAAUCCUUUAAGUAUUACCUCUCAUGUGUAUAUGGUCAUCCCGUUCCUAAGUUUAGGAAUCAGUUGUGGGAAAGGCUUCAACGUAUAACCGUCAACAGAUCAGGACCUUAGAUGAUUUGUGGUGAUUGUAAUGAAAUAGUUGAUCCUGCGGAGAAGAAAUGUGGUCGUAUAAGGCAAGUUAGUAGUUGUAUAGACUUCAAUAAUAUGCUAAAAGCCUGGGAUAUGAAAGAUGUUCCUUUUAUAGGUAACACAUUCAUAUGGGUAAGAAGAAAGAGAAGGGAGAUUGCGGAGUGUUGUUUAGAUCGGGUUAUGGUCAAUUCAGAAUGGCGAAGACAAUUUCUGGUUAGUGAGACUGAGUUCUUAGAGAUGGAUGAAUCGGAUCACAGACCUAUGAUCAUUACUAUUGAUUAUGUGCAGAGAGAACAUAAGGGAUGGUUUCGGUAUGAUAAACAUUUAGUUGAGAAAAUAGAUUUUGUUGAUACUAUUUCAUCGGCCUGGAAUCAGACUCAGAUUAUGGAAGACUGGAAUAAAAAAACUUGAUUAUUGUUGUGGUGAAAUGGUUAUAUGGAAAUGAAGGAAUCACGCCAAAUCUUCAGUUCAGAUUCAAGAAAUUAGAGAUAAGAUUGAUCACGCCUCGAGAGACUGUGCUGUAUUUAUAGAGGUGGUUAAUGAGUACCAUAGAGAUUUGAAUAAAGCUUAUCGUGAUGAGGAGAAAUUUUGGAGAUUGAAGAGUCGUAAUAAGUGGCUCAAUUUGGGAGAUCGUAACUCUCGGUUCUAUCAUGGGGUUACUAAAGCCAGAAGAAGUAGGAAUAAUAUCAAAGGAAUGCAUGAAUCAAUGGGAUUAUGCAUACUAAAUAUGAAGCGAUAGCUCAAAUAGCUGAAGAUUAUUUUGUUACUAUGUAUUGUACUUCAAUGUGAUGCAGGGUAAUGAUGUUCUUCCUCAUAUUCAACGAAAUGUUACUUCUGAGAUGAACAUAAUCUUACUGAAAGAAGUGACUGAUGAUGAGAUAAAGAAUACAAUUUCAUGAUUGGAUCUGAACGAGUGCCGGGUCCAGAUGGGUUUACAACUUCCAUUUAUCAUUAGUUUUGGGAUACUAUUGCAUCUGAUGUUUGUUGGAUGGUUAGAAGUUUUUUUGCAACAUGAAUUAUGGAAGAAGGUAUCAAUCAUACUCAUAUUUGUUUGAUUCCAAAUUUCCGGGGGCGUCAGAUAUGAGCAAUUACCGUCCUAUUAGUCUAUGUUCAGUGGCAUACAAGUUGAUCUCAAAGAUUAUGUGCCAACGUCUUCAGCAAUGUUUAGCUAGUAUUAUUUCAGAAUCUCAAGCUGCUUUCGUUCCUCGACGAAAAAUAUCUGAUAACAUUUUGGUGGCCCAUGAAUUAGUGUCAGCUUUGUAUUCUAAAAUUGAUUGCUCUUACCAAUAUGUAGCAGUCAAAGCUGAUAUAAGCAAAGCUGAUAUAAGCAAGAAUGGUCUUUUUUGGAAGCUACAAUGACUCAGCUAGGAUUUGAUUCUCGAUGGGUGGCGUUAACAAUGGAAUGUGUUUGGCCUGUUUCUAAUUCAGUUUUAAUUGACGGUCUACCGUAUGGAAACAUUAAACCUUCACGAGGUCUGCGUCAGGGUGAUUCUAUGUCUCCAUAUCUAUUUUUUCUAUGUGGAAGUGCUUAGUCAAAUGCUUGAUUGGGCUCAGAUUACUAAUAAGAUGCAAGGUAUGAGAUUGGCAAGAAGGUGUCCAAGAGUUUUACAUCUUUUUUUGCUGAUGAUUCAUUAUUCUUCUGUCAUGCAAUGUUGGAGGAUGUCAAUUGUUUGGCGUCAAUAUUUGAUCAAUAUGAAAAGAUAUCAAGACAGAAGGUGAACUAUGAUAAGUCAUCGAUCAUAUUUGGUAAACAGAUUCAGCAAGAUGUUCGUUCUCAGAUCCAUCAAAUUUUGAAGAUAUAAACAAUUGGGGGAGGUGGAAGAUAUUUGGGUUUACCAGAAUAGUUUAGUCGUAGUAAGGUUUCUGAUUUCUAGGGAGUUGUUCAGAGUGUAAAGAAUCAAAUACAACUAUGGUAUAAUCAAUAGUUAUCUCCUGGCAAGGAUAUAUUGAUAAAAUCUGUUCUUCAAGCAAAUCCAGUUUAUCCUAUGAGCUGUUCUCUACUUCCAAAAACAGUGUGUGAUGAAGUCAACUCUCUCUUAUCUGGAUUCUGGUGGGGUCAGAAUGAAGUCAAAAGGAAAAUAUCUUGGAUAUCAUGAAAUAAAAUGUGUCUACUUAAAAAAGGAGGUAUGGAUUUUCGUGAUUUGAGAGCGUUUAAUGUGGCUAUUCUAGCUAAGCAGGCCUGAAAGAUUAUGCAGAAUCCUGAUUCAUUGCUUGCAAGAGUAUAUAAAGGAAGAUACUAUAACUCGUCGACAUGUUUACAGUCAACAAGUUCAACUAGUUCUUCGUAUGGAUGAAAAUCCAUUCAAGAGUGUAAAAAUCUUUUAAAGAAAAGUUUACUUAUGCAAGUAGGGGAUGGGUGUAAUAUACGAGUUUGGGAGGAUUGUUGGAUUUCAGUUACUCCUCCUAAGAGAUUGGUGUCCCCGUGUACUUAUCCAAACAUGAAGGUGUCAGAGUUCAUUGAUAGUGCUAAUGCAACUUGGAAAGGGGAUAAGUUGAAUGCGUUCCUGCUACCUGAAGAGGUUGAGCUAAUAAAAGCUAUCAGGUUAUCAAAACAAAAUCAAUGUGAUUAGUAUAUUUGGCCUUACACUACAGAUUUGAAAUAUACAGUUAUAUCAGGAUACUGGACAGCUACUUAUGACUUUAUAGAAGAAGAAAUUAUAGCUCCAGAUGGAUCCUUAGUACUAAAGCACAUAUUUGGAAGUAGAAAUCCUUCCUAAGAUUCAACAUUUCCUAUUGAAAGCUAUUUAUGGUGCCAUGCCUACAUAUGUGCAACUUUGCUUAAGAGGAAUCGAUACUGAUCCUACUUGUCAGAGAUGUUGUGUGGAAGAGGAGACUAUUAAUCAUGUUCUCUUUAUUUGCCCUCAAGCGCAAGCCACUUGGAGAUGUUCAGGUUUACCAUUCUUGAAUUUUCAAUCCCAGGACCUAGAAGAAAAUAUAUCAUCUCUAUUUGCUCUUAUGAAUAGUACAAACAUUCCAACUAUCUCUUGGGUGUUAUGGUAUAUUUGGAAAUCUAUGAAUGAACUUCUUUUUGCUAAAAGAAAUGUUCAUCUAAUGGAGGAUAUCUUUAUAGCAGUUGAAACCAAUGAUGAGUGGAUCUCAUUUUAUGUCAGUACUAAAUCAAAAUUGGGAAAUGCCAUAAAGCGUUAUACUUGGGAAACUCCUUCCCUGGGAUGGUUUAAGUGUAAUUUUGAUUGUAGUUUCAGAAAAGAAAUUGGUAUUGCUGGUGUUGGAUGGAUUGUUAGAAAUGAGAAUAGAUUGUUUAUGUGUGCUGGUAUGGUUAGGAUUCAUAAUGUACUAUCUGCAUUACAAGGAGAAGCUUUGGGUUUUCUAUUUGCAAUGCAACAAGUCUGGAGGAGAUAGUCUUGAAAUCGAUCGCAUAGUCAAUCGUGUGGUACUUCAACAUGUUCAACUUGGAAAUAUGCUCCAUGAUAUACGGCAUUGGAUGUCUUUAUUAUCGGAGUGUUCUUUAAGUCCGGUCAACCGAGAAAGAAACCGAGAAAAAAAAUGAGCAGCUGAUGUAUUAUCAAAACAAAUAUUAGAUGAUCCUCAAGAUGUAAUUAGUUUUUCAAUUUCUCCUAUAUAAUUGCUUGAUUACUUGUAUUGGCCGUGUAAAAUUUACAUAUCAAUGAAAUGUUGUUCUAAAAAAAAAUAUAUAUAUAUAUAUAUAUAUUUUUCUCACUUCUCAGAUUAAUUAGUCACCACCAUAAUAGUCCAAUGUUUGAUUAACGCUUCAAUAACCGAAUUGCAGCAGGGAAAUAAGAAAGAAUCAAACUUCUUGUUUCACACUGGUGUUUUACUUUUGCCCAAAUUCUUGAAUGGUUCUUGUGGCGAGAGAAAGAACGUCUACAAACGCAGAGAACGAUGCUCGGAGAAACCUCGCCUCUAAUGCCUCAAAGUGCCUGUACAGUUAUCCGGUGAAGAAAAAUAAUUAAAAACUAGUAAAGAAGUAUGAUGAUGAAAGGACUCUGAGAAACUCACACAGAAAGCUUGUUGUCUGAUACCGACAUAACUCUUCUCACUUUAUCAGGCUGCAACUGCAAAAUAUUGGUUGCAACACAAAAACAAUUCAGUGAAAUGAAAAAAAACAUGUAACGUGUGUAGGGAAAUCGAACUUCUUAUUCUUAUAUUGGUAGAAAAAUGUCAAACCUCUUUAUCAACGUCUAACGUUGUGUAUACAAUCAAAGCAUGUUCUUCUGAUUCGAAAUUCACAUCCAAUUUACUGCAAAUUUGGGGGAAAACAAACUCUGUCACAUACAAUCCCUAGCUUCAGUCAAUCUCUUAUUGAAUAAAAAUCCAAUUUUGUUCGUGUCAUUACAAUGUAAACGUAGAUAUUAUGGUGCAAUCCUAAACCAAUCUCUAAGCUAAACCAAUCUCUAAGAAGGAAGUUUAGAAAGCUAUAAUUAACCUAAUUGAGCGGAGACAAGGUCGUAUUGCCGUCUAUGAGUAAAGAUGGGAACUUUGAAGUUUAGAUCAAAGAAACUCCUUUCAGUUGUGGCAAACCAAAGAUUUCAAUAAUCGAAUCAGUAUGUUCUAACAUCAGAUACAGAGCAACCCAGAAAGCUAAGAACCCAAAUCAGAGAAGAUGAUUCAUAAGAUUUAAGUAAGAGAAGUUACCAGCUAAAAUCCCAACCUUGGUUAGAAGGAGCACUUGCAGUUGCAGGGACAGUCGCAGCCAUUCGUUUUUUUUUUUUUUUUUUUUUUGCAGCUUUCUUCCUUUCGUCGCCAAUAGAGGUUUUAGCCAAGAAAAAAUUGAAAGCUUUGUUUCGACAAAAAAUAACAGAGAAGCUGAGGGUUCGAGUGGGCUACAAAAAAAAGGUUUAAUGGGCUUUCGGCCCAAAAAUUCUCACUGCAAUAUAACUUGGCCGAAAUACCCUUUACCCGUAAACAAUGGUGUCAUGAAAAGUAUAUGCCAUGGGAAUAUUUUUGCAUGAAGGAAUAUUACCAGAAUCUCGUCUACGGUCUUACUCAUUUUUGCUAUCUCUUCGUUCUCUCUCCAUCUCUCUCAAAGCUUUUUCUAUUGUUAUGAAGAUUAAAACAGUUCAGCUAGACAUCAUCGUUCACGAUCACGAGAGAUAAUGCUUUCCAGCUUUGGUUUCAGACAAAAGCAGUAUACCACCAGGCAUGUUCUCUUCUCACCUCUUUGUUUUGUUUCUUUUGUACAUAUUAACUAGCUCGUCUUUGUUCGUAAUCUCAUAACAAAAAAAUUGUUCAAGUACUAGAAGCUUAGCUUCAUAUACUCAACAUAUAUAUUGUUUUCAUGAAACCUAGAAUAUUUUAGCAUUAAAUUGUUUUCCAGUUAGUGGUUAAUCUUAUCCUCGUAUCAAAAGAUCUUGGCGUUUAACCCUCUUUAUACAGAGAUAUAUAACCAUAGUCUGCAGAAACUUAAUCAGAAACUUGUGUAUGUUAUAUAGGAGGGGAGGUACACAGACAACAUUUAAAGUCUCAGUUGAGGUUAAGUCUUGUCUUUACAAUAGUACAUUUCGAUCCGAGGUAAAUAGAAUAUAACAAAAUGUUUCUCUCUCUACACAAGUACAUAUCAACAGUUUGUAUUAAUCUCUCUUCCUUGUAAUAGCAGCAUCUCCUUCUCUAGCGUCUGUACGUUUCACCAGCUUGAUCACUGAAGCACUGCAUAGUUGGUCUGUACCAAAACUCUGUCAAAAGCUGAAAGAGAAGGCAGAUUACAAUGAGUGUAGUUGCUAAAGUUCUAUCUUGGCAUUGUUAAGCAGUCAGGAGCUUACCCGUGUAUGAAUUGAAGUGUGAGAGGUUUGUUGGUUAUGUAAGAGAAGGACCAACUUUGAUGGGUUUCACCACCCUCAAAGCUCUUCUUGCAUACUCAUAAACCAACACCAGAAGCCCGAAGAGGAAAAGUAGACAGCGAUGAAACUUUUCCACUAUGAAAUGUGAAGGAGAAGCGGCACUCUUGCCUUCUGAUGAGCUUCUAAUAAGUGAUAUUCUCCUCUGGAAAUAACCUGAAAGAGAACAAAAGAGAGCAAGCAAAUACUGAUGUCAGUCUCAGAACAACAUUCAAAGAAGAAGACCUAUGGUCUUAAACAAUGGAUGAAUUGUGUAUUUCUAUACCGGGAUCUUCCAUGGCGAGGUUAGUCCAAUCAGUUGCUGUUUUUUUCACUCCUGACGCUUUGAUUAACUCAAGAAGAGAUUUAUUAACCUGUAAAUUGAUCAGUGAGGUAUGUUAAUCAUUUCUCACAGGUUUUGGGGGGAUAGAGAUACGGCUAAGAGCAAGACAUUUUUUCUCUCUCUCUACCACCAUAUUAUAGCACAAGAGCCUGGUAAGUCUUUAUACUUAUUAUAGCUGACAAGUUAGGUAUCAUUAUGAUUGCUUGCAAUGGUUGAUCAGUUACUACAGCAGUCGAGAGUUCUUCCUAAUAUGCUCACUGAGACUUUCUCCAUAUAAUAUGAUUAAAUCAGUUUAUCAAAUUCAUAGUCAACUCACUCUUAUUUUCAGAUUAGUAUGAUUCUAUUUCAGUCUUUUAUAUCUUUUCUGUUAAGUUGUGGUAUGAUAAGCAUAAACAUUAACUGCAGAUUAAAGGAGAUAAGGGACAACAAAGACGCAUUAGCGACCAAGUCUUUGCAAUACAUCAGAGAUGCAAGAGAGACAGAGACGUUAAGACACUAGUAAAUAGGACAGAACAGUACCUCCUCUGUUCUCUCGUGGCUUACAAGAUGGCCUCCAUGAAGAUCAACCAUUCUAGCGACAGGGUAUAGCCUCUGUGCCAGUCUUCUCGCGUGACAUAUCUGAGCAAUGACAUCAUGUCUGCAUAUAAACCCACCACACACGCUCAAUUUAAUUGUUCGUAUAGGUAGAAGAUUCUUUCUUUAAUUCUAACUUCAUCUGUGUCCACAUACCUUCCAUGAAUGACUGAGACAAGAAAUCCAGCAGAGCGGAUCCGUUCAGUCUCUGGUGUUGUGAUCUUGUGUAACCAACAAGCGUUAAGUUGGCCGUCAAGCCCGUCCUUUGACUGCAUUCCAGUUUCUGAUAUUCCUUUUACAUAUUGCUGCAAAUUUGCAUCUCUUCAAACAUUAGUUCCCUUAGAUCACAACAUCAUUAGUCAAAUGAAUGAUUUAUAUGUCUGCAUUAUCAAACCAGUGUGCUCACCUCAUAUAGGACAUCCUUCCUUGUGUUGGUGCCUAUGCGUUCUUUUAGGUAAUCCUGCAUAUAUAUAUAUAUAAACAGCAUAAGAACUUAACCUCCUCACAAUUUUCCUCUAGAGAGUAGUACAUCACAGAGAGUUUUAUAGCCAAAUCAUUCUGCUAGCAUCUCCAAGACCAAUAAUAAUAUGAUUCAAUUUCUCAAUCUAUGCAUCGCUCAUAACAACCACAACAGAGAAAAAACAGCAUCGGACUUUGCAUAGAAAGAAAAUUGCAGUAAAACAUUUUCCAAACUCCAAUCAUCAGAUUUAUUUACAACCGCUCUAUGUCAAAAAAAACUUUGUUCUUAUAAAAUUUUCAGCACAUCAAAAGAAGAUCUCUCCACCUGUGAAUAAUGUGUAUCCAAAUCAACUUUAGCUCUUUGUUGAGGGGUCUUUGCCAUCCAGAAACGUAUCGCAAUGGAAAGAGUUAGCCGGUCAAGCUGAACACAGAGAAACAAAAAAGGCUAAAAUCAGAUUUGUAUCCAAAUGAAACAGUAUAUGUCUGUCACAGAAACCAAUUACAAAAGAACAACUACUUAUCUUUACACAAAGAAAUCAACAGAUUCAACAACACGUAUGAACAAAAGUCAUUGCUAUCAAAGAAGAAGAUUGAAGAAAUAGAGCCGUGUGUUUCAUCCAAGUAUUACCUUGGGGAAGCACUCGAAACCUCCACCUGUAACGUUAAGCAACGCAAGAGAAAGAACCCGUUCAGGAACCAUUGCAGCUAACUUGCAAGCUACCAUAGCUCCUGUUGAAUCCACAAACACAACAAUAAGAAGGAAGACAUAAAACGUAUCAGUCAAAACGUCACUUGAAUGAUCAAAGGAGUUACCCAUAGAGUGGCCAAUUACGUGAGCCUUCUCCCAUCCCAAAUGAUCCAACAAACUAAUCGAAUCCUUGGCCAUUAUAGUUGUUCUGCAAAGCACAAAUCAAAGCAAACAAAACCAACUUCACAACUGAUGGAUGAAUCGAAGAAGUAAAGGAACAUAAAGCACAAAGCAUAGGUUAUUCACUAUGGAGAGUCCUCACGUGUAGUCAGAUUUGUGGGUGGGCACGGAGCUUCGACCCAUACCACGAUUGUCGAAGGCGCAGACCUCCAUGCCUUGGCCGCUUCCUGAAUCAUCAUCGGAAACGAUUCCGUCGUCGUCGUUGGGUUGAUCCGUUCCCGUCAAGCCCUUGAUUUGAGGUCCCCACGAUUCAUGGGUUCCGGCUAAACCUGCACAAAAAGAGGAAACCUUUGAGAAUUUCAUCGGAAACCCAAUUGAAAUCAAGCUCGGAGAUCGAGAGAGAGAGACCUAUGAUGAGAAGAGCUCUGGAAGGACCAUGACCGUAGGUUCUGUAGAAUAUCUUGACGCCGGCAUUGUUAAGCGUCGUUUCUGCGUCUACGUGUUCUUUCACAACCUCGCAAUACGGCAUCGUUUAACGAUUAUCUUCCUCUUGGAAAAUUGGGUGGGAUUCGGCGGAUUCAGCAACCGGAAUAAGAAAAUGAAGAACAGAUAUGACUUUUUCUUUUUUUCUCUAUAAAUGGACGGCGAUUGGUUUGGUGGUUUGGUUCGGUUUAGUUGCGGGUGGGGUAAGCGACUGCCACGUGGGACUGGUCGGGAUGAUGGCUUGGUAAUACCUGAAAAAAGUCAACGGUCAAAUUUGACAUAAAACAGUUGAGACUAUUCAAAAACAUUGGUUUUGGUAUUAAUACGCAACUGUUUAAGAAAUAAUUAUAAAAAGAUUGUCCUCUUAUCCCCCAAGUGGUCUUUAAAUCAUCACCACUACAGAUGUCCAUUUGUAAUUUUGUUUUGUUGCUCAUAGUCGGUUGAUACACCGACUUUGUUUCACUAGAAAUACAUAUACUCUCCUAUUGUAACAAAUAUAAAUCUGAGUACAAAAGUUAUUCUCUCUUUUGAGUCAACAUCACUCUCAACUUAUCUCUCUCUUUUUCACGUGAUUCCAUCCAAAACACAAAAGAAUAUAAUAUUGUAAUUAUUAAUACAUAUAUAUAUAUAUAUAUGUCUCACCUCUUAUUAUACAACACGUUAUAAGCACGAGCUCUCAUAUAUCGGUGAAUUCUAUCAAUCCGGAAGCUCUGACCAAUCGAAAACCAGCUGAGGUAAUGUUUAAUUUAUGUAUUUCCAUAUACUUAAUUUAUUUAAAUUUUAUUAUUGUUCUAGAGUGAGAGGCUAGGCCUUCUCCGUUUAUUUUUCGGGAUGAUAGGCGCUGCCUUCCCUGACUGAUCGUUAUGGUAGGCUAUGUCUUCACGAUCAGAGAAACGCGUGGUAGGCUUUGCCUCCGUGAAUAAAAGAAAAUGUCAAAAAUGGUAGACUAAGUCUCCUCGGACCUUGAAAAAAGUAAAAGUCAAAAUGGUAAACCAUGUCUCCUCAGAUUUUGAAAAAUGAUCAAUAUGGUACUCUAUGACUCCUCGGAUCAUGUGGUAGGCUAAGCCUCCUAAUUUUAUUUAUGCUAUUUAAAUUCCUGCAAUUUAAAUUUAUGCAAUUUAAGUUUAUGCUUUUAUUUUAUGCCUUUAAUUUAUGCAUUUAAAUUAUGCAUUUAAAUUCCCGCCUUUACUAUAUUUAUAUAUUAUUCUAUGAAUAUAGUUAUCAUGUCGAAUUUGACAAAGCUCAAAAUUAAUGCCAUGGAUAUUACGGGAAAUAAUUAUAUGACCUGGGCAGUGGGUGCAAAGAUGCACCUGAGAGGAAACUAGUUUUUGGAAACCAUCGAUAGUUCAAAAACGGUGUCGGAUGAGAAAAAGGCAAAAGCCAUGAUAUUUUUACGACACCACAUCCAUGAUAGUUUAAAGGAUGAAUAUAUUACGAAAGAGGAUCCUUGUGAUCUCUGGAAAUCUUUCAAAGAGAGGUUUGGUCACCAGAAAUAUGUGAUCUUACUGAAAGCUAAACACGAGUGGAUCCAUCUCCGGUUCUAGGAUUACAAAAGUGUUAGUGAGUUUAAUUCUGCGAUGUUCGGAAUUACUUCGAGGAAGAUGUUAUGUGGAGAGAAAAUAAGUGAUUAUGAUAUGAUCGAGAAAACUCUCUCCAUGUUCCAUCCUGAAGAUGUAAUCAUGCAGCAACAAUACCGAGUGAAUGGAUAUACCCGUUAUUUGGAGUUGAUGCAAGUCCUCCUUGUAGUGGAGCAGAAUAAUCAACUCCUGACUUUAAACCAUCAAGCUCGUCCCACUGGAUCUGCUUCAUUCCCGGAAGCGAAUGUUGCAUCAUCCAGUUAUGAUAAUAGGAGAGGACGAGGUCGUGGACGUGGUGGAAACCGUUAUCAUGGUCGUGGAAGAAGAUUUCGUCCCUAUGAUGAAAGAAAUAAUAAAGACUUCCACGAAAAUGAAAAGUCUGAAAAAGACCGGGAUGAUAAAUGGCAAACGGGAAAGGUUUGCUACAGAUGCGGCAUGAAAGGUCAUUGGGUACGUAACUGUCGUACGCCAAAACAUUUAGCCGAUCUGUAUAGAGAAUCCCAAAAGGGAAAAGAGAAAGGAAGAGGUGAAACUAACUUCAUCUCUGAUGAACCCGUGCCAUCCUUUCAUGGGUUAAAUGAUGAUACUCAUCUCGACGUAUCAGACUUUCUGGUUGAGCCAAAGAGUAUCGAUGAGUGAUAGAAUCAAUGUGAUAUAAGUUUACUGUAUAUAUUAUCUAUAUCUUUUGUUGUAAGAUAUAUGUUAUGUUUGUUAUGUUUCAUGUUUAAUAAUAUAUGUUUAUGAAUAUUUUAAAUUCAGAAAGAAUGCCAAACUUUGAGACCAUGGAUGGAGAUUUGUAUUUGGCAGAUAGUGCGUCAACGCACACGAUAAUUAAAGAUAAGAAAUAUUUCUCUAGUCUCAAAAUAAGAGAUUACGCUGGAAGCGUAAGUACAAUAUAUGGUAAUGCAAAGAUUAUUAUGGGCUCUGGAAGAGUAAAAUUUUCAAUGCCAGGGGGAACGAUAUUUGAAAUAAGUGAUGCAUUGUACUCCCCUGAGUCUCAUAGAAACUUGUUAAGUUUUAAGGAUAUCCGAAGAAAUGGAUAUCAUAUUGAGACUAUGAGUAAAGAUGGCAUUGAAUUUCUUCGCGAUAAGUCCGAGAGGAAACAUAUAUUGGAAGAGUUAAGAAUAUUAUCCUCUGGAAUAUAUUGUACGAAAAUAACCAUGACUGAGUCCUAUGCCGUGGUAAACAUGAAGUUUACUGAUACUUUUAAAAUCUGGCAUGAGAGGCUAGGACAUCCUGGUUCAGUUAUGAUGAGAAAGAUAGUGCAAAAUUCGAAUGGCCAUCCGUUGAAAAACGGAAUUUUUUUGCAAAUGGGCGAGUUUACAUGUAAUGCAUGUUCUCAAGGAAAACUUAUAACUCGGGCAUCACCAGUAAAAGUAGGCAAUGAAUCACCAAUAUUUUUGAAAAGAAUACAUGGUGAUAUAUGUGGGCCGAUCCACCCACCGUGCGGACCAUUUAAGUAUUUCAUGGUAUUGAUUGACGCAUCUAGUAGAUGGUCAAAUGUGUCUCUUUUGACGACACGAAAUACGGUUUUCGCAAAAUUCAUUGCCCAGAUAAUAAAGCUGAGAACGCAGUUCUCAGAGUAUGCCAUUAAGAAAGUAAGGCUUGAUAAUGCUGGUGAAUUUACAUCGCAAGCCUUUGAUGAUUAUUGUAUGUCAAUGGGGAUUGAUGUGGAGCAUCCAGUUCUCCAUGUGCAUACACAAAAUGGCAUGGCCGAGUCAUUGAUAAAACGGUUGCAGUUGAUUGCAAGACCGUUAGUCUGGAGAACAAAGCUCUCAAUUUAUCUAUGGGGACAUGCUAUAUUGCAUGCGGCUGCACUGGUUCGGUUAAGACCGAGUGCAUAUCAUAAGUACUCCCCAUUACAAUUGGCAUCUGAGCAAGAGCCAGAUGUAUCCCAUCUCCGUAUCUUUGGGUGUGCGGUCUAUGUUCCGAUAGCACCACCACAAAGAACAAAAAUGGGCCCACAAAAAAGUUUGGGAAUAUAUGUGGGUUAUACGUCACCAAGUAUAAUAAGAUAUCUGGAACCAGUAACUGGUGAUAUGUUUACGGCAAGGUUUGCAGAUUUCCAUUUUAAUGAGGAUGAAUUUCCAGCGUUAGGGGGAGGAAUUAGAGAAAUUCCUAAAGAGAUUACUUGGUGUACACCGUCGUUGUUACACCUUGAUCUCCCUACAAAUCAAAGAGAGCUGGAGGUUCAGAAAAUUGUGCAUUUGCAUAAUUUGGCAAACCAGUUACCAGAUGCGUUCACAUAUACAAGAAGGGUGACGAAAUCUUGUAUACCCGCUGAAAAUGUUCCAUCAAGAGUUGAUGUUCCUAAAGAACAAACUGACGGAAAUAAAAUGAAUGAACCUAAGGUUCAGUUAAAGAGGGGGAGGCCAGCGGGUUCUAAAGAUAAAAAUCCCCGGAAGAAAAAGAAAUUGGAUGAGCAAAAUAGUAAGGUUCCAGAAGAACCUGAUAUUGAAAGAUGUCUGAAAGAAGACAUAAAUGGAAAGAUUCCAAAAGAGCCUGUUAGUGAAAAAUGUCUGAAAGAAGGCAUAGAUAAAGAUGAUCCAGAUGACGAGAAUGGAACAGAAAAGUAUGAGAUUUCCAUUAACUACGUCCGAGAUGAAAAGUUAUGGAUCAAAAAUAAGAUAAAAGAUGUUGAUGGAAUGUUUUUUUUUUUCUGUGUCCAAAGAGAUUGAUCAUGAAAAUGAUGAUCCCGAUCCAAGGUCCAUUUUAGAAUGUCAAAAAAGACAUGAUUGGGAGGAGUGGAAGAAGGCAAUUCAAAUUGAAUUACUCUCCCUAAAUAAAAGGAAUGUCUUUGGACCUAUAGUCAUAACGCCUGAGAAUAUAUAUCUUGUUGGGUAUAAGUGGGUAUUCGUGAAAAAAAUAAAUGAAAAGAAUGAAGUAACACGAUAUAAAGCCCGAUUAGUUGCCCAAGGUUUUUCUCAGAGACCGGGAAUUGAUUUUGAGGAAACGUAUUCGCCGGUAAUGAAUGCAACUACAUUUAAAUUUUUGAUGAGCCUAACGGCGUCUAAAAUCUUGAAAUGCAUCUGAUGGAUGUUGUGACUGCAUAUUUGUAUGGAUCGUUGGAUAACGAUAUAUAUAUGAAACUCCCUGAGGGAUUGAAAAUGCCAGGGGCAUUGAAAGAAAAAUCCAGGGAGAUUUGUUCGGUCAAGUUACAGCGAUCACUUUACGGAUUAAAGCAAUCCGGUCGCAUGUGGUACAAUCGAUUAAGUGAAUAUCUUUUGAGUAAAGGAUAUGUGAAUAAUGCGAUAUGUCCAUGUGUUUUUAUAAAGAAAUCGUCAUCUGGCUUUGUGAUCAUAGCUGUAUAUGUAGAUGACCCGAACAUAAUUGAAACUCAAAAGGAGGUUGAUGAUGCUCGAACUCAUUUGAAAGAGGAGUUCGAAAUGAAAGAUCUCGGGAAGACAAAGUUUUGUCUUGGGCUCCAGAUAGAGCAUCUCCGAGAAAGAAUAUUUGUGCAUCAAUCAAACUAUACGAAAAUGUUAUUGAAACGCUUUUAUAUGGAUAAAGCGACUCCUUUGAGUACUCCAACGGUUGGUAGAACUCUCGAUGUUGAAAGAGACCCUUUUAGGCCCUGUGAAGAUAGCGAGAAGAUAUUAGGUCCUGAAGUACCUUAUAUGAGUGCUAUCGGUGGGCUUUUGUAUCUUGCAAACUGUACUAGGCCUGAUAUUGCUUUUGCUACUAAUCUACUAGCAAGAUAUAGCUCUGCUCCUACUCGCAGGCAUUGGGACGGAAUAAAGCAUGUAUUACGUUGCCUCCAAGGUACAGUUGAUUUAGGGUUGAUAUAUUUUAGAAAACCCGAGUUUGAUAUGGUUGGUUUUGCAGAUGCAGGAUACUUAUCAGAUCCUCAUAAGGCUCGAUCGCAAACCGGCUAUGUUUUUACGAUUGGUGGAACCGCGAUCUCUUGGCGGCCCCAGAAACAAACUAUGGUUGCGACAUCUUCGAAUCAUGCAUAAACUAUUGCACUUCAAGAAGCAUGUCGAGAAUGUGUGUGGCUUCGGUCAAUGAGUCACCACAUACAAGAAUCAAGUGGAAUAGUCAACGAGAAAGAGCCGACGAAAAUAUUUGAAGACAAUUCGGCGUGUGUCGCUCAACUUAAAGAAGGCUACAUUAAGAGUGACAGAACAAAGCACAUUCCUCCAAGAUUUUUCUCGUACAUAAGGGAGUUCGAGAAAAAUAAAGAAGUGGACAUCGAAUAUGUACGGUCAUGCGACAAUCCAGCUGAUUUGUUUACAAAAGCUUUUCCGACUACAACAUUCCGAAAACACGUCUACGGUAUCGGAAUGCGGCAUUUGCGUGACAUGUGACAAGAAAGUUAUGUCUACUAUUAUCAGGGGGAGAUUACGGCAGUGUACUCUUUUUUCCUUGUCAUGGUUUUUGUCCCAAUGAGCUUUUCCAUGACUAGGUUUUUAACGAGACACUACGUAACACAAGUUUGGAUAAUCAGGGGGGGGGUGUUAUAGAAAUAAUUAUAAAAAGAUGAUUAUCCAAAAGGACACUUCUCCUCUUCUCCCCAAGUGGUCCUUGCAUCAUCACCACUACAGAUGUCCAUUUGUAAUUUUGUCUUGUUGCUCAUAGUCGGUUGAUACACCAACUUUGUUUCACUAUAAAUACAUGUACUCUCCCUUUGUAACAAAUGUAUAUCUGAGUACAAAAUUUAUUCCCUCUCUCUUGAGUCAACAUCACUCUCAACUCAUCUCUCUCUUUCUCACGUGAUUCCACCCAAAACACAAAAGAAUAUAAUAUUGUAAUUAUUAAUACAUAUAUAUAAGUCUCACCUCUUAUUAUACAACAGGAACUUCUUUCUUUCUAACAUUUUGAAAGGUUUAGGAAUUAUUUUGUCGACAUAAUCCCAUAUGGAUUAGGUGCAUAUAAAAGAUUUGAAUAUGCUUAUUUAUUCUCAUGUGAUUUAACCCAAACUGGUUAAUAUUGUUCAAAGUGUCCAUAAAUUAUUAGUGUAUAUAGAAUUAUCUCAAAUCAAUCUUGUAGCAAACCAUAAGUAAAUUUAUAUGUAUAUGACUAAAACAAAAUGAAGAACAUAAAUGACUUUUUCUUUUCUCUCUAUAAAGGGAGAGAGAGAUUGGAUGGCGAUUGGUUUGGUGGUUUGGUUCGGUUUGGUUGUGGGUGGAGGAAAAGACUGCCACGUGGGACUGGUCGGUUGGAUGGCGAGUAAUACUAAUAUCUAAAAAAGUCAACGGUAAAAAAGUCAAUGGUCAAAUUUGACAUGGAACACUUGAGAUUUAUUCAGAAACAUUGCUUUUGUGGUAUUAAUAAGGAACUUCUUUCUAACUUUUUGAAAGGUUGCGCUAGGAAUUAUUUUUUUGACAUAGUCCCAUAUGGAUUAGGUGCAUAUAAAUAAUUUGAAAAUGCUUAUUUAUUCUCAAGUGAUUUAACUCGAACUGGUUAAUCUUUUUUUUGACACUGUUUUAUUAAAACUGAUUUGGAACAUAUUACAUCGAAGAAUAUGACAAAUAAUGAGAAACUAAUGGUCUUUCCACACCGGAAAAUAUAAAAGAUAAACAUGAUUGAUGACAUAUUAGCAAUACCAAACUAGUCUUGUUUUGAAAGCAAGGUGAAUUAGAUGUUUCCGUUCUAACAAAUAGCAGACAUACUUCUAAUACCUUCAACAAAUGACGACAAUAAUUCUCAUAGUUUAGAUAUGUCUUCUUCUUCUUCUUCAGUUGCUUUGAUCAAUUUUGUCCCGAGUUAGCUUCAGUUUAGAUACCGUUGAACAAGCUUGAACUACAAAGUACAAAUCAUGUAGAUAGUCGGGAUUGACGAUUCACGUCCCAAAACCAACACGACAAAAACACAAACCACACAAAAUGGACAAUAAAACCAUAAUUAGAUCCAAAACGAAGCAAGAUCCGUUUCUAGAAAAAGGUUCCACCUCAAUAUCAAGAUAAAUUGAUAUCUCUCACCACAAAAGCACCGCAAAAAGAUGCAGAAAUAAGAGAAACAUAGGUAUCCAACGAUAAAUUAUUGGUAGAAGUGUCCAUAAAUUAUUAUUGUAUAUAGGAUUAUCACAAAUCAAUGUUGUAGCAAACAGUGAACAGAAAACCAUAAGUAAGUAGCAGCCGUCUUUUGACAAAUCUAGAUCUGAGGCCGGUCGGUGUUUUUUCUAGAUCUGAGGCCGGUCGAUGUUUUUUCUAGCACUGGUACCGGUCUUCGUCACGGAUAUAAUCUUCUUGGUGGUGAGAGGUCCAACGGAGCGGAUGCCUGUAGGAACACUGAGAACUUUGUUUUGGUGUCUCUUCUCUAAGUUCUAUUGCCAUGGUUGGAUACCUAUGUUUCUAUUAAUUUUCCAUCUUUUUGCGGUGCUUUUGAGGUGAGAGAUAUUAGUUUCUCUCGAUAUUAAGGUGAACCUUCUUCGAGAUCUUGCUUCGUUUUGGAUCUGCUUAUGGUUCUAUUGUCCCUUUUGUGUGGUAUAUGUUUUUUUCGUGUUGGUUUUGGGACGUGAAUCGUCAAUCCCGACUAUAUACCUGAUUUGUACUUUGUAGUUCAAGCUUGUUCAACGAUAGCUUAACUUAAGUUAUCUCCAGACAAAAUUGAUCAAGGUAACUGAAGAAUGAGAUGUAUCUAAACUAUGAGAAUUAUUGUCGUGAUUUCGUUGAAAGUAUCAGAAGUCGAUCUGCUAUUUCUGGAACGAGAACACCUAAUUCACCUUACUUUCGAAACAAGACUAGUUUGGUAUUGCUAAUGUGUCAUCAACCAUGUUUUUAUUUUCUGGUGUGGAAAGUCCAUUAGUUUCUCAUUAUUUGUCAUAUUCUUCUAUGAUGUUAAAUUUUUCCAAAUAAGUUUCAAUAAAAAAAUGUUAAAAAAAGAAAACCAUAAGUAAGUUAUAUGUAUAUAACCAAACAAAAGAUGUUCAAUCAAAAUUCAAGCCAUUGAACUACUUUCAGGUCUAGAAAUGGCUUACAAUACACCUAUAAUACACUUCUAUCUCAUCUAUAAAUGAGCACCAUGUUUUAACUUGAACAUAGGUUCUAGGUUAUAAUCUGUAGAUUAAUAUAUUAGAAACGGUAAUUUAUGUGCUUAGUAACACAUGUAUUAAACAGAGUGAUCAAAACGAUGCAGUUUUGGCAUUGGACCGGAAAGGGAAAGCGGCCAAGAGGAACCGAACUCCAAACGAGAAGAGAGCCCACUCGCUUGUGUUUCAUCCGCACAACGGUCAUAUUCAAAAGCUGAGGUCAAAGACAAAAGCAAAGGACUGAUAAAGCAAGGAUGGAGAGUUGUUAAUGGAGUGAAGCUGUACAACAAGCUCUCAGCCCUUGAUUCAUUGAAGAACUAGGAUCUCUCCAUCAGUCUAGAACACUAGGUUUCGAUUGUGUUCUAUAAAUUUCAUCUCUUUGUGAUUGCUGAAACCUAAGAAUGAGUGUUAUGAAUUUUCAGUAAAACAAAGCUUCAUCUUCUUCAUUUCACCUUUACUCAAAACUCUUUAACAUGAUAUGAAAUGAAUUCAUUUAAAAGUCAUUGCAAAUUGAUGUAGUGUUGGCAACAAACUUGGUGUAUAGCUGAAUCAGUAAAUAAUUUGAUAUAAUAUUAUAGCAUAAUAAUUUAGUAAUCAGAGGUUAUUCUAUUUUGAGUACUUUCUUUUUGGUAGUUAAGACUUCAGUAUGUUCGGUCCCCCGGCCAUAUGUAUAUAUGCCUUUGUAUUGUUAGAGGUUAAUAAUGGAACUUUAUCUUAGCACUCCACGACUUAUUCAUCCUUCCUACUUCCCUCACUACUUCACUAUUUACGUACACUAUGUAUCGAGUUAGAGAUCCACAUGUUUAGUGGACUACGGGUUUGAGAUAUAUGCGACCACCAAUUAACAUUCUUAAGUUAAUCUUUAAAAUACCUUGUUUGGGUCGCCAUAGCAGCUCAGCAUGUUGGAUAUACUCAUUCUUCUUAUAUCGGUCUUUAUUUCAGGUUGUGGAGCAUGGUCUUGGUCAUUGAGAAACAAGCUGUCACUCCCACACGUAUGAGAAGAAAAUGUGUGAGAUGUAACAUAUUUUAUACACUUUCUUAUAAAAAAAUUUCUCUGGUAAACUCGAAAUGUUAAAAAAAGAGGAGAGCUGCUGAGUGUUGAUCUGAUUUUCGUAAAUGGAAAGGUUUGUAUUUUAAGAGUUGUUUCGGUUAAACACUUUUGCACCUGUGAAAAAACACAUGCUUACUGAUUGCGGUCUUUCUUUCCAAAGUCAAACAUGAUUCAGGGGUCUAUUGAUAUCUAUCGUUUAUUCAUUUUAGUUUCAGAUAUAAACACAAAAGAAAAACCAUAACACCACUAACCAAAGCUUUAUAUAGAGUAAAUUGCAGUUGCUUACUGUUACGAUAGUUUUAAAGAUUGUAAAAAAACAAAAGACACAUCUUAGAUAUUUAAUACUUGCUGCGUAAACUCAAUACCCAAUUAACAUGAAGAAAACUAAAAAAAAUCAUAAAUUGGGAAUUGAAAAGAAAUUAUUGUCAUAAAAUCCUUGAUCUUCAAAUGAUUAUUAUCAUAAAAUCCUUGAUCUUCAAAUGAUUAAACUUCAGUUUGGUAUUGUUGGUAUCCAUUACCAAGUGGUCUUGCCCUAGUGGUAAAGGAGCUCUAGCUGGAGCUUUUGCCCUGGAUUCGAUUCUCCUUGACCACUCAUAGACACCUUAAGUGGCAAGAAAACCCGGAUUUCUAUGGGCUUCUUGGUGAUUAGUCCUUGGACCUAGAAAGCCUUUGGGAUCAUACCAAAGUUAUCCAAAAAAAAAAUAUUGUUGGUAUCCAUUACUAAAUAGGUUAUCACACAAUCACUCUAAGCAUGUAAUCAAAGAAACCAUUAUGUCUGUCAAUGGAAUGUAUAUUAUCUUUCACUCCCACCAAUGCAUUGAGAACCGAUGAUUCUAUGGCUCAAUAAUUUACUGCAAACAAAACCAAAACAUUUGACCACAGACUCACUCUGUAUCUUCCCAUGGCAUUGUAGUACAAUUCUUGAUGGCUUUGAGGAUAGGACAAUCAUAAUUUGAGAAAAUUCCAUAGAAAUACCCCGAUUAAGUUUUGUUAAGUUCUUUAAUAUCCAUUUUUUUGUUACCAAGUUUAAUAUCUCAAUUAGUUAUUUUGUUCAUUUGAACACUAAAAUUAUGCUCAUUUUAAUACUCCAACUAUAUUUAUUUUAAUCAAUAAACAUUGAUAAGUUUCAAAAUAAAUUAAAAACCUCUCAAAUUCAAAAAUAAAUAUUAAACUUUUCUAAUUUUAUUUGAAGUUCUAGGAAUAAAAUAAAUUAAAUUGUGGAUAAAGUUAAACCUUUUAAUUUUAAUUUUAUUUUUUCACAAUCAAUUUUAUUUUAUUUUCUUAAACUUAAUAAUAAUUUAUUUAAUUUUUCAUUCAAUAUUACGUUUUACGUUUUUCUAUAAUUUAAAAUUCAAUUCAAAAUUUAUUUAUUUUAUUUAUAAAAUUUAAAACUAAAUUAUUAUAUUUAAAUAUUGUUUUUGAAUUUGAGAAUUUUUUUUAAAAUAUUUGAAACUUAUCAAUAUUUUUGAUUAAAAUAAACAUAGUUUGAAUAUAAUGAGCAUGUUCAAAAAACAACAUUGUAUUAAAAAGUUUAACAAAAUUUAGUUGAAGAUUUUUUAUAGAAUUUUCCCAAAAUAAUUGAUGAAUAUUUUUCCUUAUAUGCCAUGAAAGAAUUAGUGUUACAUUUAUAGAAUUGAUUUAAAUUAUAUCGUAACAACUAAAUCAUAUAUCAAAUUAUUUUAUUAAAAUAAGUUAAAUAAUUAGUAUUAAAACUAACAUAAAACAUGUAAAACGUAAACAAAUUAUUUUUAAAACUAAAUAAAUAAAUAAAAAUUCUGUGCGAAUCACAAGACAAAUUACAAUUACAUCAAUACUUAAGCCAGCAUACAUAUCAUUUUGACCAAUCUCCACAAAAGCGUCUCACAUUAAAACUGAGCAAUUCAACUCCAUUUUUCUUCAUUGAAUAAUACCAUUUUAUUUCAAAGGAACAACUAUACAAAGUAGCAUGGUACGAUGCUAAACAUCUACUAAUCCAACUAAUCAUCAACCUAAGAUCGAGCUCAAUCAAGGGCAACACCAGGAGAUAAACCCACAUGCCCUUACACAAAAAGAUCAGACAACCAAAAAGGGGAUCCGUGGUUGAGCAAAAUCCGACAAUAUCAUGCUUUGCAAAAUGCAAAAAACUCCAAAAAUUCAAUGACAACUAGCCUUCUCCAAUUUUCACUCAAGAAUAUAAUUGAAGAAAGGGCCUAAUGGAAGAAGAAAUCCAUUUAUAGGAUGGCCAAGCUUAAGUUCUUGUAACUGCUCCUACCAAUUCUUUUGAGUCCACGUCGAUUCAACUUCAUAUAACUAAGUUUAAUCUCCAUCAAAAAUCUUACUGCCUAAAAGUUAGUAGCCACAGUAAAAUAAUGUAUGGUGCUUUUCCACACCGUAUUACCUCGCCAAGGCUUCCAUAUGGAACUGGAAUUGGAAUCAGAAAAUUUUGGAAGCUUAUGGAAAUUCGCUUCCAAAAUGCUUCAAAAUAUCUUGUUUAAAAACAUGUUGGAAACUUACGAUUCCAUUUUGAAUCAUAAUUCCAUUUAAAAAACACAUUGUCAUAAAUAAAUAAAUAUAAAAUCAUGUUUUUAUCUUUUUGAAUAAAAUUUAAAAUUUAAUAAAAUUAAAAUAUAGAGAACAGAAAUAUGAAAAUAUAAAACUAAAACUAUAAAUUAUCUUUAUGCCCUUAAUUUUUAUUAGAGAUAUAGCAUAUAUAUUUAAAAUAUAUUGUGUCAAUUAUUUAUGAAAUAUUUAAAAUAAUUAAUUUUUAAUAUUUUUUAUAGAUUUAAUUUAUUUAUAUUUUCACAGUUAUAAUCUGAAAUCAUUUAAAAUUAUAAUAAAUGAAUAAUUUUUUUCUUUCAAUUUGAAUAAUAUUUUUUAGCCAUAAAUUUUAUCAAAUUUUCUUAUAUAUAUGUGGAUAUAUGAUUCCAAGAUGUAUAUGCUUCAUAUUGUUUUUAAAAAAAUAUUACUUCUAUUCUUUCAUAUAGUUCCGUUCGGCAUACUCAGUUUCCGAUCGUGCCUAUUCCUUUCUGAAUUUUGUAUUAAUGCGUAUUUCAUAUUGAACUAACCAAAUAUCCAAAAAUACUACAUGAACUUUACACGUCGUACCUUUUCAUUCCUGAACUUUAUAGUAGUGAAUAUUCCAUAUUGAACUAAGCAAAAAUUUAAAAAUACUACUUGAACUCUCAAAAUCGUGCUUAUAUAUAUUGACCGUCAAAGGUACUAGUCAUCCGUUAAUUUAUCAAACGACAUCAUUUUAGAUAAAUUUUGCAAAAUAAAAAAUUCAAAAAUACUACAUGAACUCUAAAAAUCGUGCUUAUAUAUAUUGAUUGUCAAAGAUGUUAGUCAUCCGUUAGUUUAUCAAAAUGUAUCAUUUUGGGAUAAAUUCUAUAAGAUGAAAAAUUAAUUUUUGGGAGAUUCGAACUCUCACACUAGUGGACAAGUAUAAACUAAAUAUUUGAAUUGAUAAUAAAUAAUUUAAACUUGUAUAAUAAUGAUCUUUAAAGUUAAAUUAAAAAAUAAUAAUUAUAGAUUUAUUUGAUAAAACUAAAACAAUAAAAAAAUUUAUAACAUUUAUUUGAUUAAGUUAAAACUGAUAUUUAAGCUAAUGUUUACACAAUGUAUACAAGAAAGUUAUUUGGUCUAGCAAUUAAUAUGUCCUUAUUUGUCCACCAGUGUGAGAGUUAGAACCUCUCAAAAGUUAAUUUUUAGUUUUACAGAAAUUUAUCCAAAAUGAAGUUGUUUUGAUAAAUUAACAGAUGACUUACACCUUUGACGAUCAAUAUAUAUAUAUAUAUAUAUAUAAAUAAGCAUAACUAUGAAAGUUCUUCUAGUAUUUAAAAAAAAUUAUUUUACAGAAUUUAUCCCAAAUGACGUAGUUUUAAUAAAUUAACGGUUGACUAACAUUUUUUACGGUUAAUAUAAAUAUAAAUAUAUAUAUAUAUAUAUACGAUUUUCAUCUGGUAUUUUUGAAUUUUUGGUUAGUUUAGUAUGAACAACGCACUAGUAUAAAGUUUCAAGUUGAAAUAUACCGUUUUCCCAAAUUAGUUCUAACAUUUUACCAAAAAAGUUAAGAAAAAAUAAAUAAAUUAUGAAGCAUUCCCAAAGUCUCAAACGAGUACGUUUAGCCUAUAAGCCAAAAAGCGAAGACCGUAAUGAGCGCACACCACUAACUUCGCACGGCGUCCUUCCACUCUCCCAACUUUAACAACUCCCUUCGCGAUUCUCAAGAACCCUCACGAUAAUCUGAAAACCUAUUUGCAUUGCUCCGUCUCCGAUUAUUACCCAGACAAAUUGACGGAAAGUUUCACUCCAUUUUCCCGAGAAAAAGGAAAGAAAAGUAAUUAACUGCCGAACUUGUAGGUUAUCUUGACUUGAAAUUUGGGGGCGAGAUCGAUGUAAUGACUAGUUGAUUGGACUUUUUGAUUUUUUUUUUUUGCGAUUAGCGACUGUGUGUGUAAUGGAGAGAUCUAGAUCGAAGAGGAACUAUCACUAUGACCAAGACUAUGACGGAGAUUCCAUCGGAAGGUCUAAACCUCGCUACAGCCACAACUUUGGCGGCGGAAAUAACAGAUACCGCGGCGGCGGAAACGGACGGCCGUCGAAGUCUCACUCGGACACGAUGGCGACGACCACUUACCGUGUCCUCUGCCACGACGCCAAAGCGGGAGGCGUUAUCGGCAAAUCCGGAUCCAUCAUCAAGUCCAUUCGACAGCACACCGGCGCGUGGAUCAACGUCCACGAGCUAGUUCCCGGAGACGUCGAGCGUAUCAUCGAGAUUUCCGAUAACCGUCGGCGUGACCCCGACGGGAGAAUGCCGGCGUUCUCUCCCGCUCAGGAGGCUUUGUUCAGUGUCCACGACCGGAUUUUGGAGAGCGAAGCUCAGUACGGGUACGGCGUAGCUCCGCCGCCGGAGGAUGAGGAGGAUUACGGUGGUGUGAGGCCUGGAGGAGGGAAAGUGGUGACGAGGCUUGUGGUUUCCAAGGUUAAUGUUGGUUGCUUGCUUGGUAGAGGUGGCAAGAUUAUCGAGCAGAUGAGGAUUGAAACCAAGACUCAUAUUAGGAUUCUUCCUCGAGAGACUAACUUACCUCGUUGUGUCUCUCAGUCUGAUGAGAUUGUCCAGGUCUGAAUAUUGCUUCAAAACAUAUAUGAAAUAUGAAAUGGUGAAUAUUGUUUUUUUUAAGACUUCAUAUGAAUGUGUGUUGCUUCUUUCAGAUUGUAGGUGAACCUGCUGCAGUGAGAAACGCUUUAGGUAUUGUAGCGUCGCGUCUAAGAGAGAGUCAGCAUCGUGAUCGCACUCAUUUCCAGGGGCGUGUACAUUCACCAGAACGGCUACCAGCUGAUGACUACAUCCCACAGCAGAGAAGACAAUCAUCAGAUAGGUUUAACCAUGGCAAUUACAGGAAUAACAGUUUCAGCUCACGCCAAUCUAACUACGCAGAUGAAGCUCCAGCAGCUUCAGGUGGUGAGAAUGUGCAGCAGCCUUUCUACACUGAAGACCUCGUGUUCAAGAUUCUAUGCCCUGUUGAUAAGAUUGUUAAGGUUGUUGGAGAAUCACAAGGAAUAGUAGAUUUGCUUCAGAACGAUGUGGGCGUGGACAUGAGUGUAUCUGACCCUGUUGCUGGAUCUGAUGAACAGAUAAUUACCAUUUCUUCAGAAGAGGUACUCUUUAACAUCCUUACAUCUUCUGCAGCAGUAUCUGUUACAUAUCAACUAUGAACUUGAAUUUCUGGGUUCUUUACUUUGCCUAGGCACCUGAUGAUCCGCUUUUCCCUGCUCAAGAAGCUUUGUUGCACAUUCAAACUCAGAUCGUAGACCUGAUUCCGGAUAAAGAUAACCUUAUAACGACGAAAUUGCUCGUCUCAUCUAGAGACUCAGGAUGUUUGGAAGGGAAAGCAGGAUCAGUAUCUGAGAUAUCACGAUUAACUGGAGCAAGCGUACAGAUUCUCGCUAGGGACGAAAUGCCCCAAUGUGUUUCCAUCAAUGAUGUUGUUGUACAGGUUUGUUUGUCUAAUUUCGAGGACUUGUGCAUAUAUUAUUAUAAAGUACUUUUGGUCUUAGAAGAGAAUUUUCAUGCGUAUGUAGAUUGCUGGCGAGAUCAAAGCAGCUCGGGAUGCACUUGUUGAAUUAACCUUACGAUUGAGGAGUCAUAUGUGCAAGGAGCUCUCUCAGAAGGAGACACCACCGGGUUCCACUUCCACAACUGGCCCUCUUGAAGGUGUUGCAGGAGUAAUGGAGGUAGCUUCAUCGAAUAACACAACUCAAUCCCGUGAAGGACUCGCAAUCGCGCCGCAAUAUAAGGUUUUGGUCUCAUCAACAAUCUUUUCAGUACAAAUGCGUUCAUAAUCAGUUAGGGUCCCACGUAUUGACAGCUAGCUAAACGUAACACUACCGAUGCACAAUCUGAAGGUAGCUAAAUGGUUUAAUGUUCUUGUAUUUAAAUAUACUUUUUGUCCUGAGUUUUUCUAGGAAGGUGGUGGAUCAGUUGCAAAGGCGGGUGAAAGUGAACACCGGGAUGAGGUUCCUGUCACGGCUAGCAGGUAGAGAGACUCCCAAACUUAGAAUUAUUAUUUCCUAUCUGUGAAACCAUAUACAAAAAAAAUAUAUUAGAACUAUUUGUUUCACACAUCUCCUUUCUGUUGUUAUUUAGAAUGCCGGUGGCACUUGUUACUAGGAGCACUCUUGAAAUUGUCUUACCAGACGAGGUUAUUCCUAAGCUUGUUACGAAAUCAAGAAACAAGCUUGCACAAGUCAGUGAGGUGAAACUCUCUCUAUUAACUGGAACUAGAUUGGUUGCAUUGCAAAUCAUGUCUUGAAAAUCUAAUCUUCUUUCCCUCUUUCCCAUUUGAUCACAGUGGUCUGGAGCUACUGUAACAUUAGUUGAAGACCGACCGGAAGAAACACAGAAUGUCAUUCGUAUUUCGGGUACGCCAGAGCAGGCAGAGAGAGCACAGAGCUUGCUUCAAGGCUUCGUCUUGAGCAGUAAGUUUGUCCGUCUCUUUUCAAACUGAAUACUGCCAAGUAUCAUAUAGGACUGAUCUUUCCUUUUUCUUUGUUUCAGUACAAGACGAUGGACCGUGAACUUUAGACAUGUGCAUUGGGUUAACGGAGGGAAGGAUUCAAUCAAGAAACUGCGAAAUGGAGUUUGUAUGAAUUGUUGAGUAUUAGGAUUUAAGUAACGGGUAGAGGUUUAGAGGAACAUUUUGAAGUUGACGCUUUGGUUUUUAUGUUGUCUAUUAGUCGUUUCCUUGCCCUUUCUAUAACCUAUAAAAGUCAUAUAGUUUAAUCCCUCCAAAGUACUCUUAAAAUCUCAAAAGACCUUUUCUCUACGUGUUCACGCAUACUUGUGCAGUGAUAGAAUAAGAGUUAACCGUCACAUAAACAAAAUUUAUCCAUAGCAUCCAUUAGGCCUGGGAAACAUUUACCGGAACAGAGAAACCAAACUGAAUUUCUUAAAUAUCUGAACGACAUGCUAGCUGCAAAAACAAAGCUCGAAUAGUACCUCCUAGUCCUAUAUCAUUCAGCAAUCCUCAAUAAACAUUCCAUAAGGAGAACGUCUAGUCUCAUGAAACAGUUAGCUAAAAAAAACAAUAUUUAAUUAAUAAAAGUUAAAAACAUAGGAGUAUAAACAUUAAUCUUUGCUAAACAACUGUUUAUUUCGACGGAAACUUAACAACAUGAUUUUAAAAGUAUAUGAAAAAAAACACACAAAUAUAAUGGUCAAUAAAAUACUAAACUUAUACAUUUUUACCAAAAAACACAAACACUUCAAUAAUCCAAAGCAUAUACUUAUAUUAACCAUGCCAAAUUAAAUAUAAAUUUAGUCAACAUUAAAUUCCUAAUUUCUCUUCAGAAUCUUUUGUGUUAUUUUUAAGUGCAUCAUUUGAAGAUACUCCAGCCGUUUCACAUGCUUUCUACCGUUUUAACACAUAUUAAAAUAACACAUUAAUUCAGUAUAAUAAUGUAUUAUUUUCUGUAAUUUUCAAUUUUCAAUAUCCUUUAACCAAUAGUAAUUAAAUAAUCAAUUAAUUUUUUUGAAGUUUACAAUUUUUUCAUAGAAAACACAAAAUAUCUAUCUCUGUGAAACAAUUUUUUUCUAAAACAUCUAUUUUUUUAAAAAACGGAGGGAGUACAAAAUAAGAGACUAAAACAAAAUGAUAUUCAUAUGCCAAUCAUUUUGUUCUUUCUCUAGUCUUAGUUUUUAUUAUUCAAAUAUUAUUUCUAAAUCUGUUAAGACUCGUCUUUGAAUUCAAUAUUUAGAGUUUAGAAUUUUGAUUUAAGAUUUAUGAUUUUUGUUAAUUUUUAAAAUGAUUUAUUUAAGAGAAAAUGACUAGGAUAGCACUAAAAUAGUUUUUGUCACAAAUAUAGUCUCUAAAAAUUAAAAUGACCAAAAUAGCACUUAAUGUUUUAUCAAAAGAGAUAAAUAUACACUUAUACCCCAAUGGUAAAUUAAUUUAGACAUUAGAUUUAGAGUUAAUGGUUGGGGUUUAGGAUUUAGGGUUUAGAGUUUAGGGUUUAGGGGUGGGGUUUAGGGUUUAGAGUUAAGGGGUGGGAUUUAGGAUUUAGGGUUUAGGGUUUAUGAUUUAGGGUUUAGGGUUUAGAGCUGGAGAGUGGAGUUUUGGGAUAAGAUUUCAAAUUUAAAAAAAUAAAAAAAAUUUAAAUUUUUCAAAAGAUAAAAUGAUAUUUUGGUCAUUUUAGUUUUUGAAGGCUAUUUUUGUGAGAUAAACUUAGAAAUGUGCUAUUUUGGAGAUUUGCCAUUUAUUUAAUUUUAUUAUUUCUGAAGAUUAAUUUAUAUUUUAUUAUUAAAUGAAAUUUAUUUUGUAUUUUUUUCAGCUAUGUGUUAUUUGGAGACAAAUUAUCAAUGAAAUUUAUUCUGUUUUUAUUUGUUGGUAAACAUAGAAAAAAAACUUUCCAUAUAAAACAAAAGUGACGUCUCGGCAACAGAAUGAUUGUUAGGAAUUACGGCGAGGUGUUUAUUUGGUUUGGUUAUAUUAAACCAGCAAGGAGUUUUAUUGAAACCCCUGGAACUUGCACGGCUUGUCGUUUAAAACAAACGUAAACGCUUGUCAUAGGGAUAGGGGCUAGAGUUGCAAAUCCAUAAUCUUUUUGGGUAGCAAAAACAAUUACUUGUAAAGUUUUAAUUUACAAAAAGAUCCCUAAGCUAAAACCUCGCCUGCGGUUCCCCCUUCCUUCUAGUUCGUGAAAAGGAGACGUUGAAUCGUAUCGAACCGCCGUCGCCGUCGCCGCCGCCUCACUGGUGAUUCUCCCGUAACUAACUCCCCCAUCUCUCUCUCUCUCUCUCUCUCAUGUUUGUUUAUACUGUUAAAUCUCUCGUACCCCGUCGCAGAGAAUCCCAAAAUGGCACAUGUCGCGCAAAGCCGAAACGUGAUCCGGCAUGUAGUAUCGAGAGGAAAAGCUUUCCAUAAAUCCGAAAACGCGAUCCAUCACCCUCUCCUUUUCGCCUGUCAAGGAGUUCGUUACAGAAAAUUGGAAGUGAUUCUCACCACGGUGGGUUCGGUUCGCUGACUCUUGAAUGCAUUUCUCUUCUCUUCGUCGGAUUUGAAUCGAAUCAGAUGCUGAGGGUUUGUUUUUGAUUUGAUAGGGCAUAGAGAAGCUUGGGAAAGGGGGUGAGACGGUGAAGGUAGCUCCUGGUUACUUCAGGAAUCACCUUAUGCCUAAGCUCCUUGCUGUCCCCAACAUUGACAAGUAUGCUCAUCUCAUCCGAGAGCAGCGCAAGGUAUACACUUUUACCUCAGCUUUGCCUCUCUUAACUUUGCAAGCUUGAUAUGGUGUCUGAUGCUAGUUGUUAUCUGAUUUGUUACUGAAUGUUUUAUGUUUCUUUGAUGCUUUGAUAGUGUUAUGGUACUAAGAUUAUCUCGGUGUAAGUGUUAGAUGCUUCCCCUUUGGUUAUUUGAUUUCUUGAUGUCAAUCUUGUUCAGAUGCGUAAUUUUGAAGAAAAGGAAGAGGUUAAAGUGGUUCAUAAAACUUCUGAAGUUCAGACCAAAGAGUUUGAAAAGGCCGCUAAGCGCCUCGCCAAUGCCAACUUGGUAAUUUUUUACCUUAACAGACUCUCAGUCUUCAACUUUUCUCUUGUGUGAGAUCCAUUUGUUUUGAUUUACAGGUACUGAGGAAGUUAAUUGACAAGGAAAAGUUCAAAAACCGUUCCUCAAAGGAGGAUAAACCGGAUGUACAAACACCUGUGACAAAGGAAGAGAUAGUCUCUGAGGUAAACUCUUCCUUCCUUCCUUCUUACAUUUUUAAACUGUGUGACAUGUAGACUUUUGUAAGUCGUUCUUAUCAUCAUUUUUAAAGGUGGCGAGGCAGCUCUGUGUGAAGAUUGAUCCGGACAAUGUGGUUCUUACGGAGCCAUUGACAACUUUUGGCGAGUAUGAGGUUCCUUUGAAAUUCCCAAAGACUAUUCCUUUGCCACCAGGAACUGUUCAGUGGAUUCUCAAACUCAAAGUCCGUGGCCAUUGAAAAUCUUCUUCUGCCUUUAGAAACUCUUCUCUGAUAAUUUUUCUACUUCCGUCUGCUUCAUGAAAUUGGAGAAAAGCAUUGUAGUUCGAUGGCACCAGAUCAGUUGCAUUUUCUUUCAUUCCCUUGUCUUUUUACUUGUAGUUAUGUAAACCGGGUAUAAUCCGGUUUACAGUUUAAACCAUGAUUUGAAGGGACAUUAAUAAGUUAGGUUUUGUGAAAUUAAUUGGACGUCCACAGAUGCGAUUGCGAAUGUGACUAUUUAGCAUUGUUUAGAAAACUUUUGGCCUAUUUUGUAAGAUUCUAUUAUUUUGGGCCAUCUUAGGAUUAUUGAGAUAGAUAAACGACUUUUCUACUCGCCUACUCAGACGAGCCGUAUCUACGACUUACAAUCUUUAAACGAAUAGCUUCACACUCCUUCUCUUGCUCUUUCUACAAGGGUGCUCUCUCUUUCUCUUCUCCCUUUAGCCACUCUGCUCUUUCCCGUGAGUACAUCAUUUAUUGAACCGAUAGGGAACUUUUUGCUUCUGUAUCACUACAAAUCCAUUACGAAUCUAUUCGUUCUAUCUCUGCCUUGGCUUUGAAGUUGAACUUUCUUUUUUGUGAAAAAUUAGCCUUUUAAUUUUCAGGGUUCAUAUAUAUUAUUAUGCUUCUAGAUAGGUCACCAUAUUUUCCAAGAUUCGUACAAUUUCAUCUUUCUUUUUCGAUGUGUGAUGCAAAAUGAAUUAUUUUAACCAUAUUUACGUACAUUAUUAUAUACCAAAAUCAGAAUGUUACAGAUUUAUAUACUGUUUGAUUUAUUACACUAAUGAAACGUACAUUAGAGAUGUCAAAUGGAAUAACCAUAUAUUCAAAUAGUCUCUCGUAUUACAAAAAUAGACUUACAUUCAUCUCAAGGACUAAUAAGAAUCUAUGAUAUCCAAUUUGAAACAGAUGGAAGUCGUCCCUUACAAUUUUCACAUUGUCACGUCCAAUGUCUCGUAUUACAAUUUUCACCUCCAAUUUCAAGGUGUGUUGGUCUCAGUCUACAUUGUCCAAGAGGGGGGCAAAUAUGCCCGAAUAGUUUUUCAAAAUCUCAUGUAAACCUUUAAACACUUUAGUAAUGCCCCUUUGUUUUGCUUAAUAAUAUAUAUACUACAUAUUUAUAAUAAUGUUUGUUUAUGAAAUGAUUUUAACAUUUUGCAACAACAAUCUUUACCGAUUAUAAAAUGAUGAAUACACAUAUUGGUAUCUUAAAUAUAUCAUCGUUGUUGAAGAGUUAAGAUAUUACAUCUCAUUUUAAUUAUUUUUAAGACUUCAUAUGCACAAAAGGAAAUUAAGUUUUGCGGCUGACACAAAUCACCAAAACCAAAUAGGCAACAUCGAUUGUAUAACGACGAAAGGGGAUUAGGUUUUCUGCUCUCGAUUUGUUUACUAUUAACUCUCCAUAAGUGAUUUCAUUUUCUAGCUCUAUAGAAUUUUGCUUUCGUUCUCGUAUUUGUUUCAUUGAUAUGAGUUAAGUUUCUUUUUUAACUUCUUUUAUGAAUUCAGUGAAUUACAUAAGUGUCAAUUAAAAAAAAUGGAUAUCUGUAAAAAUUACUUUCACUCCAUAUACAUAUCUAAGAAUCAAAAUUUUGAAAAAAAAUCACCGGCAAACUAUAUUAACAGGUUAGUGUUUAAAUCUACUAUAUCAAGCUAUUAUAGAAUAUAAGUGCAAACUCGAAAUAUAAAUGUUUGUCUAGUAUAUAUUCAGCAGCUCGGUCUAAAAAUCAUCUAAUUAGAACAACAAAACAAAUUACUUAUUUCACCAGUUCGGGUAAUAUCUGAAUCCGAACGUGUAAUAUCCGAACCCGAAUGGAUAUCCGAAGAUAACCAAACAUAAGUAUACUUAACUCUAUAUUUCUAGUUUAUUUCUCUCAUUUUAUUCAAAAUAUUUAUAUUAAUGAUUCUUAUUGCUCAAAAUUAGAUAAUAUACAUAUAAUUAUGUACAAAAUCAUUUGCUACUCACUUAAAAUACAUAUCAAGUUCUUGUUUCUUGCAUUAACAAAAGUUGCGUCUAAAAUUUCAAAACAACCACUAAAUUAGUGUCUUUCUACUUUUAAAAUUUUAUCUCCAAACCUAUUAAUAGUUUAAUCUUUUAAAAAUUAAAAAAAACAGUUAAAUUAAAAUAUAUUUUAAUUACAAAAAACUUAAACAAUGAAUAAUUUAUUAUUUUUCAAAAUUUAAAUAUUCUAACCCGACCCAAAAUAUCCGAACCCGAACAUAAAAUACCCGAACCCAACUCGAAGUGUAGAAAUACCCGAACGGGUUCUAUACCUUUAUACUGAAAUAUCCAAUACAGAUCCGAACAUGUAUCCAAACGCCCACCCCUAUAAUAUAUGAUCAUUUGUAUCUUGCUUGAACAAAAAAAGUUAAACCAUUGGUCACAAAAUUUUUAAUGUGGGACUUUUACUAUUUUUAGUAAUUUAUAGUCGUUUUUAAAAAUUCAAAAUAUAACAUAUAAAAAAAAUAUAAUUGUUUUUAUUAUAUGUUUAAUGUGAUUGUUUAAUUUUUUUUAAUAGUAUAAAAUUAAACAAAAAAGAGAGAUGUCAGAAUUUUUUUUAUCAAAUAUGUAUUAUUCAUAUAUAUGUUAACCAUAUUAGGUAAUUCCGUAACUUUUAUUUAAGGAAAGAAAAAAUCUUCUUUUGUACACUAUUAAUUAAUUUGAUAGUUAGUUAAAUAAAAAAACAUAGUAUAUGUUUAUAUGGACCAACUUAUUUUUCUAACAAUUCUAAGAAUCAUUUUCGUGAUGACACGUGGUUACGAAAAUAAUUCUCCGUAAUUAAUAUACAGGGGAUGUCCCAUGGGCUUGGUCUAACAAGACAUCCACUCGUGGGGUUGAAGAACGAUAGUGACUCGCGAGUUUGUUGAUAAUUCUUCUAUCGACAUACAUGUCCUAAAAGUCUUAUUUCUUGUGGAUGAGUAAACCAGGGACUGCACAUGGACUUAAUUUUCCAUGGAGAAAUUUCAUAGAAACAAUAUUUUGAAUUUAUCUAUGCAAUUUUUCAAAUUUAGCAUACAGUCGGGCAGGCCUUGAGAUAUCAGGGAUACUAUUCAAAACAAAAAUAUUUACAAUUAAAUUCGUAUUUUAUAAAUUUUAUAAACUAAAAUUUUAUUUUCAUAGUUAUUUCUUUUAUAAUUUAAAUUUUAUUAAAAUAUUAUGAUAGAAAAUUCAUCUUUUAUAGUAUUUCUAUAAACAAAAAUAUUUUUCAUCAACUAUACAUAUUUUUACAUUCAACAUUUGUAUAAUCAUAAAUAUAAAGUAUAUAUAAACACAUCUAGCAGUUUAAAAAAAAAGUUGGGAUCCCAUUCAAAUGUUUCAGUCCACUCCCCAUAUACCUGGCUCUGCAAUCGAGUUAGGUAUUCAUGGUUACUAAAUGUGAUAUCAAAUAAUUGAACUGGAUUUCCCAUAUUAAAUUUUAAACGUAAAACUAUUUCGAGAUAGGUAAUCAAGGUAUUAUUAAUUUAAAAUAACUGUUUAAGAGGUUUUCUAAUAGUUUAGCCUAGCCGUUUAGAAAAGGGGAAUGGAAUGGGUUGCAAAACUUGGGAAGAGAUAUUGAAAAUAGAGUCUUAAUUAAAACAAAAUAGAACCAGACCGAUCCAAAUCUAAUUUAUAAACAAAAACAACCAAACCGAAAAUAAAAUGCAGUUCUAUUUUUUUAAUUCAAGAAAUCAUGAGCCGAAGCUUGUAAUCUCUUUGGGUCAUGAACAAUAGUCGGCUGUUAAAUCUCUUCUAUGUAGCUUCUGAGUAUUGAACCUGACAUAUCUACCCUUAUGAUCAAAGGCUUUACCACUAAAGAUAUCAUCUUCAGAUAAGUCAUGUAUAUUUGAAAACUAUUUUAAAAGAAUUUUUUUUUUGCAAUUUAACCUGUUCCCAGGUUUAGAUAUGUUUAACCCUUCAGUUUGAGAUGCAUCUCAAUCAUUUACCAAAUAGUCCAUAAUAUAGUUCUCACCACUGUAUAAAUUUCGUGAUCCGUAUAUACUUCUGUAUAAAUUAUCAAAAUUAUGUCGUUUUGAGUUUUUUUUUAAAAUAUUGUAGAAGUGGAUAGAGCGAUUUUAUAGUCAAAAUUAUUUUAUUGUGUAGUUGGAACUUGGAAGAAUGUAUGCCAAUUUAUUUUUCAAAAACAAAAUUUCGUAAUCAAAUGGCAUUUAUAUUGCCAUGUUUUUCUGCAUACUGCCACUAAGGUAGGGUAUUCCCAAAUGGCCAUCCAAAAUAGUUUUCGUUUUGUCAAAGGCAUUUGAAUGUCGAGGUUGAUUUUCUUAAUGGAAAAUAACCACGAAAAGUUAUAGAAAUUAAUUAGAAUAUGCUUGCCAUAGCUGGCCCAAGAUUGAUGGGAGUGCCAGGGUAUUUUUCUUCUUGGUAGACCAAGCUAGCUUUAACAAGUAUUUUCACAGCGACACAGGUUCUCAAAUUCCAAUAUAUUGAGAAGAGUUAAAUUAAAACCGAUAACAAACCUGUGUGAGCAUUCAUAUCUCAAAGUUGUCAACUCAAACACUCUUCUGAAGAAGCUCAAAACAUUGAACAAAAUUUGGGAAAAGACACUUCUUCUUGAUGCACUGGAAAGGCUUAUAGAAGGUGAAGAGGUCCAACGUCGUUAUUGGAUUAAUUAAAAAUAAAUCUGUGAUUAGACUUUUCGUUAAUUAAUGUUGAAACAUUCUUUAUGGCUUACUGAAACGUGUUUUAGCAUUAUCUAACUAUUAUGCUCUGGCCAUUAGAAAGUAUUUGGAAUUUUGGUCAUAGUCAUACGCUCUUAGUUGUAUGGAAAGAGUUGAAUUUUGAAAGGAUUGAACAAAAGUAACAGUAUAUGAGUAUAUCUUCUCACUUCAAUAUAUAUUUUAACCGAUAAUCAACAAAGUGGUGAUUUUAAUUUUAUGGUUUUCCUUCUUUAAUUUAAAACUCAAUUAAUUUUCUCCUUUCGUGUACAUGAAUAUACUCGAAAUCUCUUUUCUGACCCAUUCCAUGCAUAUUUUAUAUAAUAAAUAAACGAAAUAGACAGAAUACUACAGGUGCAGACAAAAAAAGACAUAAUAACUUAUACAGUAUAUCAUAUGAUUACGUCAGUGCCGUAAAAUAAAAUACAAAUGAUUACGUGCAUUAUGGGUCCAUUUUCAAUUACAAAUAGGAUUGGGUCACUGCUUUAGUUUUCCGACACCAAACCAAAAAGGAAUAUGGAGUUUACUACAAAAAUAACAUCAUUCUCUCUCUUAUUUCUCUCUCUCAUAAACCCGACCUUGACCACUGCCACAUGCAGUACCGCCGUUUGUCGCAAUGGCGAUCCAAUUAUCCGUUUCCCUUUCCGUUUAAAAUCCCACCAACCCCAAUCUUGCGGUUAUGACAAAGGGUUCGACCUAACCUGCGGUAAUAAUAACGGCGUUAACAGAACCACCAUAAGACUACCAUUCUCUGGUAACUUCACCAUCGAGAUGAUCGAUUACGCAGCUCAAGAGAUUUUACUCGCCGACCCAAAUAACUGUCUUCCUAAACGCCUCUUAACGCUAAACCUCACUUCGACGCCGUUUGAUGGCGUUUACACACGUCGGUUCACGUUUUUUAGCUUCCCGACGUCGGGAUAUCUUCGUUUUGGGAGGUUCAAUCCGAUAACGUGUUUGAGCGAUGAAAACAGCACCGUGUUUGCCACUGCUUUUCCUAGAGCGGUGAACUACCUGUCCGCUCAGUCGUGCCGGUUAAUGAAAACCGUUAACGUUCCGGUUCGUUGGCCGGCUUAUGAGCAUGCCGUUUCGUAUUGGGGACUCAGUGAUAACCUAUGGCUCACUUGGAGGGUCCCGAGAUGCCGCCGGUGUGAGAGUAGAGGUGGUAAGUGUGGGAUUAAGAGUAAUUCUUCUCGUGAAAUCAUAUGCUCUGAUGCUCCUAAGCCAGGUAACUAAUUUUAUAAUCACCGUUAUCUUCCAUUUUUAAUAGUAUUACAGAAUGAUUAAAAUUGUCUUUGAUCUUAAAUUUUGAUGGCAAGAGUACAAUUUAAUAUAUAUCAAGUCAAAAAUGCAACUAAUACGACGAUUAGAGUAUAUUAGUUAAAGUUGACGUAGACCAUGACGAAAUUUCGUGUUGAAUGAGUCAUGCGUAUUUGCGUGUUAGUGUUUAUAUAUAUAGAAUGAUGAAUAUAAACAAAUUUGGAAAAAUGGCAAGUUUAACAACCAAAUAGUUUGUCGGUUUUAAUUGUCUAACUAUGAAAACGUCAUGAGACGGCUCAAGACGAUAUAAUAUUGUAGAUAUGCGUAUUGUACACAUAUGCAAAUUCUUCUACGGACGAAACAAAUCUAGUAGAAAUAGUAAACCUACCUACCGUAUAAAAAAGAGAAAAUGACUAGGAUAACAAUAAAAUUUUUUUUGUCAUAAAUAUAGUUUUUAAGAAUAAAAAUGACCAAAAUAGCAUUUAAUGUUUUAUCAAAAUAGAUAAAUAUACACUUAUACUCCAAUGGUAAAUUAAUUUAGACAUUAGGGUUUAAAGUUAAGGGAUGAAGUUUAGGAUUUAGGCUUUAGGGUUUAGGAUCUAGGGUCUAGGGUUUAGGGUUUAGAGUUAAGGGGUGGGGUUUAGAAUUUAGGAUUUAGGGUUUAGGGUUUAGAGUUUAGAGUUUAGGGCUUAGGGUUUAGAGUUUAGGUUUUAAGGUUUAGAGUUGGGGAGUGGGGUUUUGGGAUAAAAUUUUAAAUUUUGAAAAAUAAAAUAAAAUUAAAUUUUUCAAAAGAUAAAAUGCUAUUUUGGUCAUUUUAGUUUUUG